rnacentral:lncRNA from 1 species
CUUGAUAGCCUCCAUCAUUAGGCCCACUCUGGAAGUUGUGUUGCAUGUUCCCAGGCAUGUCACUGGACCAUCCUCCCAUGUUGUUCUGUGGAGGCAUGUUGUUCUGUGGUGGAAUGUAGUUGUUUUGAGGGGGCACAUAGUUUUGCGGCGGCAUGUUGUUCUGCAGGGGCAUGUUGUUUUGCGGCGACAUGUUGUUCUGCAGGGGCAUGUUGUUCUGUGGGGGCAUGUAGUUUUGUGGUGGCAUGUUCUGUGGCCCUCUAUUCAUAUUGUUCUGUUGCCCACCUACAUAGUUAUUAGGCCGUGGUCCACCUGGUCCACCAAUGUUCGGGGGUCCGCCCAUGUUAUAGUUGUUAGGCGGUGGUCCACCUGGUCCCACCCUGUAGCUGUUCUGUGGCGACGGUGGCGGUCCACCUUGUCUGCCCAUGUUUUGUGGUUGUCCGACCACAUUGGGAGCAGGGUUUUGCAUAGCCUGAUUAGCCAUAGGAGGAGGAGGAGCUCCAUCACGCUGCUGCAUGUUUUCCCUUCUUCUGUCGAAAUUUCUUGAUCUGUCGACGUUACGAGGUCGAUCAUUGCGCCUAUUUCUUUCAUUUGCCCUCGCAUUGUUCCUUAUCCAUUCCUCAUGAUAUUUUGGGUCAUAGGGCACAGCUUUCCCAUCAAUAAAUGGCUCCCCUAAAAGGAAAAAACCAUCAGGCACCAAUCAAGUACAGUAUAGUGUUAUGACUUGCUAAUCACAGAAUAAAUAGUAACAAUCAUGACUUAAGGAUAAAAGGAGGCAUUCAUCAACACAGUUUCAAAUGAAAAGAAAUGCUCAAUUCUGAAUGUGCGACUCUGCAGAAAUAGACCAAAAUCCUAGCAGUAUGAAAACAUAAUCAAGGCACCAUCAUCUUACCCUAACUCAGAAAAGGAAAACAUGCUGCUUUCUUUGUGCACUUGCAUUUAAAAUGAGGAUUGUUAACCUGUUAUUAACAAUUACAUGCACCCGUUUGACAACUGCAUCAGAGACUAUUUGGCGAGAUACGAUCUUGAUGGAAUUUUGCAUUGUUUAUCUUCUAUUUAUGAUAAAUAAGGAAAAACAAGACUCGCAACUCAAAUGUGAUUACCACAGAGCAAAGCCAAUCCAGCAAAAUAUUGCCUGCAAACCCUAGUAAGUUACAGAAAUUCUAGUACAAUCCUCAUUUGGUCAAAGUCUAGAAGGGUUUAAAUAGCAUCCAACCUAACCAGAACAAGCUUCAACAAUUGUAGAUUGAGAAGCAAAAUAUUCAAAAUGAUUUCUUGGUGCACAAAACAUUUAAGCCAGAAGUUUCCUUAAAGAUAAAAAAGAUAAUAAAAAAUAAGAUGCAUGUAGUACUGCUAAAUGCAAUAAAACACGCAUCUACAACAAUAUAUUGGUAUCACAUACAAAAAAAGGGGGGGAAAUCCCUUACCUCCAUAAUCUUUGUUCUUCACAUCUAAGUACGAAUCUGGAAGAACCCAGCGAACAUUUUUCAAUUCUGGAAAAAUGACCAACAGAGCACAUCCAUCACAUUCAAACUUCAAAAAAGUAACAUCCUGUACCAAUCAACUCUAUGCAGUGGCCCAUUUUUUUCCAUUAAAAGCAAUUACCAAUAAACACUUGAGUAUGUUUUUUUUUAGGGAAAAAAAAACUUUUUUGGAAAAAAUAGAAGUGAACAAAGUUGUUCAUUUUUGGUUACCGUUUUUCAAGAUUUUGAAAGGGACCAAAUGUCAUCUUGUUAAGGUGAAGGGAGGUAAUUUACAUCUAGGAUUUAACACAGGCUAAGAACAUAUUUUAAGAAUCCAAGUUAAGGGUUUUGUUGGGUUAAAAUGGACCAAAUGCAAGAUAUUAUUAACGAGGAAGAGGAACAGUUUUAAUCCUUGGUAACGCCAGGGCCACCCCCAGCCCCCCUUUACCCACAGCUUGAAAGAAGAUAUACCUUUGAUCUUGUAUGAAACCUCUUCGGACACCAGAGCUCCAAAGGCAAAGUAGCAUCGAGUAGAAACUGAAUAGAUCUUUUUCCUCGCUUCUUCCUCACUGUCAUACAGCCACAAAAUUUAAAUGACCAAGACUUCACACAUCACAAAAACCCAUUUAACUCCAGAUUCCUCCGGUAAGAUAAAAAAACAUUUCUACAGCUCCCCUAAACUGAAAGAGCACAGAUAGACAUGCUAAAUAUUAAAAGCAGCAAGGAAUAUUCAAACACUAAGAAUAGCACUCUACUUACUGUAAUCUAAAACACAAAUCAAACAUUAAGCUAUAAAACACAAUUCCUAUCGAAGUCAGAUAAAAGAACAAUUAAGCAAUCAAACUCCUGAUUCUUAGAGAAGUGUAAUUAAAAUGCACUUAAAUCCCUCUAGCAAUAGGUUAGGUACAAUUCAUAAACCUCAAACACACUUACAAAACAGCAAACUGCAACCUUUCAAAGUAUAACUAAUCAUAAAGAAAGCACAAAAGACAUCAAUAACAUGCAUGGAAGCAUGCACAAACCCUCAAUAAAAAGCAACCAAAUGCAACGCAUAAAUACAUAAAAUACAAUAAAAAAUGACUAAAACAAUUAACUCACAGCUAGCUUAGAACAAAUUCUAGGAUAAAAAUGACAUCAAUUCUACAUGUAGAGGUGAUUUAUAUUCAGUUCUAAUUCAAUCCCUCCAUUUGGAACCAAUUUAAAUAUUAUUUGGAUUUAGCCUAACACUUCUAUUUGAUGUAAAUUAAUAAAUAAAUAAAUAACAUUAUAAUUUGCUGGCAGUGAAGAGCUGAAAGCUAUAUUUGGUAGGUUUCAAAACAACGUAUUGCGGGGCAUUUUAGAUAAUGGAAAUAUACAACGACUAUUGUAUGGGAUUCCAAGUAAAUAACACUCUUUUGGGUGCGGUUAUGAAUUAUAUGGAAAUCACAUUUUUUUAAUUCAUUGACUUCAUUUCAAGAUGUAAAUUUAGUUCCAAAAUUGAGAAUUGCUAAAAAAUAAAGAAUUGAAAUUAUUUAUUGCCAAUUCUUGGGUUUCCAUACAGUGUUAAAUUGAAAUAGAAUAAAAAUUAAUCAAUAUACAAAGCCCAUAAUUUCUUAAAAAACGAAUAUCAAUAUUUCAUCUACUAAAACUAACAAUUAACACAAAUAAAAAUUAAGUAAAAAAACAAUUAAAGUGAAUGAGAAAUAAAAUUAAGGUGUAAACUUUAAUAAAUUACCUUCCAACAACUUCAGCAAGGGUUUUAAUAUAAGAAUCGAUGAUCUCGUCACGAGUAGGAUCUCCUUCAGGCUUAUCCAUGACGACGAGCCAAUGCUCAAAAUCGCAGCCAUCAAGCAAGAUAGUCUCUUUUGGAGGUCUGUUGGACCAGUUAGGGCUUGGGUCGUUAAGAGAAGACGAUGAUGGGUUGACAGAAAACGACCUGGAUGGAAUCCGAGAGACAGAGCGAUUGAUGUUGGCUGCAGCGGAGAGAGGACGAAGAGCACGGCGGAGGAGAGUGGAGGAGGCGGAGGAAGUGGCGGAGAGGGAAGUGAAGGGUCGGGAGAGAAUGGAGGAGAUUAUUGUUUUGGAGGUUAUUUUUUGGAGGAGGAGGGAACGAGUGAGGAGAGAAGUCGCCAUUUCUGGAACUGAAACCCUGAUGGAGAUAAAAGAGGUAGGGUUUUAGAUGGGGUUUUAUAGAGGUAGAUAACGAAAUGCCCUUCCAUUUUAUUGGAAUGGCAUUUCGGUGAUGUCAAAAUUAAAAUAUCUUAUGCUUCUUCUUUUGGUUUAUUUUUUUUUAAGGAAGAAGGUGUUAAAUUUGAAAAUUUAUAUAAUGACCGGGUGCCUUUGUUUGUAAAUAAUUUAUUUUCCAAUGUAAUAAAAAAUAUCUGAAAUUUAAUUUAAUUACCUAUAAACUAAAAAAAUAAGAUAGUUAUACUAUACCUCUCUUCAUAAAAUAUUAUUCAUUAGAAUAAUACUUUUUUUUCAAUUAAUCUUAUUUUUGUUUAAUUUUAUAUUUUAAUAUUAUAUUUUUUUCUAUUUAGUUAUCAUACUCUUGUGAUAUAGAUUCCAAUUUUGAUGGAUUAACCUUGUUUGGUAGGUUAACCUAAUAACUCAAAUUUUUUUUAAUUAGUUUUUCUUUUAAUUUCAUCCUUUAAUAUUGAUUUGAUUAAAAAUUAAACUUCAUUAUUUGUUUUUAUACUUUUCAUUAGAUUAUCAUGAUCUCAUAACACAAGAAUAAUGCUUAAUGGAUUAACUUGAGUUAAUUCGGGUUGUUUUUUGUAUCUUUUAUUUAAUCGAUUUUUUUUUAAUUUUAUCAUUAAACAUUGGGUCAAUUAGAAAUUGAGCUUCAUAAUCUAUUUUGAUUUUUUUUUUAUGAGAAUAUCUUAGUCUUAAGAUCAAGGUCACGAGUUUUGGCAUUUUACCCUUGGUUAAAUCAAGUUUUUUUUUUCUUUUUAAAAGGUUAGAUUGGUCUCAUUACAUAGGUCACAAGUGUUUCAACAUUGGACUUGCUUUUAUUAGGUUGUCCUUGUCUCAUGACCCGGGUCGCGGGUUAACCUGUUUAACUUAUUUUUUCUCUUUUUUUAUCAAAUUUUUUUAUAUAUAAUUUCAUCAUUACCGGGGUUAUCUUGGUCUUAUGAUCCAGGUUGCAAGUUUGACAUGUUAACCCGAGUUUUUUUUUGUCAUUUUUUAAUUGAUUUUUUUUCAAUUUCAUCAUUCAAUAUAGGGUUGAUUGAGAAUUAGGCUUAGUAAUUUAUUUUUAUUUGUUUUCUAUAAAGUUAUUAUAGUCUCAUAACUUGGGUCAUGAAUUUGAAACGUUAACUCAGGUUGUCCAAGGUUAAUCAAAUAUAUUGUCAUUUUAAUAUUAAAAAAUAUAUAUUUGAAUUUGAAACGUUAGCUUGGGUUGUUCAAGGUCAAUGAAAUAUAGUAACUCGCUUUCUAUGUGGUUAUCAAGAUCUCAAACAAACAUCAUAUUGUUGGGGAUGAUGCUUAAUUUUACAAGUAUCUAUUUUUAUUCUAACAUAAUUAAGUAAAAAUAGUUUAGAGAAAUAAAGUUAUUAAACUUAAUGGAGUUCAUGUCCUUAGUCACUGGUUUGGUGGGUUAAGUCAUGAAGUCCAAGUUGAUCCAAUAUUUCAUCAUUUUAAUAUUUUUAUGAAAAGAUGUCAUCUCAACGAAAUUUUAAGGCUAAACCAUAUUUUUAAUAGUCUUUUGGGUUCCCUUUGAAAAUUUCAAGUCGACUAGGUAAUGUCAAGGUAACUCCUAUAUGGUUUAAUUAAAACCUGGUCUAGAUAAGGAAUUAGAUCGGAAGGUUUCAAGUUUAACUCGAUAUAAAGAUCUAGAAAUCCACAGUAAAAACUAACCAUUCUUAAAAAAUCUAAAUCCAGGCUUUGUGAUUGAGCUUGACACAACAAAAACCUAUACCGUGCACCAAGGCUAUAGAAGUCGAACCCCUACCCAACACAUAUGAUGAGAUGCAAACAAGAAGUAUAUAAGAUGCCACGAAGCUUAGUUAAUUCCUUGAUAAGUUAUAGUAGUUCAAUGAAGAACCAAAUUGAAUGAAUCCUCUCACAAUCACAAAAUAUAUUAUUUUGAAAACAAAGUCUGUAAAAAAAAUACAAAUCCAAACUUAAUAAAUCUUUUUAUAAUAAGGGAAAACAUCUUGAACAAGGCUAGAAAAUUAAUAAAAGAAUCUCAAAUCAACUAGGAAACUAAUAUAAAUCUCGCAUGGUAGAUUCUAGUCCUUAUCCCAAGGACUUCUUGAUGUUCGAUUGACCUAGAAAUUUAACCUAAUAUAUAAAAAUACCUUUGAAAACUUCUGGUAAAAUUUUAAUCUAAUCUAACAGUCAGAUUGAACAUUAUGUUUGUUAGAGUAAAACUAUGGAUCGGGCCAUUCUUGUACAUGGAUUAAAUUGAUUAAGGUCUGAUAAUCACUUCUUGAAGAUGUAGCCUCCUUGAAAUCUAUUUUGGUCUAAAUACUCUGAAUAAGUCCAUUUAAUGCAUCUUUGAGCUUCUUUGCCCUUGAUAUUGUAAUUGGCCUAAUGGAUGUUUUGGUGUAAUUUGGAUCGUAUUAUUCCUUUUAUUCUCAAAAGAAUUUCACCUCAAAUUAUCACCUACAUAAAAAAAAAAACAUUAAAAGUAGCAUUAAGACAAUACUUAUUUGGUAAAUCUAUUUGUAGGUAUUGUUAUUAAUUCUUUCAAUGAUUUGAAAUGAACCAUCUCCUUUCGACAUCAACUUAGAUCUCAUACAUUUAGAAAGCCUCUCCUUGUAUACAUACACCCAAACCCAAUCACCUAGUUUGAAGAUAACCAUUUUUUUUCUUUUCUUAUUAGCUUUGAAUGCAUAUUGCUUCUUCUUUUUUUCAUCCUUUACUCUCAUGAAGAGCCUUCACUACCUGUGCUUUUCAAUCGUCAUCAGGACUAACCCUUUCAUCAACACGUAAAUAAAUUAAAUCCAAAUGAGUUAAAUGAUUGAAGGUAUAAAUAAUUUAUAAGAUGAAUAAUCAAUUGUAGAAUGUACACUUUUAUUAUAUGAAAAUUAAACUAACGACAGGCAAUCUUUUAAAUUCUGCAAAUUUUUUUGAAUGAUAGUUUUUAAUAAUAUAGUUAAAGUCCUAAUAACUACUUCAUAUUGCUUCUUCUUUUUUUCAUCCUUUACUCUCAUGAAGAGCCUUCACUACCUGUGCUUUUCAAUCGUCAUCAGGACUAACCCUUUCAUCAACACGUAAAUAAAUUAAAUCCAAAUGAGUUAAAUGAUUGAAGGUAUAAAUAAUUUAUAAGAUGAAUAAUCAAUUGUAGAAUGUACACUUUUAUUAUAUGAAAAUUAAACUAACGACAGGCAAUCUUUUAAAUUCUGCAAAUUUUUUUGAAUGAUAGUUUUUAAUAAUGUAGUUAAAGUCCUAAUAACUACUUUAGUUUAACCAUUUGUCUGUAGAUAACAAGUAGUGAAAAAUAGCAAUUUAGUUCCUAACUUAUCCCACAAAAUCUUUCAAAAGAAGCUAAAAAACUUGAUAUCAUGAUCAGAAAACAUGCUUUUAAGAACCCUAUAAAGUCAAACUAUCUCCCUAAAGAAUAAGCUUGCUCUUUUAUGACUGAAAUAAUCAUGUGGUCAGACUCUCUUAUAUUUGUGGAUCUUAUGUUAUCGAAACCUAGCACCAUGUUCAUGAUCAAAAUUAUCAGCCUUUUCAUCUAUUAGCUAUAGAUUCCACUAAAGGUGAAAUAUUUCUUCUUACAUGCCUUCUACCCCCGAGACCUUUAUGGACUAGCACAUCUUAAAGACUAGCUAUUUCGGUUCUUAAUCCAUCUAUCCCAUUUAAAACCUUUCUAAAUUUCUUGUUCAUCUUCUCUAAUUAUUUUUGCAUAACCAAAUAACCCUAUUGCAUAUUAUUAUUCUCCUUCAACGGUGAUGAUCCAUUUUUUGUUAACAUUAUCAAAAUCUAAAAAUCGUGUUAGUAGCAAUAGAAAAUAUACCCUCACACAUUUCUUCACGCGUUUACAUUCAAUAGAUGUCACUCCUCUUGUGUUUCAAACAAAUUUUCUACUUAUCACUAUAAUAAGCUCAGUUUUUGCUUAUUAUCUUAUCACUCAAUUUUAAAAAUCUUAGUUCUUUAAGGAACUCAUUCACAACAAAUUAGAAAAAUUAAUUACUUAGUGAUACAAUCCAAAAUAAUUAUAUAGACUCAUAAAGCAAUAAAAAAAAACCAAAAAAUAUUAUUACAAAACUACGAAUAUAAAAUCACGAAUAAUAAAGCAAAUAUGAACAAUACGAAGACAUGAAAAAAUUACUAGAAUAAGAAAACUAAUGAAACAAGACUCAAAUAACUCAAACUAAGAAAAUACAUUAUUUUUGGAUUGAUUUUUGUGUAUCAAACCCAAAAAUCAACAACAAAAUAAUUUUUUGAUGCAAAGUUACCCAUUAUAAAUUAUGUUUGUAAUUUACCUAAAUAACCCAAAAAGUAUAUCUAAAUAAUCUCAAAAUCAAGACAUGUCACUAAGAUAUCCCAAUAAUAAAGAAUUUUUAGAUUUGAGUUGCCAAAUCCAAGAUUUGAUAAAAACAAAAACCUUAAUUUUUUUUUUGCUAAACCCUACUUUUUCCUUGAUGAAAUUUCUUUGAUCUUUCUUAAUCUUUUUUUUAAUUGUAUACAAUUCAUCACAAAUAAUAUUGUAUUUUUAACUUUUGCUACAACCAAGUUCUAGAUGACAACAACGAUAAAAUAACUUGGAAAUUAUAAGAUAAAGAGAUAUAACAUGAUUUUAAAGCCUUGCUCUAACACAAACUAAUAUGAACCCUAUGUAUAUAAAGAUCCAAAAACUCAUAGUCAAAUUGACCCUUCCCAAGAAAGCUAAAUUCAAGUUUUGUAAUUGAGUUUGACACAAUGACAACCUAUAUCAAGACACUAAAACUAUAGAAAUCAAUCCCCCACCCAACACCUAUGAAAAGACAUGAAAAAAGUAUAAAAGAUGCUACGAAGCUUGGUUAAUUCUUUGAUAAGUCAGAAUAGUUUAAUGAAUAACCAAAUUAAAAGAAUUCCCUCAUAAUCACAUAAUAAAUUAUUCUGAAAUCAAAGUCUGUAAAAAAAAAAACCUAAAUACAAGCUAAAUAGCCUUAUUUAUAAUAGGUAAAAACAUCUUAAACGAGGCUGCAAAAAAAUAAAAGAGUUAUAAAUAAAAUAAAAUAAAGAAUCCUAGAUCAACUAGAAAACUAAUACAAAUCAUGCACAGUAACUUAUAAACCUUAUCGCAAGGCCUUACUGGUGUUCGAUUGACUAGAAUUUUAACCUAAUAUAAAACAAUACCUCUAAAAACUUCUUGUAAAAUUUCAACCCGAUCUAAUAGUCAGAUAAAAAAUUAUUUUUGUUAGCAUAAAAUUAUGCAUUAGAAAAGCCAAGCUAAACCCACGAAGUAGAUGGAUUAGGUUCUUCUUGUACAUUAAUUAAAUUGAUUAAGGUCUGAUCAUCACUUGUUGAAGAUGUAGCUUUCUUGAAAGUCACCUUAGCUCAAUACUCUGAAUAAGCCCAUUGAAUUUAUUUUUGAGCUUCUUUGUCAUUGACCUUAUAAUUGGCCUAGUUGGAACUUUUAAAGAAUCAUUUGGUGUAGUUUAGAUCAUAUUAAUUGUUUGCAACAAUGUCAAAGAGUUCCUUGAUAUGUUUGAUUUUUAUAUGCUCUUACUUUUAAUUUUAUACUAUUUUAUCUUAAAUAUUUCAAUUUUAUAUAGUUUGUAUUUAUAUAUAGGAAGAUAUAAAUUCAUGGAAUCAUGAGCUUUGGAGUGAAAAUUCAGCAUUUGAUCCUUGAAUUCUAGCCAAACAUUAGCUCUAAUUGGAUUUAGACUCGUGGUAUUGAGGAAUCCCAUUUAAAUUUAAAAGCAAAUUAAAUGAGGAAAUGUACUUUAAAGAGGUCUGAUUGAAUUGUGUAUAUGCUUGGGAAAAUAAAGGAAAUAGGAAAGUGAAAUCUCAUAUUGUAAGAAUAAGAAACUUUCCUUACCAGAAAUUUCAGUAACAAGUCUCGGUAAAUAAGGCAUAACUUUCUCUAUAGAUAUCUAACUUAAGCACUCUUAGUUUCAAAAUAACAUUAAGAGGAAGAUCUAAGACUUUUAUGAUUAUUUUUUUCUCAAAAUAAGUCUAUCUAAUGGAGAAAAUAAGGCUACAAGUUAGAGGUUAAAAUUUACUGGUUUUGGAAAGAAAAUAAUAAUAAUAAUAAAAACAAAUAAAAGGAGAUUUUGGACCAAAGAAAGAGACAAAAUCAAGGAAGAGAUCACGACUAAAGUUGAUAGAAAGGGUUCUUUUUAUCAUUGAAAGGAGGAGAGAGACUAGAAGAAACCAGGCAUUGCAAUGGAGUUUUUCUUCAACCUAUUCCAUGCAAAAAAGUUUUAUUCUUCUCUUUAAUUUUAUUUUGAUGUAUUCCAAUAAGAACAUGGUUUAUAAGAGAUUCAUUAUGAACUAGAUUUUGUUUUUCUAAGGAUGUAAUGUAGUCUAGUUUUGAUUAUACAACUUAAAUUCCAAGUUCUUUUAUUUUUAUUUUUUUCAUAUUGAAUGUUUAUCCUUGAUCUUAUUGCUUAUAAUUUUCUAACCAAUUAUUGUUUAAUCUAUUGAAUUAUAAUGAGACUAGGGGUUUUUGAUUAGAAGCUUUCAAGAUUAAACAUCAUUAGUUGAACAAAAAAUAGAGAAACUUUAUUGCAAUUAAUGUGGUUAUAGAUUAAGAAAAAUACAAAGAAUUUAAUGAAUCUUUAAUUAAUUUAAUUUACAUAAAGAUAUGUUGAAUUAUUCAAUAGAGAUAUUAUUAAUCUUGUUUGAGAGUAAACAUUGAAUAAUUAAAGGAUUUUUUAAUCAUCAAUAUAAAGAUUUGGAAUUUUAUAACAAUGAAUAAUAAAUCGUGUGAGAUUAAUUAAGUGAAUCUAAAGCUCUAUAUUUAUUUUUUAUUGUCUCCACAACCUUAAUUUUUAUUUUUUGUUCUUUUAAUUUAGUUUUCUUCAAAUACUUUAGUUUAAUCAGGUGCUCAAUUUUAUAAAACCUCAUUUUUAUUCCUAAAUAGUGAUAAUUUAGUAAAUUUUAAUAUUCAAUAGCAUAAUUAGUUCUUAUGGGUUCAACACUUUUUUCUUCACAAAAAAUUUACUCCUUGUUGUGAUUUUGUUUUCUUGCAAAGAUUUAUCACAUCAUUCUAUAUGUCCUAGACAUUAUUCUUUUUAUUUUUUGUGUAAAAAAAACCUUUAUCCAACCCGUAAAGUAGCAUGAACUAGUUAUCUAAUUAAAUCUAAAACCCAAUUCCUAGUAGUGAAAAAUAUGAAUUUUGAUGCUUCUUUUAGAUAAUAAACUUUAUAGUAGAAAGGAUUAUGGUAAGUUAUUUAGUUCUUUUAUUCAAUUCUUACUUUCCUUCCUUUUCUUUUUAUUUACCAAUGCUCUAAUUGUCAUUUGAUGUUAUAAUUGGUCCCACUACUAAGAUCAAUUUCUUUGCUUUUCAGAAUGAUUUUUUGUGAUUAAAAUUUUAUUAUAUUUAUUGUUUUUUAGAAUGAUCUUUUUAGAAUGUCACCUAUAAUUAAUUAAAAUAAAACUAAUAAAAUUAAAUCAAAAUGUAGCAAAUCAUUAAUUUGGAGCUUAGUUAUGUUUUUUUAUUAGUGGAUCCUUAAAAUUAAAAUAAAACUAAUAGAGGAAUGAAUUUAUGCUUUUUGACAAGCUCAACUAAUAUUAAAAAAGAACUCUUAAUGAAAAGUUAGUAUAAAUUUUCUAUUCAUAUCUAUAUCUUUCACAUUUGUCUUGCAUAUAUAAAAACAAGACUCUUCAAAAUAAAAGAAUUCGUAAGAACCAUUUUGCAUUGUAAAGCUGGAAAAUUAUUAAAUAAAAUUAAAAGCCAUGAAGCAAAGUUAUAAAAAAUUACUUCAAUUUUUAAGUGUAAAACUACAUCAUUUUUUUUAUCUAAAAACUAAAUGCUUUUUCUAUCUAUAACUCUGCAAUGUUAAUAUGAAUAAUGAAAGGCAAUAAUGUUUUUUGGGAUUAUAUUAAUUAACUAGCUAGUUGAUCCAUGCUGCAUGUUAAAAAAAACCAACAUAAAAAAAUAUAAAAAUAUUGUUAACAUGUUUGCUAACAUAAAAAAUAAUUGUGAUUGAAAACUUGAUGCAUGUAUUUAAUAAAAAAUAAUAGUGAAUCAUAUGCAUCAAUGAACAUUGAAAAGAAUUAUUAAUAACAACUAAUUAUUUAGUUGGGGAGUUAAGAGAUAAAUAUAAACUAAGGUAUUUGAUUUCGUAUCGUGAGGAGCUCUUGAAAAGUUUUUUGUUUAAUUGUUUGAAAAUAUUUUUUAAUUUUUUAUAAAAAGACAAAUAAUUUAAAUUCUAUUAAAACAAUAUAAUAUACCAAUAUGAUUUCUCCUUUUAUUAUAAAUAUUUUUUCCACAAAAACAAUAUAACUUUUUUGCUGUAUGUUCUCUAUUUAACAAAAAUCAAAAGCAAUGAAAACAAAUAUAAAAAAUGUUGGACAAAUUUGAAACAAUAAUAUAUAUAUAUAGUUAAAACCAUUUAUUUUAUUAACACAAUCCUUUUUUUUUUAACCAAAAUAUUUAUUUCUCAAUCGACAUCUUAUCAUAGUCAUAAAAGCAAGAUUUAAAUAAAAAAUAAUAUCAUGAUAAUUUUGACUAAUAAAAGAUAUAAAAAAAAAUACAUUGCUCAUGUAUUGUCAUGGGUUCUUGCCAAAGUUAUUAAACCUGACUUGGCAGCUUAACAUGUAGACCCCCUAAACCAGCCCAUUACUUGCCCUGAGUUUAAAAUCAAAUUGGGUUGAGUUGCCUGAACAUGAUUUAUUCAAUCAACCAGAUCUAAAUGUGAUCCGAUCAAUCCUGUAAAAACUUAGAUUGACUUAAAAGAAAUUCAAUACGGUGUUGUUUGAAAUUUUAAAAAAAUAUAUCUUAAAAAAUAUAUCAGAAUGAGCGAACUUAAAAUUUGAGCAGUUAAAUCUAAUUAGUUAGAAGAAAUUGAUAGCAAUUUAUCAUCAUCAAUUAUACCAAAGCAGAAUGACUAUGACAUACAACAAAAGAUCAGGACAAAAGUAUUCAAAGAAGAAGACCUGAUAUUGAAAUUUUUUUUGUCAACAUCCGGUUAAGAUUAGGGCAAAUAGACGUCAAACUAUGAAUGACCAUAUAUGAUGAAUAAAAACUUUUCUAAAGGAGUCUUGAUUUUGACCAAGAUGGAUAGAGAUAAUUUAUCUAAGCUUGUAAGAUGUUGUAAAGAAGUAUUAUGCAUAAUGUACUUUGUUCAUAAAUCAAGAAAGAUAAAAGUUUGGUCAAGAUUUCUUUGAUGCUUUUUUUUUGUAAACUUUGAAAAAAAUCUUGUGAUCUUAUAGGCUAAAAAAACCUUAUUUUUAUAUCUUCACAAAAGAUCAAAAAGUUUUCAGAAAAUCAAAGUUAUUAGUAUAAAUUAUAAAGUCAAGAUGAUGUUUAUUUCAACAACCGAGUUUCGAGAAUUCAAGUAAUCCUCGGUAAAAUGACCAAACAGAAUAAACCAAAUACCAUCUAAAAUAACUUUGAAACCAAGUUUUAAUUGAAUGAAUAAUGGUUCAUAAUAAAAAUAAUUUUGCAUGUUCAACCAAUCAUAAUGGAUAAGCGCAAAGCUUACUAAUCCUAAACACAAGCAUUUGAAAUAAAAAAAAGUUAUCUUUGAUAAUCAUUUCACAAUAAUUAAAAAAUAUCUUAAAAAAUAUUAAGAUGAAAAUGUUUUGGAUUAACUUGAACCAUGCUAAUUCAUUAAACUAUGAUUCGAGUCUAUAUUUUAAUACUAAUAACUUUGUGUUCUAAAUCUAUUUUGUUUAAUCAAAUUACAUGAUAAUAAAAACAAACAUGUGUAUAAAAGCAACCAAAAAAAUAAUGAAAAAGAGCUAUUGUUAAUCUUAUAAAAAGAAUGUCAAAUUAGAAAAUUCUCCAAACACUAAAAAAAAAUAAGAGAAAUAUUAAAAUUCACAGUGCCUCCUCUCAUAAUCUAUAAUGUUUUGAAGUGCCCAAUUUUUUUUAAGAAAAAAAUUGUAGUUUAAUAUUAAUUUCCCUGUGAGGAGUACACAAAUCCCAAUUUGACCAUUUUAGCAUCCUAGCAUCACACAUCGAUUUUUCAGGCCAUUUAUAUUAUUUUACAACCAAUAUAUUGAGCUGGCAAUUUCGGGUAGGGAAGAUGGUAAGGCCACCAACACCAACCUUACACAGUCAAUAAUCAGCUCACCUGAAAUACUUCACGACCAACAUUUUUUGCUCUUUCUUUCUUCCAUUCUUGAGUUUUCUUGCAACUCUCCAAACCUUACCAGAAAUCCCACUUCCCGAACGAAAUAGAAAUCGCUACCAAGUUAAGUCGAUUGCGUAAACUGCCUAAGCCCAUGCAUGCCAUUUUUUCAAGCUUGGUGUCUAACACCCAGUUUGGUGAGUUAGCUCAUCUCCCGUCUUUUCUUUACAUAUCUUGCUUAUGUUAUCUUCGUCUUCUUCCACAUGGACUUUCUUUAGACCUCUAUCCUCUCAAUGGAAUUGCCAGUGAAGGCACCAGCGUCUGGUGGCCAGAAAACUACGUAUACAAUAGAAACCAAAAAAUUGUCCUACAAGUUAUGCAGCAAAUUUGAUGAGUUCAACUGGAUCUGUUGUGGAGAGACUCCAAGAGGAGUUCCAAAACUCAUUCUGAGGGACGUGAGCUGUGCAGCUAGGCCCGGAGAGAUCACCGCAAUUGCUGGUCCUAGUGGAGCAGGGAAGACCACAUUACUAGAGAUCCUUGCUGGAAAGAUAUCUUCAUGUAAGGUGUCUGGUCAAGUUCUGGUAAAUAGCCAGCCAAUGAAAGAAAAACAUUUUCGGAGAAUAUCCGGGUAUGUGACUCAAGAUGAUUCUCUAUUUCCAUCGCUAACAGUAAAGGAAACACUACUGUACAGUGCCCUUUUAAGGCUUCCAGGAGGGAAAAAAGAGGCUGCUAAUAGGGUGAGAAGGCUACUGAAGGAGCUUGGACUGGAACAUAUUGCAGAUUCAAGGAUAGGUGAGGGAUCAAAUUGGGGCAUUUCCGGUGGCGAAAGGCGUAGAGUUUCGAUUGGAGUUGAUUUAGUCCAUGACCCUGCCGUUGUUUUCAUUGAUGAACCAACUUCAGGUCUGGAUUCAGCAUCAGCUCUUCAUGUAUCGACUCUGCUCAAGUCAAUGGUGGUAAAUCAAGGUAAGACCAUUGUUUUAACCAUCCACCAACCAGGUUUUCGAAUACUCGAGCUGUUUGAUCGCCUUGUUUUGCUGUCCAAUGGAUAUGUUGUCCACGAUGGCUCAUUGCAUUCUCUUGAAGAAAGACUGAAGUUUUCUGGUCAUCGAAUUCCUCUCCAUGUCAACGUGCUUGAGUUUUCCAUCGAUGCCAUAGAAAGCCUGGAAAUGCAAAAUCCAGUGUUUAUCACCAACGAAUGCUCUCAUGAGACCAGAAACGAGGGAGGCCAUACCAUGAGGACCCCAAACUUUAACAAUCAUCAAGAAAAGCCUCUCUGCUAUCCUAAUUCUAUUUUGGGGGAGGUUUUGAUACUAGGACAAAGGUUUUGCAGCAACAUUUUCAGAACCAAGCAACUAUUUGCUACAAGAGUGGUGCAAGCGCUGGUCGCUGGACUAAUACUUGGAACCAUAUACUUGAAUGUUGGAAAGAAAACAGGGCAAGUUGCAUUGCAGACUCGAAUCGGGUUUUUGCCUUCAGUCUCACCUUCUUGCUAUCUUCCACAACAGAAGGCCUGCCUAUCUUUUUGCAAGAAAGAAGAAUACUGACGAGAGAGACCUCAAGAGGAGCUUAUAGAGUUUCUUCUUAUGUUCUAUCAAACACCCUCAUCUUUCUUCCUUUCCUUUUAAUGGUUGCUCUUCUCUACUCUACCCCAGUCUACUGGCUUGUCGGAUUGAGGAGGGCAAUUGAUGGAUUUCUGUACUUUUCUCUAGUGGUGUGGAUGGUGAUUUUGAUGUCGAAUUCGUUCGUAGCUUGUUUCAGUGCUCUAGUGCCUAACUUCAUAAUGGGGACGUCAGUGAUUUCAGGACUGAUGGGAUCCUUCUUUCUUUUCUCCGGUUACUUCAUAUCGAAGAAUAAGAUUCCUAGUUACUGGAUUUUCAUGCACUAUCUGAGUUUGUUCAAGUACCCAUUUGAAUGUUUUUUAAUAAAUGAAUAUGGAGGAGAGCAAGGCAACAUGAGGUGCAUAGAGUAUGAUAAAGGGGAAUGCAAACUUUAUGGAAGGGAGUUCCUAAGACAGCGAGGCCUGAAAGAUUCACGAAAAUGGAGCAAUUUAGCUGUGAUGUUGGGUUUUAUUAUUGGGUACAGAGUGCUAUGUUUUGUGAUUUUGUGGUUUAGAUGUUACAGAAGAAGAUGAAAUUGUUCAUCAGCCUUUUGUUCCUGUUUUUAUUGUUUUUACUCGAUAUUCUUCGAAGAUCAAGCCAGCCUAUACAAUCUCUCUACAUUACUUGUCUAUUUACAUGUGAUUAUAAGUAAAAGAUAACAAAAAACAAUUAUCCAUGUAUAUGCUUUGAUAAAAAGAGAAGCUUGCCCAGUUUUUGCUUGCCAAAAAUUCAAACGAGUGCAAGAAUUUCAAGUACUGGAUCGAUAUCUUCAUGGAUUUUGCUUCCAGGGGACAAAACUUUAUCUGCUAAAAAGUCGUCCUCAUAAAUUUCAUAAAUGCCCAGCUUAGAUUUCUUGAAAUCGUUUUCUUUCACAGCACACGUUUUGGUGCUUCGACACAAGCUAAUCACUCUCUGGUAGCUUAAAAUGAGAGCACUUGUAAAUAUCAUAGAAACAUAUCUUCUUUUAAUCAUUAUUAAAAGGUGGCAAAGAUAUUAUUUUAUAAUUAAAAAAAUUAAAUAAAAAUAGAAUAAUCUCGUUAAGUAAAAAAUAAAAUGAUUUGAAACUCAACUACAAACAAAUUAAAUGCAAAAAUACAAACUAAAUAAUUAAUUUUAGAAAAACAAAAAACCAUAGCUCGAGUAAGCAUGCGAAAUUCAAGGUCUUAUCAUUAGAUCAAGAUAAUCCCGUAUAAAAUAAAUUAAAUAAAAAAAUAAAGAUUAAUUCUCAAUCAAAUUAAAUGAUGGAAAGAUAAACAUCAAAAGAAAAUCAAUUAAAAAAAUGUCAAAAAAACAUGAGUCAAUUCUGAUUAACUAAACCAACCCGUGAUCUAAAUCAUGAGACUGAAAUAACCCUAAAGAAAAGAAAGUUGAAAAAAUAAAAAAGAACAAGGCUUAAUAAUCUAAUAUCGAAGGAUGAAAUAAAAAAAAUUAAUUUUUUUUUAUUAAAAUACCAAAUUCAAAUUGGAAUAAUUUUUGAAACUCAUAGUCCAAGUCAUGAAAUCAGGAUUAUCUUAUAGAAGACAAAUAUGAAAAAAUCACAAAGCAAAUUUUUAAUUAUCAAAAUACCGGAUGAUGAAAUUAAAAAAAAAAACAAUUAAAAAAAGAAUUAAAAAACAAAAAAAAAAGCAAUAAAAAAAAUAGAACCAAAUUUGAUAUAAAAAUUAAAUGAAAUAAAAUAAUGAGGGAUGAAAUUAAAAAAAAUAGUGUUUUAAUUCUUCUAUAAUGUAUUUUUUAAAUCUAAUAAGAGUAAAUAAAUCAUUUGACUAUAAUAAAAAAAUUUGAAGACUAAUGUUAUGUUUUUGAUAAUAAGAAAAAGAUCAUACUAUUUCAAGAUAUUUGAGUUUUUUUAAGAAAGAAAAAAUUAUUAUUUCUCAUUCCAAUUCAAAGCUAUAUGUGUCUUGAACGAUUAAAUUUCACUAAAAUAGUUUCACUAAAUUUCACUAAAAUAGUUUCAUUAGCAUCUAAAGUCUUAUAAAAUAAAGCAUUAUAAGAUGACAUAUAAACCAUAAUUUAUAAUAUUUGAUAUUUGAAUGAAAUCAAUUAAAUUAAAAUUAAUUAGUAGAUUGUGUUUCACGCAUAUAUCUUUAAUAAAAAUGAAUAUUUAAUAAAAAAAUAAUUAAUUCAAAAAAAAAAAACAAAGCAUGUUGAUUAUAUCAAAAUUACGAGGAUGGUGAAAUGUUAAGUCCUUUCAGUUUUUUAUUUUUUAAUUUAACUUUAAUUUUAAUAGCUUUUUUAUUUAUCUUUUUCAUUAUGCAUAUGUUUUUAUUGUCCUUGAAUGUGUUGGUAAAAGGGAGAAAAGCUUUAUUUGAUAUGAAAACCAUUCAAAGCUCCUGGUCCAGAGAUGGAUUCCAGCCUUUCUUCCAGAGCUUCUACACCAAUUCGCCCGCUUGGACUCUGCAAUGUCAACUUCAAGAUCUUAACUAAGCUCCUGGUGAACAGACACAAAAAUCUAUUGCCGAAUUCGGUCACCGAGUUUCAGAGCAGCUUUGUUCCGGGGAGGCAGAUUACAUAUGAUAUUACUGUGACUCAGGAGAUCAAUCAUUUUAUGAGAAGCAUGAAAGGAAGAAAAGGCUCAUGAUCGUCUCAGGUGGGAUCUCAUCAGUUUCAGAUAAUAUAUCACCGAGAGCCCUCCGCAGUAGGGAUCAUCUUCUCCUUGAUUCAUAUUUUUAAUUCUUAAUGCCUGCAUUCUUUCUAGACCAAAAGAAGAGAAAAGAAAAGAGCAACAAAAAUGGUGAUAAUAUGACACUGAUAAUGUUAGUAAAUCUUUUCAGAUCACUUCCUAUUUCUCUUCUUUAUUAAGAAAAAUAAAAAAGGAAGGAAGGAAGGAAAAUCAUCUUUUUUUACAAAAGAAUUUACGGGGAGAUUCUCACUCCCAGAAAAGCUAACGCUACCAAAAAAUCUCUUUUGAAACAAACCUGGCUCUCAUAUUUGCUCCCGACAAUAAGACUUGGAGAAUGCUGUUAAUUGUCCCGGUCAUAUAUAGAACUGAAGGUCAUGGUAGCGUAUGAAGCGUCCACUCCUAAUGAUGAAGAUGAACUUCCGACCAUGCCUGAAGUCGAAGAUGAAUUCUUCAUUUCCCGCUUGUUAUUCUGGUCUUUUCCACCUUUGUGUUUGGGCAUUUUGUCACCUUCAAAACUCGUCAAUUCAGACAGCAAGCCAGGCCUUGAUAUCUUGUCGUUCACUUCUAUCUCACCCAUUAACAUCAUGACAACAGUAGACAUGGAUGGACGCUGCUUUGGCAUGUCUUGGAUGCAAAGAAGACCUAUCUUCAGGUAAUUGCAAGCCUCUUCGACAUCAUAAUCCCCAGCCAGCGAUGUGUCCACCAAAUUAACCAGCUCCUGCUUCUGAUAAAAUUCCCAUACCUGCAGAUUGCAUCUUUACUCAACAAGAUCUCUGUGUGACCAAAUUCAAAAGACAACUACUUUGAAGCCCAUUAAAACUUGAUUUGAGAAAUGAAAUUAGAUUGUUGCACCAUUUAAGCUGAAAAGUCAUUGAUUACUGAAAGAAUCGCUAAAUAUGAGCUGACUGCUCCUCUUUUUUUAAAAACCUAGAACGAACUGCUUUAGGAAACAGACAUCUAAUAACUGCUUUUGGAAUCGAUUGCAAAAUCCACUCAGCUCUAACUGACAUGAGGAAUUGGGAAGUAAGGGUUAUGAAACUAGAGCAGGGCAGAAAAGGAAAGACCGAUGCUCAUAUGAGAAAUAAUGCUUGUAUACUGACUCCCUAAAAUAAUAAAGAGCUCAAAGUUCAAGACGUAGAAUUGUAGAUUGAAGAUGGAAUGGUGUUUCUAGUUUGAAAUGGGCAAUCGAUCCAUCCAACAUAGAGCAAAAAUGAGCAUUUAUUCUAGAGGGUUUUGAUGGCUGACGCUUCAACUUGAAGUGAUCUGCAAAGAUACAGUCGCAGUGUUAUUCUACAGAAUAAUGCAUAAGAAACGACAUCAGAACAGCACUCCCCCAACACGAAGUUCAACAUAAGUAACAUUUGUCUCAUUGGAAAAAGAAUUGGCUACCUAAUUAAAACUGAAAGCUGUUUUUGUCUUCUAAUCCUAUGGAUUCCUAUCUUACAAGGAAAUUACUGAACACCACCAAUGAACUCCAUGUCAUCACAAGUCAAGAAAGCCCACAUGGAACACCAUGAAGAAAACACCAUGGUCAUAUGCACAGAAUAAGAGCACUCUAACACUCCAUACCAUUUGAAAAUGAAGAUUUAGUCCAUUUACAUGAACUCAACAGAGAAAGGAAACCGAGUGUAGCCAAUGCAAAUGCAGCCUACAAAGAUGUAUCACUUUAGGAAAAUACAGCAUCACUGUAAUAAAUGUCAAAUGCAGGAAUCGAUAACCCAGCUUGUGAGUAGUCAGAUUGGAGCAAUUUAACUAGUAUGUACUCAAUAAUGAUUAGCUAUCAAGGAAAGAAACUCUGCUCUUUGUUAAAGAGAAUUAUCUUUAAUUUUCUAUUAAGAACAAGACCCGAAUUUUCUUUAAAAGAACUGAAGACAAAAUUGUAGUGAGUUCAAAAGGCUCAUACCUUUUCAACCAGAUAUUGCUCUUCUAGAGGAAAUCGCCUGUUUGUGUUGGACCUCCCACUAACAAUUUCCAACAAUAGAACACCAAAACUGUAAAUAUCAGCUUUCCUUGUCAACUGACCUCGAAUUGCAUAUUCUGGCGCCAGAUAUCCUCUGCACACGUGAAACAAGAACAGGAAAUUGUUAUAGCUAUGGCUCCACAGACAUUUUGGUCAAAUAUGCAAAAAGAAAUUCUGUUUAUCUAUGGCUCGAAUCCAUAUCGUCAAAGUCUCAUGUUAUCACUUUUCGAUAAGCAUACUGCAUAUUUUAGCAGGCUCCACAGUAGCUUGUCUCAAUUUAAUUUCUGCAAAUUAAAUUGUUCAAUUAAAUCAUAACGCAUAAAAAAUUAAGAGUAAUAACAGUCUGUUCACCCAACUUAUGAAGGAAGGUAUAUGGUCCAUUGUUAGAUGAUCACACCCACCUCAGAGAUAUAUAGCAUGGGAAAUAUACGAGAGGAGAUGCACUAGUAUAUGACAUUGUUGAGGCCAUCCAUCUUAUUUGUUAAGGCAACUAAGCAGCAACAAUUAGGCUAAACACCAGUAAAAAAACUGCUAGGAGUUGCAUUUCAGUUUACAUUGAAUCGAACACAAUACCUGUGAGAAGAAAGUAUAACAGAGUUGAUGAACUUACGCAGUUCCAGCAACGUUUGUGCUAAUAUGAGUCAGGUUUGCUGGGAAAAGUUUUGCAAGACCAAAGUCUGAAAUCUUGGGUUCGAGUUCGUCAUCAAGGAGAACAUUGCUUGCUUUAAUAUCCCUAUGAACAAUAUGUGGCUGGACUUCCUCGUGAAGGAAUGCAAGCCCUCGUGCAACUCCAACGCAUAUUUUGCGCCUUGUAGGCCAAUUAAAUUGGAUAUUGCCAUGGUCUCCACCUAAAGAUGAAGGAAAUUUAUAACAGGAGCUGUUUGCAAACAAAAAUCAUAAAUGAAUGGUGGGCUUACCAAGAAGUGUUUGUGCAAGGCUGUUAUUCUUAAGAUAGCCAUAGACCAGAAUCCUAUGGUUUCCCUCUGCACAAUAACCAUACAAUUUAACCAGGUUGUUGUGCUCUAUAUCUGCAAUCACUUUUAUUUCUGUCAAGAACUCCUUUAAACCUUGCCUUGAUUCAGCUGACAGUACCUUUACGGCAGCCAUGGUGCCAUCUUUGAGCAUUCCCUGUCCAUUAAAUCACUGGAAUUCAGAUCAAGGAGAAAUUUAAUAGCUAAGAGGUUGUUUACAAAGCCAUAAGCAUUAAAAAUCACCUUGUAAACAGAGCCAAAACCCCCCUCUCCAACUUUAUUGGCUGGAUUAAAAUUGUCAGUGGCCAUUCGCAAUUCCCUGUAAGUGUAAGAGCAAGUGUUCUGUGCCCAUGAAACCUCUGUACCAUAUAAAUCCAUCAUAAGUUUUUUCAUAGUACAUAGGAUUAAAAAAUAAAUUAAUAUGAGCACUGAGCUUUGUGUGUGAUCGAGAAAGUGCCCAUUUUGCCGAAGAAGAAAGGGAGAGGGGAAAAAAACAAGGAAAAGCAAGUCAGAGAAUCGUGCUGUGCGCAGCUUAUGUGACGACUGCUAUUUCACCUCAGAAACUUUUUGGUCAUAGAAACAGGUCUGAGAGAAAUUGAUUCAGUAAAUUCUCAGACCAUCAUAAUAAAAGGAAGAGUGCCAGUUAACGAAUAUUUUCUCUUUAAUAGAGACAACAAUUAGUCUAUUCAGUUGCAUACCAUCAUCAACUUCUGUGGUUUGUGUAGCUCUGGAAACUCCCUUCCUUUUGCAAAAACAAGAAAAACAAGUCAUCAGCAGAUUGUUAGGAUGGACAAAUCCCUACCAAAAUCAAGUCCCAGCCCUGCAAAACAUUAAAUCAUGAAUCGUUAUGAAAUCCCAUUCCCGUAAGCCUGUUCUUGCACUGUCAAAACUUGAUAGUUAUUUCCUGACAGAUUGAAAAGAAAAAGGUAUGGAGUCAUUUGUCAGUCAAAUGAUGAUGGCAACGACAAUGGAAGCCCUUGAUAACAAGACUCUUCAUCCAAGGGAUUCUAGAUAUCACAUUAGCAAAUGAAUGGCUCUAGAUCACCUCAGUCGGCUGGUGUUGGCUAAUGGCAGCAGCAGAAAUGGAUAGAUCAAAGCAAGCUGUAAAGCAGGCAGAAGCAGAUGACGGAGAGAGGAAGAGUCUUAUAGAAAUCCGGUCGUUCAGGUUAGAGAGCAGAAAAAACAUAAACAUAGACUUUUUAGACACGGUGCUGUCAAAAGCGUUUUGAGCAUCCAUAAAUACAAACUAGGAAUUGAGUUGAAAAGUCCCACAUGACAAAAUAUCAAGUCUAAAAGUCUCCAACGAGUAACCACUGCUUCCGGUGAUACAACGGUUUUAUUUUUAUAUUAACUUUUAUUUUUAUUUUUGUUAUUGUUAUUUUUUUUAUUAAUUUUUUAAUUGAAAUUUUUUAUUUAUUAAAUUUAAUCUUUAUUUUUUUAUUAUUAUUUAUUUUAUUUAAAAUAAUUUAUGAAAUUAUAAUUAUUUGUUUAAUUUUAAAUUUUUUAUCUAUUAGACUUAAUUUUUAUUAUUUUAAUUAUUAUUUAUUUUAUUUAAAAUAAUUUAUAAAAAUAAUUUUUUUUUCAAUUUUCUUUUCUUUUAAAUUUUUAAUUUAUAAAAUUAAUUUUUUAUUAUUUUAAUAAACUUGAAAAAAAAUAUUAAUAAGCUAUUUUCCAACUCAUUUUUCAUUACAUAACUUGAAAAUAUUUUGUAACUUAUUUUUCAUAAUAUUAUCAUUACAAAAUAAUUUAUUUUUAAAAAAAUUAAAAAAAUAUUUACCAAAAAAAAAUUACUGUCAAGCAAGCAAAAUGAAAUAAAUGCUUUUGACGUUUUGGUGAAUCCCACCCGUAUGUCUGUUAUAAACUAACAUGGAGAAAAAUAUAUUGGAGUUAUGUUUUUUUUUUUUUUGAUGACCGAGGUGUUCGGGUCAGCUUGCGCGCACCACAACUAAUCACCGGGCCCACUAAACAUCCUGCAAGCCCAAUGAACAGGUAAAACACCACAGGGGUGACAGAGUAUACAGAAAGGAUCGAACCUGGGACGUUCGCAAGGAUUGAACUUACAGUUGACCACAACAGCUAGGCCUUCAAGUGUGAGUUAUGUUCUUGAAGGCUUAACUGGUGACGUGGUAUGUUGAUUUUGCUCACUCUGGGUUGUGCUGAAUGGUAAUGUUUUUUUUUUAAAAUAUUAUUUUUGUUAUUAAUAUAUUAAAAUAAUUUAAAAAUAUAAAAAAUUAAUUAUUAUGAAACACAGUUUGAAAUUUUUUUAAAAAAACCCUAAAUAUAACUAAGUGUUAAAAACAUAAUAUUCUAGAUAUCAACUGUGUAAUCAAUUUACAGCAAAUUCUUUUUUGGGAAGAUAAUUGCUUAACUUAUGUUUAUAUUUUAUUUUUAGUCUUCAAUCCUUUUUUUCAAAUCUAAUUGCUUCCAAUUUAUCCGUUAAUUUAGAAUCAUUCUCUAAUCUAUCAUUCUGUCAAAUUUCUCAUCCAAAGAGAUGAAAAUACCGACAUGUGAAAGAGUUGGACCUCAUAUCAUUCAUUAAGAAAAUAAUUUUAACACCGCAUGAUGAUUCUUUUUCUUCUAAUUUACUUUUUUUAAUAAAUUAGUUGGGUUCAGAUUUUUAAAUGAGUUUUUCCAUUAAUCUAAAAUAUAAGAAUAAAUUGGGAUUAAUGAGAUUUUAAAUAAUAAUAAUAAUCAUGUGGAAAUCUAGUCAGUGUGCGCGUAUCUCGACUAAUUCUACGGAUCCUGAAAUUAAUAACCAUAUAUACUUCUAGUAUUCCUAAAAUUUAUAAGACUUGAACUGGUAAUCUCUAAAAAUCAAACUCAUGACUUAAUUAGUUAAGUUAUAUCCUUCAUUGUUGAAGAAUAGACUUGUUAAAUUAUAUGUGCAUAUAUAAAUUAAGGUAAUUUCUUAAAAUAAUGAUAUAAUUUUUAAAAAUAAAUCGAAAAUUGAGUAUCUCUUGGUUGAGCUGAAUCUCUUGUACUGGAGUCUUUAAUGAUUGUUGUCCAAAUUAUCAAGUUGUUAUCUUUUUUGAGUGUGUUGUUAUUUUAAUAUAUGCUAUAUUAUCUUAAUUAAAAAUUUUAAAUUAUUUUAAAAUAUAAUUUUAAUUGCUAUAUUAAAAACAAAUUAAAAAUUAAAAAAAUAUUAUUUUAAUAUAUUUCCAAUAAAUAAUAUUACAUUGUCUCCAUCAUUACAUUCUGCUGCUUUCAUUGUCUAGAGUUCAAUCUAUUAUAUUACAGAGUUUAAAAGCGUUGAAUCAAUAAAUAAUAUUUAAAAGGUUAAAAACUUGACAAACUAAGAAGAGUUUUAAAAGAAAGAGGAUGGAAGCAUCUGCAAAUCUUGUUUUUAUUCAAAAUGUCCAUUAAUACAUCAACAAGUGAGUUUCCACCAAAUUCUGUACGGGAAGGAGAAGUCGUCGACGACGACCAGCCCUAUCAAUCCAAGAAUACUGAAAAAUAAUUUUUGAGAUACUGUUAGUUGUUUUUUAAAAUAAUUUUUAUUUAAAAAUAUAUUAAAAUAAUAAUUUGUAUUUUUAAAAAAAUAUUUUUAAUAUUAAUACAUAAAAAAAAUCUAGAAAUAUAGAAAAAUCAAAUUUUACCUGAGAUCCAUUUAAAACACAAUACCAUCAAAUGUUGGUAUUUCUCAAAUAUUUUCUUUCUUAUAUCUCACGCAAAUAAAGACCAAUCACAAAUCGACAAGGCAAUUCAGUUCCGACCAGUCAAAUGAUAAUGACUGCAACAAUUAAUAGGCUGGAAUUUUGAGACACACCGAACGGGAGAAAGUUUCUUUCUUUGGCUUUCUUUGGCUUUCUUGAGGUGGAGGCACCUGCAGGGAGUAAUUUGAAAGUUCUAAAUGCGCGGACAUCUUUACAGAACACUGCUCCCCGUCAGAAGAGCAGUUCGAGGAAGCUUCCCGUCAUUAUUGAAUUCUCGUCCCUGCUUCGACUAUAACAAGAAUAAUGGUUGAUUUGUUUCUAGAAGUGAUUUCCAAAAAACAAUAUUUUAAUUUUUUUUAUAUUUAUUUGUUAUUAAAAAAAUUAAUUAAUGUAAAAUAUUUUUCGGUUAAUGAAAAAUAUUUUUAUAUAAAAAAAAAAUUUGGCUUAAUUUUUAAGAAAAUAUUUUUCUUUUAUUUUGGAAGAAAAAUACUUUCCAAAAAUUAUAAAAAAAUUAAAAAUAUCAUAUUAUUUACUGAUUAUAUCAAAUUUAAUUCUCAAACUUUUAAUUGCUAUAUAUUUUAUUUAAAUUUUUUUUUCAAAUUCAUCUCUUAAAAUUUGAUUUAAUUUGAUUUUUAUAUUAGUUUUGAUCUUUAUUUUUAUAAUUGUUAUUUAUUUUUCUCUUAUCACUUUUUAAAUUGAAAUUUUUUAUCUAUUCAAUUUAAUGAUUCUUAUUCUUUUUACUUAUUUUAUUUAAAAUAAUUUAUAAAAUUAUAAUUAUUAUUAUUAUUUUAAUUUCAUCUUUUAAUUUUUUUAUCUAUUAAAAUUAUUUUUAUUAUUAUAAUUAUAAUUAUUAUUUUAAAUCUACUUUUUGAUAAAAAAAAAAAAAAGGCUAAAGGAGGAUAAGAAAAUGACAAGCAACCAAAGGAGAUGAGCUCCACCAUAAUCCCAAUCUUUCCGUUAGUUUCGAGGAAAAGAAGACUCAUUUAAACCAUGGACAAGCCCAUCAGCCGGAGACCUUCGACGCAAUAGACGGGCAGUAGGAGGCCAAUGCAUCCAAUCAAACCUGCAAGACUGAAAAGACCUGCUCGGAGAUGGAUUUACAGAAACAUAAAAUCAAAUCAGUGUUUUAAAGCAAGUUAUUUAUAUCCUCUACAGAAAAGAAAAUGCUCGUUUGUACAGGGAAUGACAGCAAUUGAAUUCAUAAUCAAAUAUGAAUUCAAUUAUUCCAUUUUCUUAUAUCGAAUACAUGUUUCAAGGAGCUGAAAAUAGACUGUUACAAACAUAAUAGCACUAUGGGUAUGUGAAAACCAUUGGCUUUGCCAGCUCCAGCGCUUUAUCACGCCCAAAAAGCUUCUCCACGAUUCCCAGGGCAAACUCCAUUGUGGUGCCAGGACCUCUGCUGGUGAUGAGGUUGCCAUCAACCACAACCCUGUUUUCGAUCUCACUUGGAUCCGACAGCUUGUUACACAUUGCAGGAAAAGCUGUGGCUUUUUUACCCUACACCAAAGGAAAACAAAUUCAUGAUCUCAAAGCAGUGCCAGCAAAUUCUCAGACCAAAAAUAGGAGGGGGGGCAAGACUUGUACAUCAUCAUGACGUACAUAGUUUAUUAAGCAGGACACAGUUUCAAAUGCUAACUGUGUAAACUUGUAUAAGAUCCAAUACACGAAAUGCAGGAUCAAUUUGGUUCUGGAUUAUGUCGGCCUUACAAGUGGAAAUUAACUCGGCCCUUGUAGCUUCUACUGACUUUCAAUACCAUCUCAAUACCUCAAACAACACCAUUAAUUAAUAGUUUACAACCAUUCCUCAUUGCUAUUUAGGAUGUCAUAAAUAUGCAAAGAAAUGAAUAUGAAAUGCUCCUGCAAGGUCAUCUGAGCUAUUUGACACCAAUUAGCUCCAGAUGAUAAUUAAAGUAGUAGGCUAAGAUUUUUAUCCCUGAACCAAGAAACAUAACGGUAUAAUUAUAAUGAUCUCAAGUAAAAUUGUCCAUCUCAUAAUAUGCAAUAGUAAGCCACAUUACUUCAAACACCUUGAAAUCCAGAAUUUUCACUCCAGUGGUGUCAAUAGUGUAAAAAUGAGCUAUCUAAAUGGUAUUAGAAGGCAAAUGGCAUAUGCUGGAACAUCAUGACCAAAUUUAGUUCUGAGCCACUUGGCAGCUAAGUUUGCAAGGCCACGUGGCUGUUUGAAUGUGAUUUGAAUAUGACCAUUCAGUGUUAAGGUUUACAUGAGCUGAAGAACCAGCAAUUUUUCUCCUAUCAUCUCUCAAGUAAAUCUCUCUUUGGGGGUUCAACGCAAAUAUUUGGACCAAGUUGGGGGGGGGGGGGGGGGGGCAAAUUGUUUUCGGUUAAAGGACCAACUAGCUCCAAAGAGACAUUAGAGGCAAGAAUAUGGUAAUAAAAAAUGAUAAAAUCUAGCACAACUAGAGGUGGCCAAGUAGCCUGAUCCAAAUGAUAAGCAAGUAACCACCUGCCUUCCACCUCAGCUGCCAAGCAGCACAGGAAUAUAUUUAAUAAUCAAUUAUUUAAUAAUUACCACGUAAAUAAUCAUAAACACCAAAAGCAACCAGAACAUAACAGCUCUAUAAUCAACUUGUGCUAUCUUGACUAAACUAGAUAGUUAAUAUUAAAUAACUCGAUGUUUUACAAGAAAUGUUGUUUAUGCUCAAUUAAAUUGAUGCUGGUCAUGGUGAUACCUUGAGUAAGCCAUGAGGCUCCAAGACUAAAGCUGGAGAUGCACACAUAGCUCCAUAUGGUCUAUUUGAUUCCCUCUGCUUCUUUAGCAUAUUCACCAGCUUUUCGGACUUUGCGAAUGCUUGGGCACCACCAAGCCCACCCUGCCACAAUGCAAUUAUGCAAAAGUUUUGGUAAGUGGUAAUGCCAAUAGAUGCCUAUCACCAAAACAGGAAAAAUAAAACAACUUACUGGCAAGACAAUUAGGUCAUAUGAAAGUUUAGCAGCCUCAUCAAGGAGCAUAUCUGCCUCUAGUUUAACUUUACGAGAGGCCAAAAUUUCCAAGCUGUCCUCAACUGAGGCCACCACUACAUUUACUUUAGCUCGUCGCAGAAUGUCAAUGAUUAUAAUUGCUUCCAUUUCCUCUGUGCCAUUAGCAAUGGGUACAAGAACCUGCAAGGAAAGAAAAUUUAAAUAUACAUAAAACAUCAAACACAUUUUCCACAAACAAACUAAUGAUGUCAAUUUGCAUCAGUGGCAAUGUCAUGACAUUGAAGGAUGGCAAAGGGUUGAAGAUUAACUUCAAGGCAUUGCUUCCCAUCAUUUGGAUAUGAAUUGUGACCAUCAGAAAGUAUCACAACCACUUUCUCACCCACACUUCAACAAAAAACAAGAAGCUAUUUAUGAUUAUUCAAAAUUUCCUUCUUAUCUAGUUCUGACCUCCGAUAAAACCAGUUGGAUGAACUCAGGUCACUGGACCAGUCAAGAUAAAGCAUUGCAAAUUAUUACUUCAAGAAGUCUAGACUCUAUAGUAAUGGAAUUGGGCUUUACAAUAUAUCAUAUGCCAAGACAUUACUAAGAAUCCGAAUAACUUCAGCAAAAGUUACAACAGUUGUGGAUACAAAGUCACUUGGCAAUUAGUUUACAUGGUAUAAAUUAUCGGUUUCCACUUCUUGAAUCUUACAUUUAUGGAGAUGAAUAAGAUUUGCUCUUUCACAAAUCCAAACCGCAGUUGUUAGACAAUGCCUCUCAUUGUAUGAGACACACUAUCCACAGUAUAAAACAUAGUAGUUAUUAUUUAACAAGUCCUUGUUGACAAUAGAUAACAUUAGAAUGUAAGAAUUUACUCCCUCAGCUCAGUAGCUGCUCAAAAAUUGCACCAGACAUCACUGAAGCCAAUAAAUUUCAUGUUUGCUUAUUAUAUAUUGCUCUAUACAUGUAUAACUGACAGAAAAGAAUGAAGAUUGCCAUGAUGAAUGGUUGGGGGAAACUGGGAAUUAAAGAUGAAGAACAAGGAAAAUAAAAGUUGCUGAAAUCUAACCUGAGGAACAUUGUCAAAGGUCCACUGCAUUGGAUUUAGCUCUUUUAUGCUAUAUUCAUCCCCAUGGUUGGAACGCAUCACCUACAAACAAGAUAACAGUAAUGAAUAGCCCAAUGGAGAUAUAUUAUCAAGUAAAAACACAUUACAUGUACGGAAGAAUUUAAUGCAGCAAAAUUCAAGAAAUAUGUGUUCAUAACUGCAGGAGCAUUUCUUCAUACAGAUAAUCAUCAGCAGCCAAGGAUACUAUAUGCUACAAACUAUAUUUAAGAUAGAAGAAAACAAUAACUAAAGCACAGCCCUUACAUUUCUUUCGUUAAUAGCUGAUAAAUUCGUUAGAGAGCACAAAACAGAAGACAAGACUCAAAAUAGAUGAAGCGCACAAAAGAAACCCCAGCAAAAGGAAAAAGAAAAAACAUUAACUGACCACCAAAACCAGAAAAAGAAGAAUAGAAAGCACAAGCAAACCAAUUUAUCUCAGACAACAAUUUAAAUAAAUACAAGAACUUCUUUCAUCUCACUACAAACACCGAAAGACACAAUAACACGGAAUCUUAUCAAAAUCACUGUUUAAUUUUAAUACUUUUGGAAGACACAGUAGAAUUGUUGUGAAGAAACACACACUAAACUAUCCUGCUAUUUCGCACUUCCCUUUUAAUAACUUCUGAGGCAAGAAUGCUUAAAUCAAAUACUCAAUCACACAUUCAACCACUCUACAAAGAUCAGAGCUCUAGUUUGAAAAUCUUUUAUAUAUAUAGCCUUCAUGUCUAAAUUCUCAACCUAUAACUCAAAGCACAAAACUAAAGAUUCCAUUAGACCAAAAAUAUUUUUAAGGGUAGCAUACAUUUAUAGAUUUCUCAACAUCAUCUCCAAGUGCUCUUACGUGCACCCUUCAGUUUUGCUCCAAACUCCUCUCUGCACACUUCGCUGAACUUAGGGUGUCAAAGUUCAAAACAGUUCAUCAUUUGCAGUAGGACUUUAAGUUAUUCUUUUAAUCUUGAAGAUUAUCACUUCAUAUAGUAUUAACCUCAAAACCCAUAUAGUAUGAGAUUAAGAUGCCAGUAACUCUAACGGAUUCCUAUAUAGUAAAUGGCAAAUGCGAAUCAAUAUUUGCAAUUAGAAUUCUUGAACUCAUCGUCACAUCUACUCUUUACUAGUUCAAGUGCAAAAUUCAAUAUGCAAACAAGGGUUUUUUUUUUUUUUUUUUGACAUGAACCAUAAUCUCUAUUGAGUGGUGUUGGAUAGAACAAAGCAACCUGAUUAGUUUGGUACAUACUUUAAAUCACGGUUACAACCAUCAAACACGAAUAUUAAUUAAAGCAAAUAAAAAAUACAAGUCAAGAGAAAAUGUAUUACCAAAGGCCCCGAAACCUCAUCAGCUUUCUCUUUCCCAAACAAUUUCUCAACUAAAGUAACAGCAAACUCCAUAGUAGUUCCUGGUCCCCGACUUGUCACCACAUUCCCCUCUUCGUGCACUCUCGAUUCAACAGUUAUUGCACCACUUGAUUUCAAUUCAUCCAUAAAAAACGGAUGACAAGUCGCCUAUCCCAAAAAAUUAAAAAAUAUAUAUAUAUUUGAUUUUCAUUAACAAAUUAGGAUCAAUGAUCAAACACUACACUCACUUUCAAUCCAUUUAGCAAACCCCAAGAACCAAAAGCAACUGCAGGAGAAGCACAGACCGCCGCGUAAAGUUUCCCAUCCUCUACUUGUUUCUUCACUAAUUUUUCUAAAAGUCGACAAUUUUUUAAAUUUGCGGCACCAGGUAUACCUCCCUAAAUGAAAUAAAUAAAUAAAUUUAAAAAAAAAAACACAAAGGGCGUGCAUAAAAAUAGAGACAAUAACUAAAGAUAUAUAUUUACAGGGAGAGUAAUGAGGUCGAAAACGGCGUCGCUGCACUCAGAAAGAAGAGAAUCAGCAACGAGUUUAACAUCGUAAGUCGCGUCAACACGAAUCUGUUUCUCAAUGGAAGCGACCGUCACGUCGGCACCUCCUCUCCUUAAGACAUCGAUAGUUAUGACGGCCUCAAUCGGCUCCGUUCCAUUGGCAAUCGGCACCAAAACCUGAGACAGAAAUUCCAUGGUUAAUAAACAUCGAUCACUUUUGACAUAAAAAACAACACGUCGUUUGAAAAACCUUCUUGGUGGUGGAAGCCAUCGGAGUUGCUGCAGUGGCUUUGAUCGAUGAGAAAGAGAAACGAGGAUUACGGAAAGAAGGGAAGUUGAGUUUUGACUUUUCUGAAGUGGAGUAGAGAACAGAGUGAGGAGGAAGGAUUACGUGGCGUAAUAAUAUUGACAUUUUUCUUUGUUAAUUUUUAAUUUUAUUUUUAAUAAUAACUUGAUAGACGGAGCUAAACCGAAACGUGUCUUCUGCUUUUGAAUUUCGAGCUCGCCCUGGGGCUGGAUGGAGCUGCUUCAGAUUUGUGAGUAUGAUGUGGACACGUCAUCAGUUUGAUCAAAAUGGACUCUUUGCUAUUUGGCGGGGCCAGGGCUCAUUACGUAAAAGCAUCCCUGUGUUAUUUCGGUUUGUUUUUAAAAUAUAUUUAUUUUAAAAGGUAUUAAAUUAAUAAUUUUUAUUGGUUAUUUUGAUAUAUUAAUAUUAAAAAUAAAAUAAAUAUUUUAAUAUUUUCCUAAAUAAAAAAUAUUUUUAAAAAGCAUCAUAUAUUAAAAUACCAAACAUACUUAUAAUACUAUAACAAAAUAACUAUAAUAUAAAACUUUUUUUAUUGAAUACUAGACAAAAAUCACUCUUCACUACAAUAAUAUAGUUUUUUUUUCAAAAAAAAUAGCCUUUGAAUUUGGGGUAUUUGUUUCUUUUUACAUGAUGUAUUAUUCAUUUAAUAAUUAUAGAGGUUUACAUGUCUUGUUUAUAAUUUUUUAAACAAUUAAAUAAUUUAAUUACCUUUAAUUUCAAAAAAAAAAUCAUUGGCCGAGAAUAUUUUUUUUUUUUUGUUUUUUUAAAUAAAGUAAAAAUUCAAAUUUGCCAUUACAAUAAAAGGAAAAAUUAACAAUAGACACAAGGGGCUUUUAGUCUUUCCAAACAGGUUUUGUUUUUAUUUUUAAAAUUAUAGAGAAUAAUUAGAUCUUCUUACUUUAAAUUAUUUAUUUUUUAAAUAAAUAAAGUUGAUAGUGCAUGCCUUUAAUGCGCUUGCACCCUUGGUAAAGCUUGUAUUAAACCUUUUAGUGGCAAAACUAGCAUUUCUACUAUAUCAACAGGUAUUGGCACUGGUGAGAUAGUUUGUCGUUGAUAGAUUUUUUUUUAUUUUUUUUCUCUCUCUCCUCUCCCACAAAAUGGAGGCUUGUUUUAUAUAUAUAUAUAUAUAUAUAUAUAUAUUUCAAUUUCAGUCUUUAAUCUUUUAUUUUUAAUUUUUUUUUUGACCAUUUUAUAGAAUUUGUUUUUUUUAAUUUAGUCAUUCAAUUCUAAUUUGGUAUAUUUUAUUUUAUUUUUUCCAAUUUAGUCCUUAUUAUUUAUAUUUUUUAUUUUUUUUCUUUGGUCAUUUUGUAAAAGUUUUAUUUAUUUUCAAUUAUAAUUUGUCAUAUAUAAUAUUUUUCAAUUUGGUCCUUUUUUUAAUUUCUAAUUUGUUUUCUUUGUCUUUUUGUCAAGAUUUUGGUGGUUUUUAAUUUUAUCAUUCAAUCCAAGUUUGUUGCAUUUUUUUUCUAAUUUAAUCCUUAUACUUUUAGUUUUUUUUUGUCCUUUUGUUAUUAUUUUUUUCAAUUUAACCCUUUAAUUAAAGAAUUGUUCUUGCCCUCUAAUUUAUUUUUAUUUUGAUUUUAACCCUUAUUAUUUUAAUUGCUAUUUUUUAUUUUAGACCCCUUAAUGUAAUUGAUUUUUUUUCCUGAUUUCAUCCUUUAACAUUUUAUUCUUUAGGAUUGGACUUUUAAUAUUUUUUUCAUGUAUGAUGCUUCUAAUCUAAUGACUAGUGUCACGGGUUUGAAAAGUUAUCUAUUGCAUUGUUUUUAAACUCAACCUAAAGAUCGGUCAAAGGUAAGUUCCAAGUCAUGUGGAUUGACCUGGGUGAACCCAUGUCAGUUGGGAUGACUUGGGUCAACUCAUUUUUUAAAAAAUUUAUAAACAUGUAAAAACAACAUCAAUUUGAAAAUAAAAAAGUCAAUGAGUUUUGAAUGGGUUUUUUAGGGUUAAUUGACUUCCAGGUCAAUCUCAUUUCUUAAUCGAAUCAUACUAGGUCCUUUCUUUCUUUAUUUUUGUUAGAACUUGUAAUAGUUUAAGUCUCAGAUUGCCCAGGGUUAAACUUGAAAAGAACAAAAUAAAUAGAAAUAUGGCAUAUUUAGUAAAUCAAAUGGAAGGGAAGUGUACCAUUCGAUGAAGAGAAUGAAUUAAAUUGGAAGGAUGACAUCAUUUUAAUAUUUUUAUAAAAAGACUAAUGAUAGAUUUGUGUAUUUUUUAGAGUUGUAGAAAAUCUAUUUGAAGUAAUGGACAAGGACAUGCACAUAUUUAUCAUGUAUUCUAUUUAUUUAUAUAUUUUACACCGGAUCUUCUUAAUCAUGUAUUCUAUUUAAAACCUCCUAAACUUCCACCACCUUUUGUUUUGGUAAUUGGAUUGCAAAUUUAACCAUUUUCCCCCUAAAUUCUAAUUUUUCCCUUUAAUUGGGCUUCUAAUAGACUGAAUUGGACUUCCUAGCUUUUUCAUCUUUUCUAUUUUUGUCAUUGGUCUUCUAAUUUGUAUAAUUAUGACCAAUUUCUACCAUUUUCCUUAAUUUUCUUUAACCAAACCAUAAACCCAUGUUAAUCUUUAACUAGCUGUAAAUUAAAUCCUUGUUUAUUUGCAACUGAAAACCUCUUUUUUGCAUUUUUUUUUGUUUGAAGCAUGAUUUUUUUUUCUAAAAAAUAUAUUUUUAUUGUUUUGAAAAUUUUAGGAAAUUAGAUUAUGACAACCCACUAAAUAAAACAUAAAUAUUAGAAAUUUGACAAUAACAGUUAGUCAAAACAGAAAAAAGAGAGAGAAAAGUGAGUCAGGGAUCUUAUAAACCCUAGAACUCUUAUAAUCACAAAAAAUCAAUUUAGAAAAAGAGAGAAUAAAAGGAAGUAGAGAAGGGAAAGGCAGUAAAAGAAAGAAAUAAGAAAUCUUACCAUCAUAAAUUUCAAUAUUUGAGAAUAAAAGACAAGAGAGAAUGGGAGGAGUAGUGAAGGGGUGAGGUGUGAAAUAAAAAAUAAAAAAUAAAAAAAAAAUAAAAAGAGAGGAGAAGGGAUAACACAUGCUAGGAAUAAGAAAGAUGGAUAUAUAAGAUUAAAAUCCAAAACACCCUUCCAAAACAAAUAAGCUUGACAAAAAAAAAAUCAAGGAUAAAAAGGUAGCUACACUAUUAAGAUCUAUAGUACAUAUAAGUCUGUCUCCACAAUGAAUCUCUUGCCUCUUUUAGUUUUUUUAAUUAAAGAAUGGACUUUGUGUACUCUCAAAAGCAUUCAUAACAUUCUCCCCUAUAAGUUAAUAAAGUUUUAAUCCCAAUUUAUACCACCUAAUUUGAUAAAAUAUUUUUAAUGAAUUUGAGUGAAUAUAAUUCUAAAUUAUAUGGAUAUUAUGAGUUUGUGUUAAUGGAGAUCUUGCUAGUCUAUUUUAUUGAGUUUUCUUAUUAUAUCAGUUGACCAUGUACAUGCUCUAAUUGGUUGUGCUUUGGUUUUGAGUUUUAUAUUUUUAUAAAUCUUCCUCUCAAAUUAUUUCAUGAUUAGUUUUUUCAUUGCAUUUGAUUUGGCUUAAGAAGAUACUUUUAAAAAAUUUAAAUCCAAUCCUUUCUCAACCUCAUAGAAAAGUAAUAUAUGUCAAUAUUUGUGUUAUUUCAUAAUCAAUUGCAAUAAUAUAUUAGAUCUAUUUUGAAGUUUUUUAUCUUUAUCAACAAUGCAAACACUUAUUGAUAUUAGAGCAAACAUUUAUUAUUAUUAGAGCCUUUAUAAAUGAUGUUAAAAAUCAUGAAAAGAUUGACUCAUGUAAUUUGUUUUAUAAAAUUAAAAUUAUUUAUUUUAUAUUCUAGUUUUCUAACAUAUAUUUAAUCUAACAAUUUAUAAUUUAUUGAAAGUUUGAAAGUUGUAACUAAUUGUAGUUUAGUGUGCAAUGUCAUUAUACAAUUGUUUCAUGUAACUAGCUUACUUUACCUUGCUACCAAAUUGUUUUUUUUUUUUUCAUGUAUUGUUACACAUGUUUUUUUUUGUUAGACAUUUGUUUCUUACAAGAAUGUUUUUUUCUAGCUAAAAAAUCUCUAUGAUUUUAUUGACAACCUUUAAUAUGUAGUUUUUUUUAUAGGAUUGACCUUGAAGGUUGUGUGGAUCUUUUAGGAUAUUGGUCUGUUUUUUUUUUUUUUGGAUCUUUUUACCACUGUUGUUGCUAAAUCUUUUGAUUGGUUUUCUUUUGUUUUCUUAGAUUUAAAAAAUACAAAGAUGAAUAUUGUUGUGCCUGGCAUGGUUAGUUAAUCACUUGACAUGUUGAUUAAGGACAUUUUUCGCAAGACAAUAUUUGUUCUUUAUAUAUAUAAAAAAUAAAGAUUAAAUCCAAAAUGAAAAUAGAAAGUAGAAGACCAUAUGAGAAGAAAUAAUGAAAGUAGCAAGGAGAAUGAAAGUAGUAAUUUGAAUGUUUAUUUUGAAUUGCGAAAGACAUAACAAAAGAAUGAAAGUUGCAUGAGGAAAAAGUGGUCCAUUAAUUGUUAAAAAAAGCCUAAAAACCUAAGCCUGAUAUUAGUAUAGAACCAAUGGUUUCAAAUGAUUAUAAGUUAGUGAGUGUAUCAAGUAGUUUAAAGAAGCCAAAGCCUAUUAAAACCCAAUUAAAAAGCUCGUUGGUUGGCUAGUUUUUUAGGCGGGGGGGGGGGGAAGACAGGAACCAAAUCAAUCAAGUUCAUCAUGAAUCUAUUUUUAAUUGUGCUCGGUAUAUAAUUUACAAAUUUUUUUAAAAAAACUAUUUUGUUUUUUUUUUUUGGCCCAAGCAUAAUCAACCACAAUUUUGAACCUAUAAUGUUAUAUUAAACAUCUACUUCUUAGAGAAAAAAAAAAAGAAAUAAUAAACUUUGAUUGAAGGGGUAGAGGAUAUUGACCCUGUUUGUUUUUGCAUUUCAAAAGUAUUUUUGGAAAAAAAAUAAUUUUUUUUAUUUUUCUUUGCUUCAAAUUAAUAUUUUUUUGGUGUUUUCAGAUUAUUUUGAUAUAUUGAUGUCAAAAAUAUUUUUUUAAAAAUAAAAAAAAUAUAUAUUAUUUUUAUGUAUUUUCAAAUAUAAAAUAUUUUGAAAAGUAAUCACAAUCACAAUUUUAAAAACCCCAAAGCAGAGGAGGUUCAUGCAGAUUUAGCUAAUGGAAAUGAAAGGAAAGAAGAAAAAAAAAACAGUAAAGGGUACCUCAUAAAACCUCAAGAAAUAAUAGCAAUAAAAAAAAUAACAUGGCAGGAAAAAAAUGAGAACCAGUAAAGGACUUCGACCAUCAUCUAACCCAAAAAAGUUAAAAAAAAAAGAAAAAAAAAGGAUUGAAAGUAAGGUGAGGGUACACAAACUCACUAGUGAUGAAAUAAACAUGUAUAAAAUUAUUGAAAUCACGUCGUGGAACAAAAAAAAAUGACAUUAUGUAGAAGUCUAAUAAAGACAACAAGAAAUAAAAAUAAAACAAAAAAUAAGCAACGCAUAAAUGAAAAAAAAAACAACUAAAAAAAGCAAUAAAACUAGCCACGACUAAAAAGCAUCAUGAUUAAUGAAUAGGAGUAAAGCAAAAACAUCAACAACAAUGAAUGAAAUGGAAUGAGAGAAAAAAAAACAUGGAAUACAAAAGAAGAGAGAAUAAUAUAUAUAUAUAUAUAUGUUAAGAAAAAAAGAGAAAAUAGUUAAAAACAAAUUCCAAUAUUUUCCUUAGCACAUUAUUAGAUGAAUAAGGAAAAAAAAACUAAUGAUUUUACUCGGGUUUUAUACAACUGAACCCAAAUGAUUUAAAUUCAAAAUGAAAAAAAAAAAAAACAAACCAAUUCUAUUGACACAGUCAAAUUUGUUUUUCUGUUUUUUUGAAGUCAUGGAAGCUACUACAAAGCAACUAGGGACAAUUUCCUAGCUACUCAUUCAACAAAUUAUAUACUCUAAAAACUCAUUUGGGCUUCUCAGACAAUCACAUGUCCUUAUCUAUUUUCUUCAUCUAUUACACAUAGCUUAACCUCAAGAUCAAGACAGAUUAACUAAAAGUAGUCAUUACAUGAUGACGAAUCUCGAGCACCAAAUCAAUAAACCUAUCCAAUUGAAAUAAGGUGUUUCUUAUUGUUGUGUUUUAAAAAUAUUUUUUAGAAAAAUUAAAAAAAACUUUAUUUUUUUCUCUUCAAAUUAACAUUUUUUUGAUGUUUUUAGAUAUUUUUGAUGCGUUGAUGUUAAAAAUAUUUUUUUAAAAAAUAAUAAAAAAUAUUAUUUUAAUGCAUUUCCGAAAUGAAAAGCAAUCAUAACUACACUUUAAAGCACCCUCUAAUACUUCAAAUGAAAUAUCAAAACAAAACAAAAGGAAUAAAAUUCCUAAGCAAGAACAUGUGGGAUAGUUAAUUAUUUUAUUUAUGAAUAGUAAAAAUCUCAUUCCUACAUCCUUGAGAAGUAGAUGAUGAACCUUGUAUUUUCUAUGAACAAGGUAUUUCCUAUGAUACUUCUUUCAAUAACUCAUGACCUUGUCUAAUUCCUUGAGUUUCUUAUAUUGAUUUUUGAAGCAAGUAUUCAAGAGAAUCCAUUCUUUCAUGUAGAUACAAAAGAUGUCACCUCAAGUAUAAUGUUGAUUGAUGUACAAAUUUAUUUUCGUUAUAAUAGUAAUUUUGAAUGCCAAACAAAUGAUAUUUAAUAAUAAUCAUCGAUUAAAAAAUGUAAUCAUUUUUCAUUCAAAUCCACCAUUGUUCCAUGCCAUUUGAUGUAACAACACAACAAUUAAAGUUUAUAUCAAUAUGUUAUUGUUCGAAAAUAAAAAUUGGAUUGUUAGAAACAUGAAUACACGUUUUAUUUUUAAGUCUCUCUAAACUAAGAAACAUAUAUAUAAAAAAUUGUUUUUCAAAGUCUCAACUUUAAAAAUAAGUGUUUUAUUUAUUUCUUUUGUUAUAUUCGACAAACAAUAUCUUUAUUUUCUAUUUUUGAAAUCUUAUAUUUAAUAAAAAAAAAUAUCUUUGGCUACUCACUCGACAACGAGUUUAGCUUCUCAAGGCUAGCAACACCUAGUUUCUGUUGUUUUUUGUUUUUAAUUUUAAUUAAAUAACUCUCUCUUAUGUUUUAAAUUGUAUAGUUCACCAAAAUAGUAGUUUUUUAAAAUUAUUGUAGUUUAUGUUUAGUUUUUUUUUCCUUUUAUAUUUUAUAUAAAUAAACUACUUUUGCAUGUUAUAUUUAUAAAAAUAAGAACCAUAAGUUUAUGGUAAGAAAAAAUAACCUAUAAGAUAAAAUAAAAUAAAUAUAUAAGUUAAAAAAGAAAAGUUGGGGUUAAAUAUUUGCAUAUUCAUAAGUCUUUUGCUUCUAGGAGAAAUAUUAGCCUUUUAUCUUAGUAUUUAAUUAGCAUUGACAUUUCUUUCUUAGUUUAUAUGUUCAUGUAUAUUUUAAUUUAUUUUAUGAAUCUUAAAAAAACAUCUUUAUGUUUCUCAAUCAAAAAAUCAUGAUACUAAAAAACAUAUCCAUAACAUUAGCACAUUCUUCUAUUGUUUUAGAAAUUAACUUGAAAAUUAUACAUGCGACAUAGAGCAUGCUGUAAAACUAGUGACAUUACUAUUUAUCAAUAAAUUAUCAUAUCCAAAGCAUAGGUACAUCAAUGACUAAAUUAAUUUGAAUAAAGUUAAGUGAAUCACUUGUUGUCUUUGGAAGAAGUAUAUGAUCCACUCAGGUAAUCGUUAGUGAUUUUCAUUAGUGUUGCUGAAUUCAUCUCUUCAAGAUCUUUUUAAUGGUAUCAUAGGCGUUGUCAUUGGAGCUUCGAUAUGCCUUUAAGAUCUCAUUCUUUCUUUCUUUCCUUUUCUUUUAUUUUUUCUCACCCCUUGAAAUUUUUACAAACGUAUUUUAACCAUUUUCUUCGAAUGCCACACUAAUGUGUUUGGUAUUGUGGUAGCUUUUGUGGUUGUGAUUUGAAAAAAGUUGUUUUUAUAAAAAAGUACUUUUGGUUAAAGUUGGUUUGGUAUUUAUAUAUGUUUGGUUAGAAUUGUGGUUGAAAUUGAGGUUAAACAAAAAAUAGUUUAACAUGUUUGAUUAAAAAUGCUUUUCAUAUUAAGGUUAUAAAAUAAUUAAAAAAGAUAUAUAUAUUAAUAUUGAUGGUUUUUAAUUUAAAUAUUGUAGAUUGAACUACUGUUAUUAUAUCAUAAAAUAAAUAAUACUUUAUAUAAAAUAUUUUUUUUUUAUUUCAUUAAACUAUCUACAAUUCCAUCACAUAUGAAAUCCAUCCGACAAGGACUACAGUUUCCUUGAUUUUUUAAGCGCGCAACAACAUCAGGUAAAAUAUCAUCAUAAAUAAAAUUGGGAUUGCAAUCAAAUUCUAUAAAUAAUACAUCAUCAAGCGAUCUUCUUCUAAUUUAUGUAGUGUCAUUGAAUAAUGUUAAACACUAGUUUUUCGAAUAAAACAUAAUUAAAAAUAAAAAAAUAAUUUUUUUUUACUAGGUCGGAUCUGGUUUAGUGCAUUUAGUUGUAGACCGAACCCGGUCCAACAAAAACAAUAAAGACAAUCUCCAUUGUUAAGUAAACAGUGGAGAGUGAAUUAAUUCACUCUCUAUAGUAGAAGAAUAGGAAAAUGACGUUGUUGUUGUUGCCGAGCUGCCUUUUCCAACUUUUGUUAAACCACAGGUUCAACCACAAGUGUUGAUGGGUCCCACCAAAAUAAAAUCGAGUUUCAAAAAUAAUCAAAAACAAAAACAUUGUGGCCUGCUUUAACCUCGGGUGCAACCGCAUUACCAAACGGCACCUUACACCUAAGAGGAGGUGAAUUGGAUGUAUCACUAAUAUUAAGAAAUAAUGCAAAUUACUUCAAGUUAACCUAAUAACCAAUAAUAUAAUUAAAGUACUUAAAGUAAAGAGAUAUGGGAAGAGAAUAUGCAAACUUAUUUUUAACGUGGUUUUGCAAGCCUACCAAACCAUACUUGAGUGUUGUAUUUCUUUACCAGUCUAAGUUCAAGGAUACAAUAGUUACUUAAUGAAUCCAUUCCAAGCUUUUACACCACUUGAAGAUAUUUUUUAAAAAGAUUUUUUUCACUUGAAAAUAUGCUCUUUUUAAGUUUUUUUUUCUUAGUGAAAUUACCUAACAAAUACUAAGAUUUUUUACCUAACUCUCAAAGGUUUAUAAGGGUGAUUUUGUUAUCACAACUAACUCUUUUAAUAAAUUGAGUAAUAUAAUUAAAAGUUUUAAUGUUUUUAUAUCUCAUAAGAUAGCACUUUUAGGAUUUGAAGUGUUUAAAUGUAGUGAAAAUAAGAUUGAAAACUCAUGUGAUAUAAUAUGAAGGUUUAAUAGCACACAUUAGAGUAUGAUUAAAUAUUGAUGAUUUUGAAUUUUUUUACUCUUAGUGUAGCUUGUAUAUCAUAUAUGUUUGGAAUUCCUUUCUAAUUUUGUAAUUAUGUGUGUGUGUGAGUGAGUGAGAGAGAGAGAGAGAGAGAGAGAUAAUGGAAGAGAAUAUACAAACUUAUUUUUAACGUAAUUCGACAAACCUACAUCUAUACCUCAAGUAUCAAAUUGUACUUGAGUAUUAUAUUCCUUCAUUUAUCCAAGCUUAAUAGUACAAUAGUCACUUGAUAAAACAACACCAAGCUUUUUAUACCACUUGAAAAUAUUUCCUCUUUAAGAUAUUUUUCACUUUCUUCAAGAUUUCUUUCUUGGUGAAAUCACUUCACCAAUACCAAGAUUUUUUACAUAACUCUUAAAGGUUUAUAACAGUGAUUUUGUUCUCACAACUAACUCUCUCAAUAGAGUGAAUAAUACAAUUGAAAGUUAUAAUAUCUUUAUAUCUCACAAGAUAACAUUUAAUGAAAUGUUAAAUUCUUGAAAGGCAUAGACAUUGUUACAACGUUCAAGUCAUAGUCAUUUUAGACAAUUUAAGUCACAACACGAAGUUGAUGCUAGAUAGUAGAAUCACUAGAUUAUUUACCCAUGCUAUGCUGCAGGUUGGAUCAAAUAUUUUUUAAAAGUUAAAAAAAAAUAUAUCCAAGCAUUGCUAAUGUGUUUUGAAGAAGGAAAAAAAAUUCAAACCAUGUAAAGAUUAAUCCGAUAUGACAUGGUCAACUUAACAAGUUCAAAAGCUACCUAAACAACAAAAAAGAUAUAGUUUUACUUGAAAAAAUUUCAAAACGACACCUUUUUUAAAAAAAUAUAUAUAUUAAGACGACAACAUAUUCUAUCAAUCCAAUUUAAUCCAGGUUAACAUGUAAAAUCAAUGACCUAAGUCAUAAGACCAUGUUAAGCUCAUAAAAAGCAAGUAAAAAAUAUAUUGAAGCUCAAUUCUUAAUCAACCCAAUGUUAAAGAAUAAAAUUAAAAAAUAUUAAUUAAAAAAAGGAUAGAAAAAACCUAGUAAACUAGUCAAACCUGUAUUACAAGACCAAGAUAACCUAAUAUAAAGUAAAUAAAAAUAAAUUAUGAAGCUCAAUUCUUAAUCAAUCAAACGUUAAAGGAUGAAAUUAAAAAAAUAUAAGAAAAUGAUGUAAUUAAUUCUUCUUAAUAUGCAUUAUAUUUUAGGACACUCUCAUUAUAAAGUUUUUUUUUUCAAACAAUAGCACAUUGGGGAAAUCUUUUUCCAAAACUAGUAUCAUUGAAAAACUAAUUCUUAAACUAAUGUGCAAUUAAGGACACGCAAAUAACACAAGUAUGUCUCAGAACAUGAUUUUAUUUCUCUAGCGCAUGUGAUACAUGUGACAACAUAUCAAAACUUUUUUUUUUGUUAGGUGCAUGUUCUAUAUGCACCAGCACACAAAAGCUUUUUGUAUCCGAAACAUGUCACUCAAGUGUCAACACAUAAUUGUUUGGUGUCUGGUGUGUGUAGCUCAUGCGCCAGCAGGUGAAGAUGCCAUCACUUUUAGACGCUGCUUAUGAGUCAUCUUUAACUCCAAAUUUGGCUCUUUUUGGUGUCGAUUGAUUCAUCCAAUCUAUAUAUUUCUAAUAGUACUACGAUAUCUUUAUCGCAACUUCAAUAUGUCUUGUCUAUCGCAUUAUUUCUUUCUUUCUUUUUAUUUUCUCUUUUAUAGUUUGGUUAUCAAUUCAUUUUCUUUCUUUCUUCCCUACCUACUUCAUUUGAUCAUUCAGGUUAACUUCAAUUCCACUAUUAUGGACAUCUCCUUAAAAAGAUAAUAUUACAAAAAAUUAGUUAUUUUUUUGCCUAGAUUAAAUUUAAAAUAGUUAUUUAAAAAAAAAUUAUGAAAUAAUAAUAAUAAUAAAAACAUUUAAAAUUAACCAAAUAUAAAAAUUGAAGAAACAAAUACAUUGUAAGGAGAAAAAAAAAGAGAAAAAGAUGAAACUAUAAAUAUAAUUUAUGAUGCCAAGAAACACGGUUGAAACAACAUUUUAUAAAAAGUUUAAAAAAUAUAUUUAAAAUUAUUUUUUUAUGAAUUUAAAUUAUUAUGAUAUUUUAAUAUCAAAAAUUAAUUUAAAAAAUAUAAAUAUAUUAUUUUAAUUUAUUUCCGAAACAUUAUUACAAUUCUUGAACUCGUUGUAGAUCUGUAAAAAAAAAUUGCAUACAGUACAGUACAGGUGAUGCAAUGAAUAACAGUAAAGCAAGGUACAAACAAACAAUGCAACUACCAUUACCGGAAACAAACUCCUCCACUUCCAUGCUUUCUUCUUACCACACUUCAGUCUUGUACACUUUUUUCCAGUCCUAAAUUCUUAGAAACCUCAACCAAAAAAAAAUCUCUCUGUUCCAGCCAUGAUCUUCCUUUUUAUCUUUCUCUUAUAACCAAAACAAACAUUCUACUAAUAAUUAUCUCAAACUCAGAGAAUGCCUUCUUCUCCUAAAUUCUUUCACUCCCGCAUAUCACAGCCCUUUAAUUCUCGCAGAUCAACGCCUCUGAUUCUCACAUUCCUUUUCAUCGGAAUCUCCGGCUUCAUCUUCGGCUUCACUUCCUUUCUUACGUCCUCCCACAACUACCGUUGCUCCAAUAACUCCCCGUCGCGAUCGGUCCGUGUCGUCUGGGAAACCAGCAACAAUAGAAAUGAUAAUGGAGGUGGGAACGUUGUCGUUUUGGAUGGUGAGGACAGGAAGGAGAGGCAUAAGGUUAUGGGGUUUGUUGGGAUUCAAACUGGGUUCGAGUCAUCGGGUCGGAGGCGGUCUUUGAGGAACACUUGGAUGCCGUCCGAUCGACAGGGACUUCAACGGUAUCAAACAAUUCUCUUUCUUUCUUAAAAAAGAAAAGGUUUGACAUUUUAGCUAGUUAUCGCUUGAAUCUUGUUAGGUUCUUUUGCUUUUAGAUUUAGAAAUGAGAACUUGAGUUCUUGGUUUUCCUGUUUCAUGAAUUAGGAUUUUCUUCUUCUUUUUUUAAUUCAUUGAUAGAAAACAAAGAACUCUAAAAGAAAGAAACAAUGCUGAUAUGUUACUCAUCUUCUAUAAAUUUUAGCAUCCAACAAGAAGAGAUCUCAAAAUUCUAAAUUUCAAGCUAAACAAUUGAGGAUUUGAUGUUUUUUUCAUUAAGGAAUGUGCAUUUGGGGAUAUAAUUUGUCCAUUUUUUAGGAGAAUAAAAUCAAAAAGAGGUGUGAAUGUGAUCUUGAACAGCAAUCUGUACAUCAUAGUCUGGUUGGAUGGUUUAUAUAUAUUAUAUAAUAAACUGUUGCUAUUGCUGAACUCUUGAUGUACUUCCUGUCAAAAACUGUGCAAUAUAGUUUCUUUGUUUACAGACUCUGGUUGUCCAAUGUUUUUGAAAAUUGCUGAAAACUAGAACUUGUAUAAGGCCUUUUCUUCCCAUCAUAUUUGGUAUUUAUAGAUUAAUUGGCUUGCAGGUUGGAAGAAUCUACUGGUUUGGCUUUCAGGUUUAUUAUUGUAGAACUAAUGAUAAAUCAAAGAUGGCAGAGCUCAAAAAGGAGAUUGCAGAAUAUGAUGAUUUCUUGCUAGUAGAUAUAGAGGAACAGUAUAGUAAGCUCCCAUAUAAAACGUUAGUGCUGAUGAGGAACUGCAUAGUUUUCUUUUACUUUUACCCCAUCAAGUUUAUUAUUGGAUGACUGUACUCAUCUGGGUUUUUGCAGGUUAGCAUUCUUUAAAGCUGCCUAUGCUUUUUGACUCCGAGUUUUAUGUCAAAGCUGAUGAUGACAUAUAUCUGAGGCCAGGUGGGUAAAAUGUGAAACUUUGAUGUUUGAUAUUUUCAGUAGCAUUAUUCUGGGAUCAACUUUGGUAGUACAGUUCCAUGUAAAUCACAUUUUUGUAUUUUAAUAUAUUUUCAGAUCGUCUUUCGACUCUUUUGGCAAAAGAGCGUACUCAUUCUCAAACUUACCUUGGAUGCAUGAAAAAGGGGCCAGUUUUCACUGAUCCAAAGCUCAAAUGGUAAGUUCAUUUUCCUUUUUUUGUUUUUCAAUGGAUAUAUCUAAACACUACAAUUUGUACAUCAAUCACACUACCUUUUUUUUAUUAGGUUGUUUGAAUCUUGUUCGUACUAGAUUUAGCAUUUUAUACUUAAAAGUUGACCUAAAGUUUUGUUACUGAAGUGAUACCAUAGCAGAAACUGUUUACUAAUCCACGGCAGUGCUGCUGUUCAUGGUGCUGUUGUUGUGAGAAGUUUGUUCUUGUAUUUUUGACUUAUUUGACUAGAAUCUCACAUCAUGAUUUGAUGUUCUGUAGCAUUAGGAUUUAAUGUUUAUAGGGUUUUGGAGUCUAAUUGAAAUCCCCAAUCAUCCAGCUUUAUUUAAUUCCCUAUUUUGUAAAUUUAGUACCAUAAUCAUACACAAAUUUUAUCCACUUCAAAGUCUUCCUUUUUAAAUAAACUAUUUGGAAUCAUUUUAGGGUUGUCAUGCAUAAUGCCUACUUCUAUUGGAGAUAUUGGUUUAUCCAAAAAGCAUUGCAUAAGUACUGUUGGGCUUGAUAAUCUCGAAUAGUAUCCCAAAUUGUAGGUAGCCAUGACUUUUUCAGUAAUCUUAUAAUCUCUAUUUCUGCAGGUAUGAACCAUUAUCCUAUCUGCUUGGUAAGGAGUACUUUUAUCAUGCGUAUGGUCCAAUAUAUGCUCUGUCAGCAGAUGUUGUUGCAAGUUUAGUUGUACUCAGAAACAACAGGUGAGUUGCUUGUUACCUUCAUCAGGACAUACCCUUAAGUGUUUGGCCAGCAUUUAAUAGCUUGUCUAAAUAUGAUAUAUAAUAAUGAUUAUUCAAGUUAAAAUUUUAAGGACAUGGAGCUGAUAGUGCAACUCUCCUAUGCCUUUCAGGAGCUGUUGGCUUUUUCACCAUUUAGGGAAAAGGCUCUUGCUUUUUUUUUUUUUUUUUUAAAAUAUUGUGUUUCCUCUCUUUGUUUGGAUGGUGCACGCAACAUUUGAAUUAUCUUGUGUUAUUUUGGCACAACAGCAGAGGCUGGAGGUGGCAUAGGGGGUCCCUUGCAACCCCUGCCAGAAAAUAUUUAUAUGCAUAAUGUUAUAGUAUAUGUAAAGUAUGCCUUCCUUUACCACUUGCAUUUCAUUUCCUUCCCAACAUAAAGCACUUGCACAUUCCAAAAAAAUAUCAAACCAAGAAAUCAAACGAAUGAAUGAUCUGUGAUGAUAUUAUGCGCUUUCAAGUGGCUUAGGCUUUUGCUAAAGUGAUGUUGUUUAAUUGUGGUUGCCUGCCUCAUUAUAUUAUAGGCGGAAGGUUUCGUUUGACAUUGAUGUUGGGGAUGCAAGCAAAUCCUGCCUCGGGAGUCAUUGAAAUAUAGCAAAAAAACAUGCACAAAAUAUACUUUCUGAACUUGUUUGUUUUGACGAGCUAUACCUCCUUAACUGGUGUCCUUUUCAAUUCUAGUUUCUUUAAGUUGUAUAAACAUCACUAAUUAUAUAUAUAAACAAUGAAAAUGUAUUCUCUCUACAAACCAAAAUUCCUUUGUUUUCACAUUUUCUUGACACAAGAUGACUCUCUAUUUCCCAUCUUUUAAUUAUAUGUUGAUAAAAAAAAAAUCAAAUAAUUUGGUCUAUUGGAAUUGAAAUUAUUUUUUUUUUCUUUAGAAGAAGAAGAAAUUAGAAAUUAUGAUUUAUCGCUAUUUAAGAAUUUUAAUCAUUGACCAUAUAAUUUUUUUAAUUUUAUUAUAUCAUGGAUUUAAUUUUAAUGUAGACCUCUUUAGUCACUAGAACACUUCACAUAAUCUGGAUAGAAACUGGUUUAGUUCCAUGAAAACACAUCGACUGUAACUUUAGUAUAAAAGUCUUGUGAAAUGUAUUACAUUUUCUUAUGCAUAAAGUUUUUUGUCACGCAAUUUAUUUUUCAAAUCAGUUUUAUUCCACAAUUUUAACAUUUUAAAAUUUUCAGUUGCCUCUUAAUUUAUUAUAAAUUUGCUUUGGCUCUGCCCUGGUUUUGGUCAAGAACCUGUCGACCUUGAAUGUAACGCGUCCAAAAGCAAGCUGACAUUUUAUUUAAUAUUUUGCGUAUUAGAUAAUAUAACUAUGCACUGCACUUUAGAUACCUUGAGGUUUUGGACAUAGUCAACAUUGCCUGCUAAAUCUUUCACAUCACUUCCCUGCCAUGCUAUUGCCUUACUUCUCUCUGAUUAGUAACACAAGCAAGAUAGCAGUACAAUUCUCUGAGGUUGACUCUUGCCAAAUUGCAACACAGCAACAGAAUGGGGCUUGUGUUGUUUGGUAGACUAUCAUUUUUCAACUGGUCAAGUUAAAGCCAUCCAUUUAGCACCAAAUACUCUCAACUUGUGUUUAACUAUUUAAUUUAAGUUUGUGAUGGAGGGGAGGGGAGCUCAAUUUUUAAUGGUUGGUGUGAGCUUGAGGCGAUAGUCUUAAUCUCAAAGUUGGGCUUGGGCACCCUGACCCCAAAACAUAUUUUGUAGUUUAAACUUGAAGUGGCAGGCAUCUAGAGAGAAUACUUUGCUUGUUUCUCCUCUCCCUCACUCAAGCACACAUGCAGUCAACACAAUUACUUGCUCAAAAUUUAAAUUUGUGAGCUUUCUUCACUGCAUAAAAAUGUUCUUUGCCUUUAAUCUCUGUAGUUGUCAUACAUGUUUUUUGACAAAUUCUUCAUGGCAGUCAAGUGGUUUCAUGUCAAAGAACCAUCGGGUUGAUUUUUUAUUUUUUAAUAAGUAAAGUAGCUGACAAGAUGUUUUUCACUUCAAAUAAACUGUAUGAUCAAUCAAACUGACACAAUGAAACCCAGUGCCCAAGUCAACCAAGAAAAAUCUUUGUUGGAUUUUAUACUAACAAGUCUUUUUUGGUUGAUUUUACCAUGCCCAUGACCUAUUGAAGCUUGAUUGGGACUUGCCUCGCUUCUGACUUGAAAUAGCAAGAACAUACCAUGAGUGGUCCCCCUGCUUGCUUGUUGUAUAGAUAAGAACAUGAAAUGCCACAUUAUAUUUGGAAAUUUUCAGUAGACAAUCAUAAUAUGUAUACUGAGGAACUUUUAGACUCUUGGAAUCUCAAUUUAUGUUGGAGACGAUGAUUUCAUUCCAUGUAACACUUCCUGUUUUCUUGAAUUAUCAGCUUUCGGAUGUUCAGCAAUGAGGAUGUUACAAUUGGUGCAUGGAUGCUGGCAAUGAAUGUUAAUCAUGAGGAUAACAGAGCGUUAUGCUCACCAGAGUGUACACCAUCAUCAAUUGCCGUAUGGGACAUUCCCAAGUGUUCAGGUUGGUAUCUUUAUCAGCCAUAUAGAAAAUAGAAUCAAAAUGAACAAUAUCAAAUUCAACUUCCGCAUUAAUUUACAGACAUGAGCAUUUACACGGUGAUUUUGGUUCAUUUCUGAUGCAAGAAAAAGUUGCCUUGCUUCAGACGUUUGUGCAGAACUUUUAAAUCAUUUUUUGGAACGGCAUCAUUUGAUUUUUCACAAGACUUUGUGUUGAAUAUUUUUCGUCAGACUGGGAACAUAUAUGGUGAUCUGAUGACACAAUUAUUAAUUAUUAUGCAGGUCUCUGUAAUCCAGAAGCCAGAUUGUUAGAACUCCAUCAACAGGAGAGCUGCUCAAAGAGUCCAACUAUGGAACCAGAUGAUUAGCUUCUCAGUUAUCCUUUUCUUCCAAAGGCUUUAGACUGGAGACGGAUUUAUGAAUUUUGCCUACACAAUGAAGGUUAUUCUUUUUAUUCUUUCUUGUAAUUUGCAAUUUUUUUCCAGUGAUGUAGAUCAAAAGAAGAAAGUUUUAUACAUCGUCAGGAAAUGAGAGUUACGGAGAAUGAUUAACCCUGUAAACUUCCAUUGUUGGAUAUACAAUCCCAUAAAUUGUUUUGCCAUCAGUGAAUGACCAUGUCAUAAGCACAGUGGAGCAUGAGUACUAGGUUGUGUAGAGUGUAAAUUAGCUUUUGUAGCAUAUAUGCAGACCAAAUAGCUUUUGUAGCAUUCAAACUAGGGUUUUUCGGCCCUGCACGAUAGGACAGCCCAACUGCUGGCAGGCUGGCACCCGACCUUGAAGCGUUACAUCUCGUAACCUAGACCUGAAGUGGGCAGAUGGUUAGCUGUUGACCCAUGAGAACCACUUAAGUGGGUGCAGGGUAAUGUGUGCGGGUAAUACAUUGCAAAAUAUUUUUUAAAAUUAUUUUUUAAUUAAAAUAAUUUUUUUAUAAUUUUUUUUAAUUUUUUAUAUCUACACAUCAAAAUCAUGAAAAAUAAUCUAAAAAAAUAUUGAUUUUAAUAAUUUUUCUCGUAAAAACGAACACUUCCAAUGGAAUAGUCUCAGCAUUUAUCUAGUCGGAAGGCAUAAUUAAUUUUCAAGCAUUUCUUUCUUUGUUUGUUUUUCUUUCUUAAUUUUGCUCCAAAUGUUGGAGAAGUUUACCUUUAUACAUUUUAAGUUUAUUAUAAAUAAAAUUAAAAGAGAUGGGAAAUUUAUUAUUCCUUAAGACACGAUACAGGAUGGUAACGCUUAACUCCCCAUCCUUUUUUACCCGUGAAAAGAAAACAUUUUGCCUAGAGGACGAGGGCAUGAUUGUCUUUUUAAUAACAACAUUUAACAUUUUUAAAUUGAUUGAGGGCAAAACAGGUAUUUAUCUUUAAAAUUGCACUACAAAUUAUUGUAAAUACCCUUAAGGUUAAUAUAUUGUUUGAUGUCAUAUAGGGGUAGAUUUGUAUUUUUACUUAUAGAAUGAACAAUAAAGUUACCAAUCUAGCCUUAUAAACAAAACAGCCUUGGCUAGGUAAGAGAGGUGUUUGCGUCUUAUCAUUUAUAUUAGCAUCGUAAAAAUACAUCUUUGCUAAACACACAUCAACGCGUCAAUAGCUCCGUUGUUUUUAAACAACGCGUGCGGUUGAUUCGAGCAACCAAAAAUAUCAUUUCAUAGCGUCAUUAGAUUUGUCUUGGUUUCUUCUCCAUGUUAAGGUGGCGCGUGUAGAAAACACGGAGCUCCGGUUUGGCUUGGGUGGACAUUUCUUUUCUUUUUUUUUUCCACACUCUCUCGAUUCUUGUGCUAUGCCCUAUAAUUUUUCAAUUAAGUCCCUUAAUUUUUUUUUAUUUUUAAUUUCAUCCCUAAUCUUUUGGUUGAUAUUUGUUUUAUUUCAAAUAACUUAUGAAAAUUGAAAUUGCUUUAAUUUUUUUAUUUUUUUUAUUACUUCUCUUUGUUUAAUAUAUUUUUAUGUAAAAAAAAAGGUUUUGAUUUGAAUUGUAUUAGUUAGUUACUAUUGAUAAAUAGUUAUAUCAAUAUUAAAUAUAUUAAAAUAAAAUUGAUUCUUUUAAAUGAUUUUUUUUCAUUGGAGUAUAUAUAUACAAAAAUGCUAUAUUUACACUAUUUCAAAAAUUAUAUUACUAAUUUAGCUUUUGUAAAUACUAAAUAGCUUCUCGCCUGACCCCAUGAAUUAUUUCCCUUUGCUGUCUUCAGAGUGUUGUGUUUCAAUCUCCUCUCCUACGCGCCAGCCCUUAACCUCAUGAUCCAUUUCCAUGUGCUUAAGUCUAUUCACUCAACAGUUUACAGACGUGUUUGCCAUGUGAUACUGCGAGAUGCCCCGUUGCUUUCUGCAAUUCUUUUUUCCUUUUCUUUUUUUGUCUGGAUAAUGCAGAUUCUAACUAAACGAUGGAUAUUCAUGAACAUCAUUAGAAAACGAAAACAACGUUCACUGAAAGUACUUGGUGGUGGACAUAUGAGAUGUCAAUUAUACAAAAGCACCCAUUUUUGUUAGCUUCUUUCCGCCCUGGAACACCAUGUGAUUGCUUAUUUGCUUCCCAUAUCACAUCCAUUUUGUUUGUUUCAUCAAAUGCGUGCCCAUGUGUUAGGAGCCUAUAAUUGCUUCCCAUUUACUUUUGCAUCGAUGAAUGAUGCUUGCCUUGAUAAAGCCAAGAAUGGAUGUGGUUUAAUUAUAGAAUUAUGCAGUCUGGUCCCAUCUCUCCUGUGUUUUGUAUACAUUUUUAAAAGUGUUUUUCCAUUGAAAAUAUAUUCGUUUAAUCUUCCAUAUGGCAUAAUCCUCUAUCUCUAACUGAGAAGCUCUUAGAUUUGUUACUAGAUUAAUGUCACAAAGUGGAUUUGUUAUACAAUUUGAUAAAGAUUUUGUACUUUCUGCACAGAAAUAUCAGAGAGGUUUACCAGUGAAGGCCAGCUCCAUUUUAUAUUAUUUUUGAAUCACUUGGCUAGACAAAUCUUGCCUGAACUUUUCUUAUUGCUGCGUUUGCUUCACAUGGCUGGCUCAUUUAUCCUUUUCAUCAAUAUGUUGCUCAAUAAUUUAUAAUAAAAUAGGCAACAGUGACAAGAAAAACCAUGUACUGCUACUCAAGUAAUUGCUUCCACCGAGCCCAGAAUUAACCCGUCCUAAGGGUUACUAGAAGUUUAUAUGGUUGUUAACUUCAGGGCUCGUAAGAUUAGUUAAAAUACGUUCAAGCUGCCCGAACAACUAUAUUAGUCUAAAAUAAAAAAUGAUCAUGGCAUUGAAAAGGAGAAAAAACAAUACCUACUGAGUUGCCUUCAAGCUAUGUGAUCUUUAAGUCCCGUCCUUCUUUUCUGAUGGGAUAUGAGUUCCAUAUAAAUUUGAUAGAAAGCGAGAGUACUCUCUCAUGACAAAUCUCUUUCUGAUGUGAAGUAGGGAGAACCAGCUGCUCCCACUUAAGUGAUUUAAAAGUUAUUAUCCAAAGUGAACAUCACCUUCAAACAUAAGACUUCUCAGAUUAAAUCACAAGCCUUCGAAUCAAUACUGAUUUAGGUUUCGGAAGAGUGUAGUUGAAGUGAAGCAUUAACAGACAGAGCAAUUAAGGAAAUGAUAACACAGUGAUAUGGAAAUGAUUCAUCGAACAGCAAGGGGAGGGAAGAGGAGUGCCCUGAAGGGAAUUUGUGACAGUAGAGGCCUAUGAAUGAUGGGGCAUUCGAUUGGGCCAUAAAACUACAAUCAUGCCAGGGUUCUCUAGUAUGUUUGGUAUUAUUAUAGUUUUUAUAAUUAUAAUUUUAAAAAAAAUUAUUUUAUAAAAAAUAUAUGUUUAGUUAAAACUGUGGUUGAAAUUGAAAUUGAACAAAAAGUAUUUUAAUGUGUUUAGUUAAGAUUGUUUUUCAUGAUUUUUUGAGUAUGUAAUAAUAUCAGAUAAAAUAUCAUCAGGAAUAAAAUUAGGAUUGUAAUUAAAUUCUGCAAAUGCUACGUCAUCAUGAAAUCUUCUUCUAAUAUAAUUAUAUAGUGUCAUUGAAUAAUGUUAAAUACAAGUUUUUCGAAUAAAACACAAUGCCUGAGAAAUUUUGUUGGAUUUUUUUAUUUUUACUGGGUCGGACCCAGUCCAAUAUAUUUAGGUUGGGGCCGGAACUUAUCCUGGUCAUGAACAGUGGAGACGCUCUCCAUUGUUCACAUGAACAAUGAAGCAGCUGAAUUAAUUCCCAAGCAUAGAAAUUUUGUUUUUGUUAAACUGCGGUCACAACCGCAAUUCAAGUGAAUCCCGCCAAAACAAAACUCAAUUUUUAACUUAAUCAAAUGUUAAUAUUUGUGGUUGACUGUGAUUUUCAGCCGCAAUCUUAAUACCAAACAAACACUUAGAAUAUAAUGUGUUACCGCAAUAUCAAACACUAUCUAAAUGGUUUGGAGGUAGCUUUAGGCCCCGCCAAUGGCACUAGCAAAAGCUCAAGGAUGCAAGCCUUGCAGUAAACUGUGCAAGGCAAACAUUAUAACACCUACCUUGUUUCCUUCACGGUUGACAGUGAUAGAAUUUCUAGUUUUACUAGCCAAAAUUAACUCUAUUUGGGUAACAUCAUGUAUCUUGAGUAAUUUAAUUUCAUCCACUACUUUUUUUUAUCUCAUAAGAUAUGAAUAAAUCGUGGUGCUGGCUAUAUACUCUUAAUUUUGAACAAUGCAUGUAGGAUUCAGAUCAAAGAAAAGAAUGACAAGAUAUUUGGUUCGAUGUCUCUGCUUAAAGUAACCAGAUCGAGGAAUUUCCUCACUGAAUUCUUGUCAUGUUAAUCAUCCUUGAAUUAUCAAAUAGGAAAUGACAAAGAAAUUACUAGCUGCACUUCACAUUAAAUACAAAAUACAAUAAUUCUGCACACAAGAAAAAGGACAAGAAAUAUAAUUGUGUUUUCUUUCAUGGCCAAGUGGGCAUCAUGUGCCUCAGCAUUCCCCAAUUCCAUUUAUUGCUUCAUCGUACGAGGGAGGGAGGACGAGAGAGAGAUUACAGAACAUUGAAUGUUUCCUUGGAUUCUGAUUUCUUGCACUUAUCAGUGAUUUUUCUGCACUAGGGCUAAGUUUUCAUAUGAGAUUUAACGGAUGUUUCUUCAUUGGAAGGGAUCUCUCUGUUGUUUAGAGACAACUACUUGAAUAAAGUAAAUCUUCAAAGAAUGUAAGAAAAUCCGAUCAAUAAAAAGACAAUUACAGAGCCAAACGGGCUCGAGGACAAAACAACAGGCUCCUCGUCCCUUUGUGUUGCCAUGAUCAAGUCUUUCUCCCUCUUCCUCCAAGGAGGAAUCCAAUGUGACCUUCGGUAGGAUAUCAGAGAUUCCAUGUCACCUCUGUGAUCUCAGUUGACAUUUUACGGGCCAGCAAAGAGGGUAAACUAUCAAAUAUCAAGAACAGCAGCUACUUUUUAUUUCUUAGACAAUUCACCGAGGCAUAAGCUUGAUAGCACCAUGAUGAACCUCCUCUUGUUAUAAUAGGAUCAUGAACCAGAAGAGAAAGGGGACCAGUGUAUGAUAGCUAGCUGAAUAUAUGAUAAAUGGGCAUGUCCUUAGGAGCCUUGUGGGACAUGAAAGCCUAAAGGGACGGGGUCUUGCCCUGUGAAACAUAGCAAAGCAAACACCAUAUUUACCGGCCAACUGACCCUCCGGUGAUCAAAUGGAACUGCAACCCAUUAUUAUUGGUGGCUGAAAAUUACCUUAAAAUCCGUACUCUUUUGCCUGCCAUUUGAGGUUCCUCACUAACCAGACAUUCCAAAGUAAUGCCAUCCUCUCUUCUCGAGGUCACAUGGCGUAUUAAUUGCUUCAUCCUGGAAAUUGCCAGAUUCCAAGUACUAUAAUUCAAGUCAUGUUAGUUCACUGCUAUCCAUCUACUGGCACUUGGUAAAAACAAUGAUCACGAAGAAAAAAAUGGAUACGUACCUCCAAUUCUAUCUCUAAUCUCUUGUUGCAGGCUCAUCAGUACUGCUUUUCUUUUUUAUUAACUCAAGAAAUUUGGCAUAACAAGGUUCAACUUUUCUGGGUUUAAUAGCAAGGAAACGUCAAUAAAGAAAUCAUGUUAAUUUUUUUACUCUAUUGCCUAAGUAGCAUGAAUACAGUACUGUUUCUGAAUGAAUUUCAACCUCUCUUUUUUUUAAUUUGAAUUUUUUUAAUUUUUUUAUAAGUUGAUAUUAAAAUUAAAUUUUAAAAAAUAAAAAUUAUUAUUUUAAUAUUUUUCUAAAUAAAAAUACUUUAAAAACUAUUAUUACCGCGCAGUUGGAAUUCUCUCCGACCUUUCUUUAUGCAUAUCCCACACAUAGGCUCUCUCUCUCAUGUGAUGAACUUGCUAGUACUGAAAGCCAUGAUUAUAGGGUCUGCAAAAAUAAUACUUCAAUUUAAUAUUGGAGUCCGUACUCUUACACAAACUGAGGAUCCAAAGUUCGAGACAUUCUAUUGGAAAUUGAAUAAUAAAAACUAUAUUUAGCCAAUAUUUAUUUAUAUGCUAUAUGUAGGGCUUUGUUUUGUUAUUAAUUCGUGCGCACGUAAGGAUCUUAUUUCAUGUAAAUUCGGUUUUUUUUAUUAUUAUUAUUUAUAACAUAAAAAAAAUCUAAAUAGAUUAGAAAUAAAAUUUAUGUAUUGGAUAAUUGAUUAAUCUCUUGAUUCUAGCAAUUUGAUAUAUUCUUCCUAGCUAAAAUGACCGGUAACUAGUACUUAGUAUUUGGUUGACCAAGGUGGCUAAAAGUUAUUACAUGUAAAAAAAAAAAUUUUAUAGAUUUGUAGAAUCUCGGAUGCUUAAAUAGAUAUAUUUUUAUAGAGAGAAAAUGUAAUGAUACUUUAAAGAGAUAAACUUUAAAAAUAUAUAUGCUAAAAAUAUUUAGAAUAAAAAGAUUAUGAACCUAGAUCUUAAAGGAUCUAUAAUGUAUUUAUAACUCAUAAGUCUUAUUUUUUUAUGAAGAUGAGGAGCUAAAGUGUUAUUUUACCCUGAUAGCAUUUAAUAAGUGAUAAAUAUAUCUUGCAUGUGCAUUAAUAAAGGAUAAAUAUUAUAAGUCAUCAGGCAAUUUUUAAACACCUAGAGGUGUAGAGAGAAUAUGAUACAAAACAUAGUUGAGCUUAUAGGGGCUGAGCUCUUCCCCUUAACUUAACGUAAUGGAGUUGAGCUCUUUUCUUGGUUAUACUCAAGAAAAUUGAGCUUACUCGUUAACUGAACUCAUCCCUUAGCUGAACCCCAAUAUAAUUAUAUUAGGUUUACCAACUUGCUAGCCCUACGUUGUCUUGAGCUCAACCAUGGUUGAACCGAAGUGUAUUGGGGCUCGUAACUUGCGAUAGUCAUAUUGUUUUGAACUCAACAAUGACUGAACCAAAGUGUGUUGAGUUUAACAACUUGUCAGACUCAUGUUGUUUUGAGUUUAGCACAUGGCUAACCCCAAGUAUAUGAGAGUUGGACCUGGUAAAGUGAUAAGUCCAUGGUGUUGGAGCUUGGACAUAGAAUCAAAGAGUUAUGCAGUCACAAAACCACACGAUGACACAUAUCCACACCCAAUAUAAUAAUUCUAGAUACAUCAAUUAUUAUUAUUACAAGUAACACUAAAAAUUCCCUCACUUUAUUUUCAUUUUUGUUUUUUUUUUUUGUCAUACUUCUUUCUUUAUGAUUACACCUUUUUAUUAUCAUUAAAAGUAAUGAUAAAAGGCAUGUGGUUUUCAUUGUAGCACUCACUUUUUAUUUUUGUUAUAAUACUUAUUUUUCUUUACAAAUGCACUCUUUUAUAAUUAAAAUAAUGAUCAAAUUAUGAUAAAUUGCCAUGCAAAGACAAAACUUAAAAACAGGAGAUCAAAGUGUGAAACAUGGAAAAUAACAUCUCCAACCUAAAAUUCACAUAGCAAAAAACAUUUUAGUCUCCUUAUUUUCCUCAUUCUUCCAUCACAAUUCUUUUAGUUUUUUACAUAUUUUAUUUUAGUCCAAAACUUUAGUUUUUAGCCCCUAGCUCGAGAGAUAAGAGAGAAACUUAGCAGAAAACAAUGAAGAAGAAAGAAAAAAGUUGGUUGACCACAUUAUGACUUUGAAAAAGGUCAUUCUUGAUUUCAACAGGUUCCAUUCAAUGAGAGGAAUCACACUAAGGUAUUUUUUUUAACCUUCAUUUUGUUUUAAAAAAAAUAUACUAGAGUUGAGAGAGAAAACUUUUUCCUAAUUUGUUUUUAGGCGAAAAUAGGAUGGAAAUUAAUCUUUGAACCAAAAAGCUCUUGCUUGGUUUUCCAACCAUUGAGGGGCAAUUAAAAAUUGGACAAGCAGACGACAUAUUAUCUGUGUUAUUUAAAUAAAAAAAAUAAGAUAGAUAAUGUCUUUUUUCCUAAAAAGAAAAAGGAAAGCCCAAGCACAAGUUUUUUUAUUUAUUUACUGGGCUAGACACAUGGACUUUAGCUUUUUUUUUUUUUUUUUUUAAGUAAAUGAAACUUAAUUAAAAUAGAUUAAUUAAAAGAAUGUACGGGAUGACAUGGUGGGUAUUCAAUUUUAAUUCAAAUUACUUAAAAUAAACUAAUUAAAAAAAUUGUGAUAUAUUUUUAAUUAAAUAGCAUUUAGCUUAGGGGUUGUUUUUGUGCAAUCAUAUAUUUUUUUUCUUUAUUUUUAUUCAAUAACUUUUCUUUGUGUGUUUGUUUUUAUUAUUUUCCAAUUGAAUAAAUAAUUAAUUCCAAGAAAUAAACUUAUUAGACCUAAUUCGUAAUCCACAUUACUAGAUAAACAUGUAAUAGUUAGUUGACCCUUUAUAAAAUCGAGUUUAUAGAACAUGUUGGCAAAGCAAUCUAACAAUUAAGAUAUUUUUUAUAAUUCGUAAUCCACACACCUUUCUUCUAUGGGCUUUUAUAUUCUUUCAAUAUUUUUUUUGCAUAGUUUGAUUACGUCUACACCCUUGAAAGCAAAACAUUUGCACAGAAUGGCUUGUUCAUCUUUGCUUCUUUUUUUAAACAAUGGAGUGAUCGAAUUGCUCUUCAAAAUCAAAAAAUUCUAAGGCUGGUUUUAAUGGCAUUUUAGUCUUGUCAUCGGGGGUUAUUUUGUGAUUUUAAGGUUCAUUCAAAGGCUGUUUUGUAAUUUUAAAAAAACUAAAUAUAAUGUUUAAAAACAUUGUUGAUGAGUUAACAUAUGCAAGGUCGUUUAAUUAUCAAAAAUCACAAUUCAUGACAGUGUUUGAAAUGGCGCAUUUUCAUGUUCGCAGGGCACAUGCACACAACAAAGGUGCAGUUAUGCUCCGUUAACCUUUUUUUUUUCUUUUUUUAUCUCUCUUAGUUUAUAAAUUCAAACUAGUCCUUUUAAAAAUUGAUUGUGUCCUUCAAUUUUUAUUUCUUUCAGUUUUGGCUUGCAUUCUUUUUAUUUCAAUUUAUGUUGCUUUUGAUGCUUUUUGAGGUUUAAAUUGUUUUUCAAUUUCUUCCCUAGACAUUUUAUUUCAAUUUCUUUUUAUUGUUUUUUUUUGUUUUAUUCUUUUCUGAUUUUUUUUAUUUCAUACUUGAUCAUUUUAUUUUUUCUAUUCAAUUUUGAUCAUUAUUCUUUUGAUUUCUAUUUUCUUAUUCUUUUCUUGAUUUAUUGUUUUUCAGUUUUUUUCUUUUAAUGUUUUAUUUUAUUGAUUUUUUUAUCUAAUUUUGGUUCUCAUUCUUUUAAUUGUUAUUUAUUUAUUUAUUUUUUUAUCAUUUUCUUAAUUUAUUUUAUUUUAAAAUUUAAUCCCUAAUUAUUUUCUUUCAUUUAGUUUUUAUAUCAUAGUUGGUUCUUAUUAUUUUUAUUGCUAUUUGUUUUGUUUUAAAAUCUUUUUAUUAUUGGAGAUUUUACUUCAUGAUUUUUUGUGUAUUUGUCUUUCUAUAAAGUUAGUCAAGUUAACCCGAGCUGAGUCGGAUUUUUUUUACUUUCCUUUUUUAAAAUUUAAUUAUUUAUUAGUUUCAUCUUUUAACAUUAAAUAAUUAAACUUUGACCUUUAUGGUUUUUUUCAAUAUCAUUUAUGUAGGUUAUCCUGAUUUUAUAUCUCGAUUAUAUAUUUAUCAAGUUAACUUAAAUUGACUUAGAUAAUCCAAACAUUUUUUUUAUAUUAAAAAAAUUAAAGAACAAUAUAUAUGUGGAAUUACGAGAAAUUAUAAAUUUUGUGGGAGUAGCUAGGUAGCACUGUUGGGGACAAUUAAACUGAUCUGGGCCUGUAAUUCUAUGAGUCAUGGCCCUUUUGUCAGCGUGACGCAUCAAGAGAGGCAUAUGCAUGCAGCGUGGAACAUGCAGCAUUUUCUGAGGAUGAAAAUUAAAGUCGUGUUUGGCGUUGAGGUGGAAAAGUAUUUUUAAAAAAAUUUGAAUUUAUUUUUUUUUAAAAAAAUAAUAUGUUUUUGAUGUUUUAAAAUCAUUUUGAUUUGUUGAUGUCAAAAAUAAUUUUUAAAAAUUAAAAAAAUAUUAUUAGCAUGCUUUUCUAAAUAAAAAACACUUUGAAAAGCAACAGCAACCAUACUCUCAAAUAUAUUUUUAAAGGUAACAAUAGUGGUAUGCUGUAAUGCGGGAAUAACUUCUUGAGCAACAACAAAGGGAAGAAAAAACUUGUAGAUCGACUCAUCUGGCAAUCAUGGAGUGACAAAAUCUCAGGUCUUCCUUGAUUAUAAUUAUCCAAAGUCUGAGGUCUUCCUUGAUUAUAAUUAUACCUCUAAACUACAAGUUAUUAGAAAGUUAUUGGCCCGCUAAUUAUCCUUUGACCCUUCAACUCAACCAGGCCAAAACAAAAAGAUCAUGAUCAUACACCUUGAAUCAUCGAUCACAAGACAACAAAACCCUAAUUAUUUCGAGUCCUCUGUCAUCUCUCUUUGUAGCUAUCUUUGUAGCUAACAAUGGUUAGUCUAAAACAUAGCUAGCUACUGUUCCAAGAUUUAAGAGCAUCUGUAGAUAACGGAAGCUGACAGUUUUCAUUCAAGUGACCACAUAGUCAAACACCAUGGCCCAUUGCCUGUAGCAAUUAGCAAAGUGCAUGUAUUAUUGCCAUGUACAUGCAUGUGCUAAAUCAAAAUAAAUGGAAAAGAAAUGAAGACACCACUGCUUUCCAAGUUUAGCUUAUUAAGAACCUACGCAAGAACAAGUUGAGGAAAUCAAAAGAUGAUAUAAUCAUAUAAAGAUCCAUCUCUGGGCACAGUGCAUUGAACCUUCCCUAGAACGCAUGAUUCUGCGUUUAAGUACUUGAUUUGCUGGGAAAGAAUGCCAUCAACAAGAAAUUAAUUAAGGAGAUGGGAUUGUUAAGAUUAAGAAAAUAAGUAAAAUGGUGGAAAUGUUUUCUGUGUUGCGAGGUUGCUCGACUUUAGAAAGAGACAAGACCACCCCUCCAAACCCUAGAUGCUUGUGUGUUGUUUUGUAGAUGGUGAUGUCUGGUUUGGGAUGUCAAAAACGUAACCUUUUACUUGUCGACCAAGUUUUGACAAUUAAUGAUCAUGCUAAAAAACCUAAAAGGCUGGCAGCUGGCCGUGUCAACCACCUAACUAUGUUUUCUUUAUUAUUAUUUAUUUAAGAAAGUGAAGGGUAAGGGGUGCUUGUUUUUGUGUUCAACACGGUUUUGAAGAUUUUUCAAGUUUUUUUAAAUUAUUUUUUUAUGAUUUUAAAUUGUUUUGAUAUAUUAUGUUAAAAAUAAAUUUAAAAAAAAUAUAUUUUAAUGUAUUUUUAAAUAAAAAACACUUUAAAAAAUAAUUAUUAUCAUAAUUUUAAAUAAUAUUUAAAUGCAUUGAUUCAAACCUCAAAUCAUGGCUAUCAUCUUAAGUUUGAAGGUAUUUAAGAGUGUGAUAGUGGUUGUUUUUUAGAAUAUUUUUUGUUUUAAAUUGCAUUAAAAUAAAAAUAUUUUAUUUUUAAAAUAUUAUUUUUGACAGUAACAUAUUAAAAUGGUUUGAAAAUAUAAAAAAAUAUUAAUUUAUAAAUAAAUAAAUAAAAUUAAUUUAUUUAAAAAAUAUUUUUAAAAUACAAAAAUAAAUAUAGCUGAAGGUGAGGUGGUAAUUUGUAACACUGAAAGGAGUGCAUAUGAGUUUUUAUCCUUGAGAAUAGCUCUUUACCGGUUUUCUAAUGAAGUGAUUGAUGGGGCUCAAAUCGGAUCAUAGUUAGUAGAGCUGCCAAGGCCCAACUAACUUUUUUUAAUCUUACACCGAAAACCUCUUUUUUUAUAUAUAAAUUAAUGAAUAAAUUGACCUUUUUUAAUCAAUAUAUAUAUUACUUCUUAUAAUGAAGAUCAAAUUUCUUAAAUUUUUCGUCAAUUUUAAUGAAUUGUUUUAUAAUUUAUGAAUUCAUAUUUUUUUUAAUGCAUUUUAUAAAUGAAAACAUCAUUUUUUUUAAUCCUCAGUUAAAAAACUUUAUUAUACCAAAAAAACGUAUCCACAAUGUCAGCGACUUUCGUUAUACAUUGGCUUGGAAUCUUUCCCACAGCAUAGUGCAGGUGCUUGGAGCUAGUUUGAGGUCCGAGAUUGAGAUUCUGCUUGUUAUUGUUUUUAAAAAAAAAAUUAUUUUUAAAAUUAACAUAUUAAAAUAUUAUACACACAAUUAACUAUUUGUGUAUUUAUUUAUCAGUUGAAAUUGAAUGAAAAGGGAACAUCAUUAUAAAUAAAAAAUAGAAUAUACAAGAGAAUAUUUCAAAAACAAGUGCAUAUAAGAUAUUCUAUAUACUUGACACAUGUUUAUUUGAAAUUAUUGAUUGUGUAUUUUCUUAAAAAAAAAAUAUUACAUGUUACAUCAUUUGAUUUAUUUUGAGAAGAAUGUAAUAGAAAACUAAUGAGAAUGUAAAUGAAAUAUAAUUUAUUUUUAUAUUAAAAUAAAAUUUUAAACAACUCAAGGAAUUGAUAUGAUAUCAUAAAUAUUUCCCUUGAAAAAUAUACAAUAUAAAUUCCUAAUGAAAGCAUAUUAUAUGAACUUUUAUUUGAUUAAAAUGAAAAUAAUUAUCAAAUAAUACACUUUACAAAAUUUUCAUUAAAAGUUAUCUUUAAUUUCUUUAUUUUUAUUUAACAUAUAAGAACGAAUGAAAACAUAAUUGUAUCUAUUUUUAAAAAAAAUUUAUUAUUUUUUGUUAAAAAUUAAUUUUUUAAUAUAUUUUGAAUCAUUUUGAUGUACUAAUUUUAAAAAUAAAUUUUUAAAAAUAAAAAAUAUUAUUUUAAUAUAUUUUAAUAUAUAACACACUUUAAAAGAAAAUCAUAUUUCUAAUCCGUUAAUGGCAUGCCGCGGAGAAUCUCCAUUUUGAAUUCUAUGCCACGUCACUUUAAUAGAUCUAUUAUUUUAUUUAACUCACUGAUAACUUAACAGACAACUUGUCAGGAUAGCAGAGACUCGUAAAUUUUGCUUUAAUUCUAUAUGCAAAGAAAGAUUCUAAAUAAUUUAACGAGGGCUAAGUCCAUAUAAACAUCUCAACUAGUACUAUAGUUUCAACUUGACCUAAUUUUGUAUUCUUUAAGCCCUAAAAUUCAACAUAUAUAACAAAAUAGAAAACUAAAAUCGAUAGUACUUACAUUGGUUCCCACCCCCAACUAGUCAUUAACUAGUUAUUGGUCCGCAAUUUCCUGCAGGUCAAAUAAAAAACAAAUUUAAAACUAAAAAAAAAAUACAUGUAGACAUUCUUAAUAUGUUUAAUAAAAAAAAUUAAUUGUAAAGACAAAAUCUAAUACAUAUAUUUAAUAAAGUAAAUAAAGCAUUAUAUACACCCAUAAAAUUUUUAUACACAUGCGCGUUCACACACACACACAUAGAUAUAUAUAUAUAUAUCUAUAUAUAUAUAUAUAUAUAUAUAUAUAUAUAAACACUAACUAAAGAAUAAGUUAUAAAAAUAACGAACAUAUCUUAAUUAAAAAUAUCUUUUUCAUAUAUAAUUUAGUUUUUUUAACAAAAUAAUAAAAAAAAUAAUAUAAUAAAACUUUUCUCAUUGAAUAAAACUAACUAAUACUAAAAACAUGUUUUUUUAUAUAUAAUAUGGAUAACCAAUGACUUUUUCUUUCCUCUCUUAUUUUCCAACUACUUCAUCUCUUCUUUCUCUCAAAUCCGAGGAAAAUCUUGGACCAAAACAUAUAGUUUGCAAAUCAAAUAGAUCAAAAUAGAAUUUGAAAAAAAUAUAAAGGCAUUUUUUUUCUAAAAAGGUACUAACUAUGUGUUGUUUGCAUAUCCCACCCUUUAAUUUUUUUUUAUUUUAUUGAAAAAACAACGUGUUGUUUGCAUUUUUAGAUUUUAACCACCAUAGAGGUGGUUGAAAAAUUAAGCAGUAAAUUUUUCAACUUUAAAAAUCAUUUUCAACAUAUUUUAAUCUAAAAAACCACCCAUAAAUCAUCAAUAAAUCAAUCUCUCAACCAAAACACUCCUAAAUUGGUCUGUAUUUUCCAUCAAGAUUGAGGGUGAAAAAAACAUAUAUAAAAGAGGAACUCUCAUCGUCGAUUGAAAUUCAUUAACACCAAUAAUAAUUUUAUUUGUUAUGAAAAUAUAGAUAAUUAAUAACUUUCUCUCUCAUUUCUUGUUUUUUAAUGACUUCCUCUCUCUUCUCUCUAAACUAAAAACUUAAACACAAAUAAAAUAAAAUUUUGAAUCAAAUUAUAUAUUGUUAAACUAAAGGGAUUAAAAUAAAAUUUUAAAAAAACCUCCAGGCAUAUGGAUGAACAAACCCAGACAAAAAAGGAGCUGCAAUUUCUAACCACUUUCAAUUUUUAUCCUUUUAUUUUCAACUUGGUUUAAAUAAUAAAAUUGAUUCUUUUUGUAAAAUAAAAUAUCAACCUAAUACGGUAUAUUUUUUUGACACAAUAAUAACCAAAUAGAAAUAAAUAAGAAAGCCAAAUCUUAAAAAAUUUAAUCAUGAAAAUAUAAAUGUAAAAAUUAAAAAAAGGUUGCCAAGCCAAAAAGAAAAGAAAAGAAAAGAAAAAGGAAAGUUAUUACAGUAAUCUAUAGUGGUUUCUGCUAACGUUAAUUUUGUACGCACCACAAAGCGUUGCAUCUUUCCCUCCAAUCUUCUGUUACAAAAAGGCAUGCAUGUAUCGACUUGUUUACCUGGCAUGAAAUCGGUCGCCUGCUCAUCAUUCCCUCUCCUGCCACCGCCGGGUAUGGUGUCCUUUCCUGUCACAAUUCUUUCCUUUCCCGUUAACCCCGUUAAAUCCCUAACAACGACCUGACCUUUCUAUUUUGGGAAUAUUCACGGUAUCAUCCUAACGUCAUCACCAUCCUCCGUUAUUUGCUUAGCUGGAUUCCACUGUGGGCUUCCUCCGUAUGGGGCCAGCUGGCACUCAGCUCCCUAAUGCACGUGGCCAGCUACUUCUGUCUAGCAUUGCGCACCCUAAUUUACCAGGACACCGCACAUAUCACUCUCUCUUUACCUUCAGUGACCUUUUCCCUCUUCGGUAUUAUUUCACUUUUUGAAAUCUAUUUUUAAUAUUAUUUGAAAAAAACUAAAUUUUUUUUUUUUUUUUUAAAAGCAUAACCACUCCAAAAAAAAAAAGCCCUUCCUCGAGCUCAUCGAAGUGCCUCAUCUGGUGCUUUUAAGCUAUUCCAGACAUUUCCGUACUUAAAAGUUAAAAUCCUGCCAGGGGUAAUUAAGUCAAAUAACAUAUAUUCAGAUGAGGAACUCCUUUGAUUGGCCCAUUUUUUUAUUUUUACGUUUUAAAAAAUUCAUUUUUUUUAAAUUUAAUUUUUUUUUCAUAUCAUUUUAAUAUAUAUUAAUAUUAAAAAUAAAUUAAAAUAAAUUAAAAAAAAUAUUAUUUUAACAUAUUUAUAAAAAAAAUACUUUAAAAAACAAUAGCAAUCUUUUCAACCUUAGGUCUUGGUUUUGACGGUAGAAUAAACAUUUUUAUUUAAAAAAAAAAUUAAAAAUUUUAAAAUAUUUUUAUUUUAAAAAUAUAUCAAAUUGUUUUCUUAAAUAUUUUUUUUAAAGAAUUUUGAUAUUUUAAUAUUAAAAAUAAAAAAUAUUUUAAUAAAUUUAUAUAUAAAAAAUAUUUUAAAAAAACAUCUUGUCUUAUACUGUAAUACCACAUACAUAAUCAGUGUUUGGAUAAAGAAAUGAAAUUAUCUCCUGUUCUUAAUGAAAAGAGGAAUUGUCUUUUUUAUUUAAAAGGAAAUUAUAUGAUAUUUCAACCUGUAACAACGCGUGCUCGUAUACUUGUUAGAUGCGUUAAAGCCACCGUUCAUAUACUUGCACCGCCAAGCCUCGUUAAUGAAAUAUCCACGUCACCUAUCAACACCAAAAUCUUCUAACCAACCGGAAACAAUUAUCAAAUCCUUAUUAAAAAAAAAAAAAAAAACCAAACCCGUGAUGACAGAAACAAGCCUCCGACGACUGGGAGACACGAAUAAAAAAACACAUAACAUUUAACUAGGUUUUUAUGAUUGGAAAGUGCGUUUUUGUAAGAGGUUGAAUGUUUUUCUUAAAAUUAAUUUUUUUAUUUUUUAGAUUAUUUUGAUAUAUAUUAAAUUAAAAAUACUUUAAAAAAAAUUAUUUGAAUAUAUUUCAAAUAAAAAAUUAUUUUAAAAAACAAUCAUUACAUACAAUACUAAAUACAUUCCUAAAUCAUCUAUAUUUAUCCAAUCUAAAACUAAUAUAGAAAAGAAGCAGGGAAAAAUAGGCAUAGAAGCAAAAUAAAAGAAGCAAAAUUAGUAGUUGUUGUCUAUGAUAUUUGAUGGACGCCAUCAAAAAAAUUCUUUGGGAUGGAAUCUUUUGUUAGAGAAAAGAUAGAGAAAGAAUUUUUUUCAAACGAGUUUUUUUAAAUAUAAUUUUUUAAAAACAUAAUAAUUAUUUUUUUAUUAAUAUCAAUGUUCAGGUCAACUUGCAUGCAACUCGACUCAUUUUACGGGCCCUGAAAUUAACGUUUAUGUAAGUUUUCAAUUGCCAUCAUAUUAAUAAUUACAUAGCUCGAAUUUGAGAUUACAUGGAAAAUAAAUUUUUUAAUCUCAAACUAUUAUAAAUUAUAAAUUUAUCACUUAUUAGAAGAUUUAAAAAAAACAAUAAUUACUUUUACUAAUGUUUGUUUUAACUUUUAACCUCAAAUCACAUCAUGCAAAACAACUACACUAAACAAGAACUUUUAGUAAGUAGAUGAUAUACGGUUAGUAAAUCACAAUAGAUGGUUAGUAACUAAAGGUAAAGCAUACAAUCUUGUAUUUACGAGGUGCUUUACUUUUUUAUUUUAUAGAAGAAAUUAUAAUAUAAUUUUUUAAAAAAAUUAUAAUAAAUUAUAAAAAAAUAUUGAUCUAAUAACAAUAAUUAGUAUAUCUGAUAUAACGAUAGUGUUCGAUAAUAUAGUAAUAAUUAUUUUUUAAAAUGUUUGUAUUUAAAAAUAUAUUAAAUAAUAUUUUUUAUUUUUUAAAAUUAUUUUUAAUAUCAGUAUAUAAAACGAUCUAAAAUUAUAAAAAUUUUAAAUAAAAAAAUUUUCUUUUAUAAAACACUAUUUAUAAUACAAUUCCAAACUAAGAGCUGUAUUUUCUUGUUAAAAAUACCAAGAAAGAAAAAAGUUUUAAGCAUUUUCCAGUUUUUAAUGCAAAAGACGACUGCAAAAUUAUUUGUAUGUAUGUAGGUAAAAAGGUACGUGUUAAGAGAGGGUGUUUUAGUAGUUUCAGACAGGGGUAUUUAAAUCAUGUAGGGGCUUGUGUCCUGCGCAAGAAAGAGAAAACACCUAACAGAAUUAGAAAGCACAGGAAUCUAUGAUAAAUAGAAGUGAGAAAUUAGAAAGUCUAGUUUGUGUGUGGGACAGAUUCAAAAUGUGGGUCCGGUGAUGAAUCGGUUAGUCUCAGGUGUAUGAUGGGAAUGCUUCGAAUCAAACGGUCUUAAAAUUCUGUUGGUUCGAGUUGGAUGCAAUGUUAUACUUAUACCGUGUCGGUUCUAGUGGGACUUUCCGAGGCAGGAUCAAGAUCCAGCCGAUGAAUGACACGUGGAAGAGACACGGCUUGUUCGGGGAUAGAGGAGUGAUUCAUUGCUGUUGUCGGAGUGCACAAACACACGGUAUUUAUUGCAUGAAAGUAGGGGUUGAGUCUACCAUGAGUCCGAGUGCACAAGACGCAUAACCUGCGCACUUCGCUGCCACCAAACCCCCCUUAAAAAAAAAUUAAUACUAAAUUAUAUAUUAUUUUAAUAUAUUUUUAAAUUAAAAAAUAACUGUUAUUUGUUUAGUUAUUUUUUUAUGCAUAUAAAUUUAAAUAUUGUAAUUUUUUUUUAUUUAUUCUAGUGAAGGUGAAGAGAAUUUAGAGAAAUAAAUUCUUAAUUAAGGAUUUAGAAUAUUUCUCAGAUAAAUUUUAGGAAUUUUGUUUUCACUAAUUUACUAUGCUUGAGAUAUUGUAUUAGCAAAUUCAAUGUUCUUCGUAUAAUUAUAAAAAGGAUAAGAGCAGGAAACAUCUAGAGUCUUUCUUCUUUCAUGUGGAUGAUUCUUUCAUUUUUCUCAUGGAGUGGAACGUAAUAUUAAUAUUGAUUCAAUGCAUUUUUUUGGACUAGAGUUUCAAUGCCACUAAUAUCAUUACUUUUUGUUGAAGAAAUCUUAGAGCCCCUGUUUUUUGGAUUAUGAUUUAAAUAAAAAUCGAUUUAAAUUUUAAUUUUUUACUUAAAAUUAAUUUUUUUAUAUUUUAAAAUUGUUUUGUAGUGUUGAUAUAAAAAAUAAACUUUUAAUAUAUUUUAAAAUAAAAAAUAUUUUAAAAAAUAAUCAUUACCAUAUUUCUAAUUAUUUUAUAUAUUUUGUUAUGUAAAAUGAGAUACUCGGUUAAUAUAAAUAGUAAAUAAAAAUGCAAUAAAGAUAACAUCUCUAAAUAUUUAAUAUUAUCUGAUUUAAUUAAACAUAAUUUACACUUAACUUAACUAAAAAGAUUUGAUUUAAGCUCAUUAUAACUAGAUGCAUACUCUAUUUUUGUUUAUAAUAAUUUAUUAUUUUUUAUGGAUUUGAAAUGAUCUGGAUUUCUAUAAUAGUUUAUUAUCUUUUAUGGAUUUGUAUUUUAAUUUUGUUGAUAGUUGCUAUUGUUUUAUGAAAAGAUAUAUAAUUUAUAAUAUUGCAAGAUACACGGGUAAAAAAUUAUUAUUUCUAUGUUGUAGUUGAUUUACAUAAUUUUUAGUAAUGAUUUCUUUUAGAUGAAAACAAUAUAGUAUGUUUUUGGAAAUAUGAUUGUAUAUGUUUGAAAAUGUAAUUAUAUCCUUGUUUUUUUUUAAAAAUAAUUUUUUUAUAUAUUUUAAAUUAUUUUGAUGCGCUGAUCUUAAAAAUAUUUUUUUAAAAAUAAAAAAAUAUCAUUUUGAUGUAUUUCAACACGAAAAAUAUUUUAAAAAACAACUAAAACAACACUGCUAAACAUGCAAAAAGUCAAUUACUAUUUUUAAAGUGAAAAAUAAAUAAAUAACAUUUUUAAAAUAUUUUUAGAUAAUUUUAAUAUAUUAAUACCAAAAUUAAAUUUAAAAAAAUAAUAAAAUAUUAUUUUAAUAUUUUUUUUUUUAAUAAAAAUCACUUAAGAAAAACAUCCAUUCCCAGAGUAUACAAAUCUCAUGAAUUAAAGGUUUUAGCGUAAGCAAGGCAAGAGAGACGACGAGAAACAAAAAUCAAUUCAAGAAUUAGGAGAGAGAGAGAAAGAGAGGGUGAAGGAUUCUAAGCUAGAACUUAGAGGAGGAGGGAGGAGGAGGAGGUUAGAGAGAGAAGCCAGCAGCAACGACAAGUGACGAGAGAGAAAACCUGUCUCGUGAAGUCUUGUAGCCCAAAAAUAUAAUAAAAAAGAAAAUAAAAGAUCUCUUCUCCUCUCUUUUUUUCUUUCUUUCUCUCCCUGCAAAACCAAACAGGCUGCAGACACACACACACACACCUCCUCUCUCUCUCUCUCUCUCUAAACUCUCGCAUUCAUUCCUUGCUUCUUCCUUUUAAUAUCACGAGAUCCCCCUAUCUGUUUCUUUUUUUUUUUCUCUCAUGUCUUCUUCAAAGACAACAUUUUUGAGUUUGGGUUCCUUUCAUUUCCUUGUUCAAUCUCCAUUCGCUCACAUUUCUAACAUCGUCUGACUAAAACACAACAUCACAUACCCAGAAAGAGCGACACCAACAUAUUGAAGAUAUCCCUUUUUUUUUUUUUUUUCUAUUUAAUACUGUUAUCAUUAAUUAAAAAAAUGAUGUCGCAUUCACCGAAACCCUCCAUUGGAGGAGGAAACUUAGACCUCAAUUCACUAACUGAUCAACUCCGUGACUCACUCUCUUCAUUCGAAGCCAACAAGCCUGAUUUCCGUGAACUCGAUCUGGGUUCACCAGUUUCACCUCUCCGAACUCGUGGUGGACUCAUCACUACAGCCACCGCCACCGCCACACACCACCACCACCACCUCCUCCAGCUCCAGUUCCUCCGGAUCCGCAUCCGGUGCUCAAAACCCACUUCACAAACCCAACAAUAGCAACCACUCAGGCGAGUUAUCAAACUCGAGUGAGAGCAGCCCCACUGCUGGUUCCAAAAAGGCUCAACCGGGUCAUUCUAGAUCCGACUCUUUAACAUAUUCGGGUCAAAUUACCAGCCAGAGUGCUGUGAACUCUCCUGUAACAGGCAAUGUGUUACCUACCGGUAACAUUUGUCCGUCGGGCAGGAUCUUGAAGACAGGCAUGGGAAUGGCGAAUCGGAGUGCCAAAGCGGAUGUUUUAGGAUCCGGGACCGCAAAUUAUGGUCACGGGAGCAUAAUGCGGGGCGGAGGGAGCGCAAAAUGUGUUAACUUGGAUGUUGUUAAUUCGGCAAGUAGGAAUGCUUGGAGUGUGCGUCCAGGGAUUGUGGAUCCGGAGGAGGUGAAGAGGACUGGAAAUGAGAUGUAUAAAAAAGGGUGUUUUGGGGAGGCGUUAGGAUUGUAUGACAAGGCUAUUGCGUUGGCACCUGGGAAUGCUGCUUAUAGGAGUAACAGGGCGGCAGCGUUGAUGGGAUUAGGGAGAGUUGUGGAGGCGGUGAAAGAGUGCGAGGAGGCUGUUAGGUUGGAUCCUAAUUAUUGGAGAGCACAUCAGAGGUUGGGGGUUUUGUUAAUUAGGUGAGUUUGAUGAUGGGGCUUUGAUUCUAUCUUUGCCUGUGGGGUGUGUCUGUGGUGGGGUUCUUGAUUUUUGGGGGAUUUUUUUUGAGUUUUAGCGGUGAUUUGAUCUGCAUUGUUGGGAUGCUUGUUUAUUAGCUGUUAUAUUUCUUAAUGAAGUUAAAGAAGUUUUGUUUUUUCUUGUUGAUUUUGACCAUUCAAUUGAUUUUACGGAAUAUGAUGAAUGAUAAAGACGAUGAUGAGUCUAGAUUUAUUGGGUUCUAAGUUGUGUUGACCAAGUUCUAAUUUAUCUGUUUUAUUUACUUUAUGAUUGCUGAAUUUGUGAGCAUUUAGUAGGUGAAUGUGAUGUUUUGUGAUCUUAUGAUCUGCAUUGUUGUUGAUGUUUUGAUGUAUAUUAUUAGGAUUUGAUAGGUAGAUGGAUGUGCAGAGAAAAUCAUUUUUUUCUAAUGCUUGGUGAAUAAUUACAUUACAGCUUCUAAAUGUUUUGAGGAUUUAAUAAGUUGUGGAUUGCAGUAGGUUUUUCUAUUUUUUAAUGUGUUAAUCCACUUGGUGCGAAUAGUUUGUUGAUCGAAUACCAAAGCUGAUCCAUUUGUUCAUAUUUGCUUGUUUUGUUUGUUAUGGCUGUUGACACUAUUUUGUUUUUUGCUCUUUGGAUUUAGGAUGCUUUAAUUUUUUCCUCACUUGCUAUUGAUCCUACUGCAUUUGCUGGUUCUAAUCUGGUUUGAUUUGGUUCUUUACGUUGUGUUAUUUUUCUAAGAGUGUUGAGAUAAUUUGUUUCUUUGUAUUGAUGACCUAGAAACAUAGCUGGGUUGAUUUGGCUUUUGGCUUGCUGCAUACUGAGUUGCUUCUGAACAACUUACACCAUACUAUUGAGCUCUGAUAUACCCGUGCUGUCCUGAUUAAGUAGUCUUGAACGUUCAAACUCUUUGUCUGUCUAGAACCAUUUGUUAUAACUUUGAUCCAUCCAUUUUGGUCUUUUAUUGGUUUGUUUUGUUUAAGCUGUCAGAUUCACAUUUUUUAUUGUGGUCUAUAAUUUUCCUGGAGCUUUAAUUUUCUAUUUAUUUCCCCAACAGUAUGCUGCAAAUAGUUUGAUAUUUGUUGUGGGGACAGGAAGCAUUGAACUUGAUUUCAUUGCAGGUUAGGACUGGUUGAGAGUGCCCGGAAGCACCUAUGCUUCCCUGGACAGCAUCCAGAUCCUGUCGAAUUGCAGAAGUUGCAAUUAGUAGAGAAACAUCUUAGCAAAUGUUCUGAUGCACGGAAGGUUAAUGAUUGGAAUGGUACAUUAAGGGAAGCAGAAGCUUCAAUUGCUGCUGGAGCAGACUAUUGCCCCCAGGUAUAAAAUGGCUAUCUGUACUUUAUACUGUGUAAAACUGGCAAAAUUGACGACCAGAGUAAAUUAACGAAUGUUUGAACUGGUUCAAAUUGAAUUUACAGCUCUUUAUGUGUAUAGCUGAAGCACUUUUGAAGCUCCACCAAUUAGAAGAUGCUGAAUCAUGUUUAUUGAAAGUUCCAAAAUUAGAACCAUAUGCCAACUUCUCGCAGACUAGAUUUUUUGGGAUGCUUUCUGAAGCUUACCCGUUCUUGGUCCAAGCAGAUCGAGAUGGCUCUAGGAAGGUGAGUUCAGAAUUUCAAACCACUACAAGAUAUAAUAAACAGUUUUGGAGAGCUUAAGACUGGAUGAUGGAUGCCUUGCAGGUUUGAGAAUGCAGUUGCAGCUGCUGAGAAAGCUGGACAGAUUGAUUCACGAAAUGUUGAAGUAGCAGUGCUGCUUAAAAAUGUGCGACUAGUAGCUAGAGCUCGUACCCGCGGCAAUGAUCUCUUCAAAUCAGAAAGGUUCACUGAAGCCUGUUCAGCAUAUGGUGAAGGCCUUAGGCUUGAUCCUGCAAACUCUGUUCUCUAUUGCAACAGGGCAGCAUGUUGGUUUAAGCUUGGAUCAUGGGAGAGAUCCAUUGAUGACUGCAAUCAAGCUUUACGAAUCCAACCUAACUACACAAAAGCCCUUCUUAGAAGAGCUGCCUCAAACAGCAAGGUAAAGUCUCCUCAAAAGACUUUGCUUGUGUAUAAUUUUCUUUUCCUUGUACUGACCCACUGGCUCAUAUUUUUUCACUUGAAAUUGAUGUGCUCUUGUAAAUUGCAGUUAGAAAGGUGGGCUGAUGCCGUGAGAGAUUAUGAAGUUUUGAGAAGGGAACUUCCAGAUGACAAUGGAGUAGCUGAAUCUCUAUUUCAUGCUCAAGUUGCAUUGAAGAAAUCUCGUGGAGAAGAAGUGUAUAAUAUGAAGUUUGGUGGUGAAGUAGAGGAAGUGUUGGGGUUUGAACAGUUCAGAGCUGCAAUAUCAUUACCUGGCAAGUCUUCCCUUUCAUGUUCUGAACAUUCAUAUUCUCUUUGCCUGGCUUCCUUUUCUUUCAUGUUUUGAGUUCCAAAAUUCUAAUGGAUAUUGAAUUUGUGUACUAUAGGUGUUUCAGUGGUUCAUUUCAAAUCAUCCUCUAAUGUGCACUGCAAACAGAUAUCUCCAUUUGUGGAUACAUUAUGUGGUCGGUAUCCAUCCAUAAACUUUCUCAAGGUAAAUGACCAUCCCAGUUUUAUUAAGUUUUGGGAUUCUUGCUGACCUUAACUUAGUCAGAAAUGAAAUCAACAAGUUGUUUUUGUUAAGUCUACAUGCAUCCGCUUCUUCUUUUCUUAAAGGUGGACGUGGAGGAACAUCCAGCAAUCGCAAAUGCCGAGGAUGUGAGGAUUGUUCCAACAUUCAAGAUAUACAAAAAUGGCAACCGAGUGAAGGAGAUUGUCUGCCCAAGUCACGAUGUGCUGGAACAUUCGGUGAGGCAUUACAGCUUUUAGAACUCGUGAUUGUACUUGUACUACUACUACGACUCCCAAUUCUUACAUGAUGGGAAACUCUUCACUGCCCUUCCAAUCUCUCUCCUCCACAAUAUAAGGACUACCAGAUACCUACGGACAUAAAUCAGAGCUACAUAAUAAUCCUAUUAGCGGCCAAUGCCAGAAAGAACCCAGAGGGAUAGCUUAGUUCGCCUUUUGCAGUUUUAAUUUAUUUAUUCAUUCCUCAUUGCUCUGCGGUUCCAUGUUCUCCCUCCCGUCUCGUUAUUGUUAUUCUUUUUCCUCAUCUUUUUGUCACCUUUGUUUUUCUUCUGUUGUAGACCAGCCUGUUCUUGAAUCCCCCAUUCCCUUUCAGAUGAAAAGAAAACAGAGAGAGAGAGAUAUGUGUACAAUUGAUUUAGAGAGAGAGAGAUGGCAGGCUGGUAGAGGAGGGUCUUGUACAUUUUAUGUGAUAUAAUACAGAGAUAUCGGAAGCCAUGAGUGAGAUUGGAUGCCUGGUGGGUACUUACUGGGUUAGUGAAAGAAGGAUGAAUAUGUUAUUUAUUAUUACUGUUGUUACUUAUGCCACCCAUUUUAUCAAUCAAUAAUUUUUCCCCCAUUGUUUCCCUCCACUUCGUAUAUUUAACUCUCGCAUGCUCUACACUUGCAUCUGAUGUUCAUCUAGUAGAAGGUUGGAGUUGGAGUGUCGGUUGGACAGCACGAUUACACACUGAUUGACUUGUCUUGUGGUUAUUAUAAAUGAAGGGUUGGGUUUUCUUGUAAAACUCGUUGCUCCUCUCCCACAAGGUGAUGAGGCUCUUGGCCUCUGCAAGAGAAAAAAAAAAAAAACCCAUUUUGUGCGUGCGUCUUGGUUUAGUGACAUUGUUAACUUUAAUAUCAGACAGCAUCAUCACAAGACUUUUGAUGUUGCCCGAAUGUGGUGGCACAGAGGAUAUGAUGCGAAGGGUUCUUAGCCAUUCACAUGUGAGCAUUGCCGCUCUCCUCUCCCCCAAGAAAGUCCAAAAAGCGCCGAUGGGGUCGGUGCUAACUUACGUCUGCAGUCAUGGAGGUGACGGCACUGUCCUUGGUGGACCUUGGUCACCUGGUGGCCACGUGUAGGUGUCCUCUCUUUUCUUAAUCGCUAAAAGAGAACGGAAAUGAAUGCUGUCGUUUAUCGGAGCCGCGAGGGUAGUUUGGGGAGUGAAAUAGUCCUUGGUCUUAGCUACGUGCAUGCGCUGCUGUACUAAUUAAUAAUGAAGCUGUCCUGUGUGGUGUUGUUGUACUUUAGUUGGGCGUUGAGAGUAUCCAGUGGAACAAAACUCUUGAUUGCGUAGAGGACAAAUAAUAAAAUUAGUAGCUAUCACCUUCACAUAAAUAGCAGCAGCAGCAGCCUAAAUAAUCUUUUAUAUUAUUAGCAUACGCUAGCAAGAUCCAAAUGCACAGCUUGUCAGAUUAUUAUUAUUAUUAUUUUUCAGAUAUCGACAUGCUGCAUGGUUUUCAUUUUUUCACCUCUAGAAUCCGAUGUUAAAAAAAAAAAAAAAAGAGGCCCACUUGUAUGAUCUUGUCAAGAUGAUUUAGGUUGUCUUGGGAGAGCAUCAAUUGUUUUCUAAUCAUUAGUAUAUCGAGAGACCGGUAAUUUUUACGUUUAAAAUUAAAAUGGCAUGUUUUUUAUACAGAAAACUGUUAAAAAACUUAUAUCACAGUAGUUUGAAUCAAAUAACAUGCUUUUUAAAAUUUAUUUUUUAAAACCAUAACUAAAAAUGAAUUUUUUUAAUCAGUUUUUAAACCGAAAUAACAAAAGCUACACAUCGUGAAAUACACACCUAGGCAUUUCUAAGAUAAUAAUGCCCCCCCCCAAAAAAAAAAAAAAAAAAAAGGCUCUUGCCUGCAUUAUUAUUAAAGUAAAAAAUGAUUUAACCCUAAGCACCGACAUUAAUUUGAGAAUGAGGUGGGGCCAGAGGGUAAAAUAAAAUGCAAACCGAUUGGGGUUAAAGUAAAAGGUGAAAAAAAAAGAAAAAAAAGAAGAAGAGAGUGAGAAGACAAAAAGGAAAGCAGGGAGGGUGCUAAAAAGGGGAGGAAGCAAUAAUAGAGCAUCCUUUUUUGCUGCUGCUGGCACAUGGACACAUACAGUAGUACUGUGCACGGGUGAGUGGUACGGUUACUGUUCAUUAAUUCACUUAGUACGGUUUACAUGAAAAAGAAAAAGUAAAUUUGUUUCGGGUCCGAUAAGUCACAAAAUCUAUCCUUACUGUGUGUAGAUUAUUAGACUGCACACAUCGUUGUCCUUUCUUACCAUUCAAGGAUUUAAACAUUAAAAAAAAAAAAUUAUAUUAAAACGUGAAUUUUUUUAAAUUACAAAGAUCAAAUGAUAAAAAAAACUACAACUUCAACGAUAAAACUAAAGUUUCACGUGAAAAAAUAGUAAUGUAGUAUUUUUUUUUUUUGUUAUUUCUUGAAGUGACCCUCUUUUUUAAUAGCUAUUUUUAACUACAAUUAAAACUAGAUUUUGCUAAAUUGAUGCCAAGUUAAUUUGCAAAAGUAGUUCAAAACUUUGUAUACAGAGAUAAUGUAAAUUGAAUUUUAUUAAAAAGAAACCUAUGGUAAUGUAACUUGUAAGCAUGAACUUAUAAAGUUUUAAAGUUUAAUAGUUGAAGAAAACAAAAGAAAAUAUUUAAUUGAAUAGGCGAGUCCACAUAAUGUUUUGUGCUAUGAUCUAUAGUGAAAUGCCCCCUUCUUUUAGUUGUUUUUACUAGUCAUCUACCUAGUUGUACUACAUUGUUGGUAUGAUUUCGAGUCAAUUUAUAAUGUAAAAGAAAGAAAUAAUUGCAUUAUGGACACAUUUUCAUGUAUCAUAUAUAUUUUUUAGAUUGAGAAAUGAAGAGUUGUUUAUGCUUUAUAAAAUAAAUUAAAAAAAUAUAAAAAUUGAUAAAUAAAAAAAACUAAUUGUUAACACUAGUUAUAUACUAAAGUGAGAAGUUAAUCUACCUUUUUACUUUAUCUUAGAGAUCAAUUGUUGUUGCUAAUAACAAAAGGUUUUUUGUCUCCAUAAAAACAUCAUACAUAAACAACUAAUUUAUAUAAAAUAUAAAAGGAAAACAAAAUUAGAGACAAAUUAAACUAAUCUCUUUGAAGUAUCAUGAAACUAAAAAAAAAAUUAUAAAUAGAUUAAUCAAUAUUUAAAAAAUAAAUAUAAAAAAAUCAUUUUUUAAAAAUAAGAUGACAUUAAUUAAUAUUUAAAUAGAAAAAAAUAAUGCAAGGAAAAAAAGAGAGAGAGAGGCUAGACACUUAUAGGUUUGACAAGCUAGGUCCAUGCAUUUGGCCUCAAAUCAAAAAGUAAAGUCAUGCUUGGUAUUUUUUUUUUCUUAGCAUUGGAUGUUGUCUGCUCUAGUGUUUUUAAUAAUCUGGUGAUACAUUGCCUUUUGCUUAGCUUUUCUAUUACUUCUAGUGAUUAAAAAAAUCAAGGUCUAACCUUUUGGAUCAUUGAAACUUAAUUUUUAGCUUGUUUUUCACUUAAAAAUACCUUAAAAGCACAUUAGAAACCUUGGAAAAACCAAUGCCCACCUUCAAAACACCAUCCAACCACUCUAAAAAGUAAAAGUAAAAAAGUUCAUCUCCAUACACAUUAAUAUCAAAUUAAUUUUAUUAUAAAAUUAAAAUAAAAUGCUUUUAAUAAAAAGAUCUUUGUUUUACUUCAAGAAAUUGUCUAGACAUCCUUUGUUGGUUAACUAGUUUUUCUUCUUAUAAUUUUUUAUCAAUUUCCUUUUUAGUUAAAAAUCCCUUUCCUUUUUUUUAUGUAUUUCUUUCUUUUCUUACAAGUACCUUUUUUUUUUAUUCAUGGCAUGAAUUUUAAAUAAAAAUUUAUUAUGAUUUGAAAAGCAAGUUUUAAUAAUAAUAAAAAAAGUAAAACAAUUAUAUCUUGAUGUUUUUUAUGUGAUCGUAUGUAAAACUACAUGAAUAAUUAAUUUUUUUAAAAAUGCAUAAAAAUAAAAAAUAAAAAAUAAAAAAUAAAAAAUGGAAUAUAUAUAUUUUAUUCUCAUUAAAUAUUCAUGAAAAACUUAAAAAAAAUUAUGCAUAUUAGGUUUAUAUAUAUAUAUUAAUUAUUAACACUACUGUAAAAACGUUAUUACUUUAUUUGAAAAGUGUGAUAUAAUUGUAUAAUUUUUAAAAUAUCAUUAUGAUUAUUUUAUUCAAAUAGAAUUCUAUUUUUAAAUAUCAAAAAAUAAAAUAACUUUAAAAAAAAUUAGGUGUGCCUAGGAUAGAAAGGAUGAGCUAGGUGCUCAUGGGCUUAAAAGGCUAGAAUUGUAUUUCUAAGUUUGAAAGGAUGGGCUAGGCGCGCCAAGUAUAGGAAGGUCGAGCCUGAAUAUUUGGCCUUAAAAAUACAUAGCCUAGAAGGUAAGCAAUUCCUUAUCAUAAAUGGAUAACAUCCCUAACCUUAAGAACUUUACUAAGGUAAGAGAUAGGUCUACCAUCCUAUAUAAAAAAUGCUUCUAUUCCAAUCCUAGAUGCAUCAUAUUCCAUAAUAAAAAGGCUUAGAAAAAUUAGGUAGAUUUAAGAUUGGUGGACUAGUGGCAUCUUUCUUUAAUCCCUCCCUCACAUAUAUCUUUUGCUAACUUAUAUUAAACAAACCCUCCCUUCUUAAAUAGUCUAGUUAACGGGCCAAUUAUAGUUCUAUAUCCUUUUAUAAAUCUUUUGUAAUAUCCCGUUACUCGUAAAAAUCCUCUUAAAAAUUUAAGAUUAUUAGGGCUCGUCCAUCUAACCAUUGCUUCUACCUUACUAGGAUUAACUUUAACCUUAUCUCCAAAAAUUAUAUGCCUUAAAUAUACAAUUUUCUUAGUGGAAAACUGGCAUUUAGAUUUUUUAGCAUAGAGCUCUGUUUAGCUAAGGUUUAUAAGACUAUCUUUAGAUGUUUUAUAGGCUUUUCAAAAUUAAAACUAUAGACCAAGAUAUCUUAAAGAAAAACUAAUAUAAACUUCCUUUGAUAGAGUUUAAGUACUUCAUUCAUCAAGUUCUAAAACAUUGAGGGUGCAUUAGUCAGCACAGAAAGCAUCACUACAAACUUACAAUACCUUUUAUAUGUUUUGAAAAAAGUCUUAAGGAUGUCUUCUGACUUCAUCCUAAUCUAGUUGUAACCAAACCUUAAAUCCAGCUUAGAAAGAUAAUGUGAACAAAAAAUCUCAUCUUGCAGCUCCUCCAUUACAGGUAUAAAGAACCCAUAUUUAAUAAUCUAUUUGUUAGGAUCCCUAUAAUCAACAUAUAUUCUCCAAGAGUCAUUUGACUUCUUACCAAAAAAACUAGCAAGGAAAAUUGAUUCUGGCUAAGCCUAUGGUGCCCAACUCCAGCAAUUCUUAACUAUCUUUCUAUCUUAAACUUUUGAUAAUAAGGGUACUUAUAGGGUCAAACACUAAUGGAGGUGUUUGUUCUUGUAAGUUUAUUGCGUGAUCAUGGUUUUUUUUUAGAGUAAACUUAUAGGUUCCUUAAAAACCUUCUCAAACUCCUUUAAUAAAUCUUGAAUUUACUCAAGGAUCUUCGUAAGAUUCUAGUCCUAGCUUCCAUUCCUCAUAUUUAUAAUAGUAGACCAUUAGCUUUUCUUUUCAACUCUUAUAAAAGGCUAGACCUAUUAUCAAUAUAGACUCUUUGACUCCCAAGCCUUUAAGUUGAAUCUAAAGCCCAUUAAAUUGGAUAUCUAUAGUUAAUUAAGCAAAGUCCUAUAUAACAGGGUCCAAUUCUUUGAACCAUUGAAUUUCAAGAAUCAAGUCACACCCACUAAGCCAAACUAGUAGAGCCCAUGACUGGAACUAGAUUCUUUACACCUCGAAGUUUAGCCUUGAACAAUAGCCCUCACUAAAAAAUUUAGUGACAAUAGAAAUUUCAACCCCAAUGAAGUUAUGUGUACUUCGUGUGUCAACUAACACUAUGAUUAUUUGGUUGUUAAUGGUUGCCUUAACCCUUAUAGUUCUACGAUUUGGGCUCUUUAACAUAUUUCUACCUCAUUAGCAUUAAAAUUUUCCAAACUAAUUAGAUACUUUAUAUUUGCAGAAUCAUAUUCCUCCUGAUCCUCUUAUGUCUCUUCAAUCAUAAAUAGUUUUAGACCACUAUACUUAUUACUUGAACUUUAUUUUCCAUUACACUUAAAUCAAAGCCCUUUAUCUUCUCUUUUUUUUUCUCCCUCUCAACUAGGUUUGGGAUAAUAUCUAGACUGAUUGACUUUUCUUAGAGUUAAUCUUAGCUUGACUCAAUUAGACUACUCGACUUCGGCCUCAACUUGUAUUAGGCCUUCAACUUUGAUGCAAUACCAAGAGGUGCUCCUCUUGCAUCCUAGCUAAACCAUAGGCUACCAUGGAUUUUAAAGGUUCAACAUUCAAAUCCUUAAUUUAAUUUUCUCCUUGAGGCCUAAAAAAAAACAACUUAAUAUAUGGUUGUUUAACAAUUCUUGAACUCUGAUUGAUAUAACUUCAAUAUACAUUUUAUAUUUUUUUAUUGUUGAAGCCCGCUUCAAAUUAAUUAAGACUUUCAUGGGAUUAUCAUAAGAUAAGAUCACAAACUUAGUAUGGAAAGCCUUGACAAAAGUUUCCCUACUAGUAAUUAUCCUUGAUUUCUCCAUCUCUUGAAACCAAGAGAAGGCCUUGCCUUCUAUAUGAAAACUAGCUAUAAACAAAUAGUUCUGAUGGUUUGUAUUAUGGUAGUUGAAACAACAAUUGGCCUUAUGGAUUCACUCCAUAGGUCUUCCUCGUUUAAUUGGAAAAAAACCUAGUUUUAUUGGUCUGAGCAACAAUUGUUGUUCUGUAUGAGGCUUAAACUCCUACUGACCGUGUCCAUUGACCAAUGUAAUAUGGAUUUUAAGAGUGGACUCAAUUGGUAUAUUUCCUCGUACUUUGGAUAUAUGAUCCACCUUAGAUGAAAUCUAGUGCAACAAUUAUAUCAACUCCUCCAACACCUUCUGAUGUGCUUGUUGCUAAUACUACCACUCCUUUUGUUGAUGUUUCAUAUUUGCCACAGUUUAUAAAAGCUGUAAUAUUCUAGUUUCAUUAGCCAUGAAUCACAGUUUUAGUACCAAACUUGUAACAAUUUUUUAGUUGAAUUUGUGUAAAUUUGAUUAUUGUAAUUUUGGGUUGUAAUUUUUAUGUGGAAUAGUUGUAAUUCAAGAAAAAUUGGACUUAAUUGAGGACUUAAUUGAAUGAAAAAAAUACUUUAAUUAUAAGGAUGAAAGGAUAUAACUGAAAAAGAUAAGUAACUUGGUGACCAGGUGGUUAGGCCUCCUAAGAACUAAACUAAUAUCUUAAACCUUCCAUAUCUAAUUUAUUUGCAUGGUUCGGUUUAAAUAGCAAUGAUCAUAACUUAUUUGAAAUUCAAACCACAAUCCAGUUUAGCUAGCCAAGCCAAAUAUUUUCUAGACCAUUACAAAGUGACCAAGCCAAAUGUUGGCGUUUCUGGACAACAACUUCCCACCCAAAGCCACGCGUCUUCACCUGGUCAACUCGAAAAUCCCAGUCUUUGAAUUUGGAAAUAAAAGCAGCUAAUUACAUCUCCAACCAGAGAGGCAAAUGAGGAGGUAAAAUUAAAAUAGUAUUUUUUUAGCUUUUAUUUUUCUAAUUAAGCAUUCCAAUCUAGUAGCCAAUUGAAAAGCCAAAAUGGCUCUUUAAGUUGAGAGGAGCUAUUUCUACAUGUUACUGUAGAAAUAGCAAAAAAAAAAGUAAUUUUGCCAAUGGUUAUUUUUAUAGCCAUUGGUCAACAAUAUUUUUUUUUUAAAAGCAAGGAAAUAAACUUGUUCUUGUUUUAAAUUUUUUCAAAGCAUGAUUUUUUUUUUAAAAAAUUAAAAAUCAAAAUUUAAAAUAUUAAUGGUUUUUUCAAAGUUUGAAUUUAAAUUUACUUUUAAAAAAUUAAAAUUUUAACAGUAACAUAUAAAACUGAAAAUUAAAAAUAUUCAUAUAAAUAAAUUUUAAGUUUAAUUUUAAAUUAUAUCUUUUAACUUUCAUAUUAUUUCAUUAAAUUUUAUAUUAUUUUUAUAAAUUACUCAUAUUGAUUAUAUAAUUAAUAACAUCAUGAUUAUAUUAUAUAUAAAAUAUAUAAAUUAGUUACAUAAUUAUAUAAAAAUAAAUUUAACAUGAAAUAUAUUAAAAUAUAAAUGGCUUUUCUAAAUAGCUUUUUAUCAUUAGAAUGCAUAUAAUCAAAAAAACUAUAUUUAUACUAUUCAAAAAGCCAUUUUAUCAAUUUAGCUUUUCAAUUUGGUUUUUUGCAUUGGAGAUGCUCUUAAAGCUUCGCCACCCUUGCAUAUUCCUCUCAUUUCCAUCUCCUGGCUUUCCAAAUAUAGGGUUAGGGAUUUGCAACCUUUUACAUGCAAGGAGAGGGAAGACUGAAGAGAGCAACUUGAUUUUUUUAAAUCAUUGGAAAUCAUGGUGAUCAGAAGAACAGAACGAUACAAGGUAAGGUUUGUAAAUAAUUUGAUAUUAGGAGUUUAUUGAGAUUGGUGGUAGAACGAGACUAACAUCCUUUGUUGUUCCAGUGAGGAAUGGCGAAUGCUCUCCUGCAUCCCUGAAUACCUACUUGAUGGCAAUAUAAAGAUCAACGUAUAAGGGGAAGUUUUUUACUUAGAAAUUGGUGCGCUACUUGAAAAUGAGGAAGCUAUUAUGCCCGACCACGCUAAGUGAGAACAGGGAAAGCCAUCUUGGGACGCGCCUAAGAGUUUGUUUUUGUAUUUUAAAAAACAUUUAAAAUUUUUAUUUUUUUUACUUUAAUUUAAUAUUUUUUAAAUAUUUUACUGCACUAAUAUCAAAAAUAAUUUUUAAUAAAUAAAAAAUAUUAUUUUACUGUAUUUUUAAAUAAAAAACACUUUAAAAAAUAAUCACAAUCACAAAUCAAAACUAGGGGACUCGUUCACCCAGUUCUGAAAUUUACUGAAUGUUUGCUGCCAUAUAUGAAGAAACUAAAACUUGGCUGGUCUUAAUAUAAUUCUAACCAUUUAUUAAAAAAGAAAGAAAAUCAACGUCAGGCUAGUAUAAGGCUAAAACACAACCAGAAACCCAAAUGAACACCUUGCACAACGAUUUCACAUGUAUUUGGUUUUACUUGGAAGAUAAAAAUGGGAUCAUUAUAGAUAAAAUAAACCUAAAAGCAUGAAGAUGCUGAUAAGAAAUAAAAGAUGAAUGCACGGACUACUAAUGAUAUCCAAGACACUCUAUGCUCAUGCACAUUGGUUUUUUUGUUUAUCGUAACUACUAGGGUUCAGAUUCUCAAGAUAAAAUUCAUGAAAUUUCCAAUUGCUAAGGGAUUGAGAUUGCAGCAGAGUGACAAUGAGAUGAAUAACGUAUCUUAUCUGAUCAUACAAGUCACAAAGACGAUGCUUCCGACAGCAAAACAAUUUAACAAAAAGUAUCUGGAAGCUUUGAAAAAUAUUAGACUACAGCUUGUUCAAACAUCGUUUCUUCCAAAUUUCCUUUCAAAUCAAGUCAAAAGCAUACAUCCCCUGUCAUUUGAAGGUAAGUUUCCACCAUGCAAUCAUGCACCACUUGCAUAUAAACGGGUCCACUCCUUAGCUGCAGAGUUCAAAAAUAUCAGGACUAAACCAACACAGCUGUCAGUGCUGUUUAUUGUAAAGCUUGUGAGGAAAGUAAAUUCCAUGGAAACUGGUGUAAACUUCAUAAUUGAUAUAUAUAUAUAUUACCUGUCUCAACAGCUUCUGCUUCAUUCGUUUUCCAAUGCUUUGCGAUGUUCUCAGAAAGGGGAUCAUCAGGGUUUGGAGCGCUAAGAAGUGCUUGGAUGCUAUCAAACCCAACAUUAGAAAAUUAAAUACUCUCAUGUCUAACACAAGCUUCAACAUGGGAUUGAUCUCAAUAACAAGUUUCACAAUAUAAAACAGCAGCUCAUAGUACCUCAAAAGCACAGUUCGUAUCUGAAGAGCAGGACUCCAUUUGUCUUUCAGAAUGUCAAGGCAUAUCCUUCCAAGCUACAUUAAAAGCUUACAGAGUUGGAGGAAAGAAACAUCAAAUGUUAAGCCUAAAAAAGAGGGAAGAAAAGGUAAGAGAGCCUACCUUAUCGAUGUUAGGAUGGUAUAUUUUGGUCAGAAAUCGAACCUGUAACAGAGUAAUUAUGAGACAAAUAGCAAAGACAAUGCUGGAGCAAACUAUGAUAAACAACGAACGGCGGAGAACUCCUGGCAUAAAAUACAUUCUCAAGAAUGUGAAUCAGGGAAAGACCACAUACAUAGAGCAUCCCAGCUUCCAUGAACCAUAAGCAGCACCACGACCAAUUUUGUAAAUUAGACCAUGUUAGGAUAUGCAGACAAUAUUAGAAGGCUAAGAUUACAUGAUUUGUAUGAUUCAAGGUGAAUUCAAAACUGCACCACUAACCAUAACCAAUUCGUUUACAUCAACUAGGUUAAGAUGCUAGAUAAACAUUUACAGCUACAGGUAUUAAGAUACUUGGCUUGUUUCAAAAAAUUAUUGUCCACGUAGGACGUCACUCGGGUCUGAAUUCUCUCAAUUAAUUAAUUGGAUGACCAUGGUUGUUUCCAGCUCAUUUCCAUUUUUGGGUUUCAAAAGGGCCAAUUCCACGUAGGACGUCACUCAGGUCUGAAUUCUCUCAAUCAAUUAAUUGGAUGACCAUGGUUGUUUCCAGCUCAUUUCCAUUUUUGGGUUUCAAAAGGGCCAAAACACUCCUAGUAACAAGCUCAAGCAAAUCUCUUAUAACAUAUUUAUUACAAAUCCACAUGCUAUCAUUCAGCUUAAAUGGAUAAAGAAAUGGCAUGGGCCACUUAAUAAGUUCUCCCAACACUAUGCUUAUUCAACCCAGAAUGUUGUCUUCCAAGUCUAACCACCCUGAUCUGUAAUUUUAAGAAUCUACUUUGUUGACAUGCACCUGGGAUCAUUGGGUGUACAAGCUAUAACCCUUACCAUAAACUUAGAGAACCAGUUAAAAGAAAAUAAAUAAAAAAAGAUGAGGUAUCGUGAUUAAUUAAGAACCAAAAACUAAGAAAUGCAUUAAACCGUAUACUAAUAUAAGCAAAUUCAGUAUUAUGAAAAACAAUUGUGAUUCAAAAAAAAAUAAUCCACAAGACCAAGAACCAAGCAUUUUAAACCUUUAGCAAAAAAUUCUCAAUUAUUUGUAAUUCAUCAUCCAAUGUAAAAUAAAGGUGAGAUUUUGAAAAAUCACCACAAUGGAAAACACCAAAUUGGGGUACCUUAGGUGCAGCCAUUGGAUAUUCUUCAGGCAGAAAUAAUUCCAGCUUGAAAACCCCUCCUAAACAAAGAACAAAACCAAGGCACCCAUCAAAACAGACAAACACAAAAAGCUGGAAAGAAAAGAGAUUAACAUAAUAUCAAGGAAAAUAAAUUUUUCUUUCCAGAACGCUAUUAAAAGUAAAGUGUCCUAAGCAAAUAGCAAAAUUAAACAAAUCUCCAACUGCAGUCAUCCCCUUCACAAUAAUUUAUCUCAAACUCAACCCUAUAAGAUUCUGAACAAACAGUUCACGUUAAAGAAAAAUUCUCAAAAACAUACAUGGAGCACCUAUAAUCCAACCUACCAUUCUGCAGUAUCAUAAAUGGUAGCUUAACUAUUCCUGGAAGUUCUAAGCACUGGAGAAAAGUAAUUGAUGGCCUUGAAAGGAAAUGCAACUGCGCUUUCUUCGAACAUGACAAGAACUUUUCUGUUUUAAUAACUCAGACAAUGCUUUAGAUACUGAUGCUUAAAAUGCUGAAUGAAAGUAAUACCCCAAACAGUAGCUGGCAUCCAAGCACACCAAGUAAUGAGACAGCUAAAAUUAUCCAUUGCAUAAAAACUAAGUUGUUGAACCAAAUCAGUACAAUUGCCUAUUCAUGUCCCAAUAAGCAGUAAGCAAUAAGCAGUUGUUAACAGCCAACACCUGUCUCCACUCUUACAAGGAUCUUCACAUAUAUGGCCUCGGUAGCACAUCAAUGCUCAUGAAGUAAUGGUUAAUGUAAUACUCCUAAAAAAACAAGAUGACUGUUCAAACAUUAUUUCACACUAGCCAGAUCACAGCACAUUAAAGUCUAUCCCCCAUACUGUGGAUUUCCACGCCACAUGAUGUAAUUGAAGAUUUCCAGUUUCCCUGACCUUGUUUACAUUGUUAUCCUACAACAUGCCGCACAGUUCAUACAGAAUAGAAAAAAUGCGAGUUAUACUCGUAAAUAACUGUAGCUGCUGUAUACUACAGCAAGAUAUAUGAUCAUUUAAUUUUGCUAGCAAAUAAGCAAAUUGCCCAACCUCAAAUUUUGCUAGCAAUAGAUUGAACUAAAUAGUAAUCAAUGACGUGAACCUAAAAACUUAAUUUUUUCACAGAACAUCUGCCACAUUUACAUCAACUUGCAAUAUGUAAUACAAAAUUUGCCUCAAAUCACCUAUCAGCUUUCAUUAUCACCAAGCACAAGCAUUACUGUAUGCACAAAGGGAAAUACAGAAAAAGGCGUGAUAAGCUAUUUUCCAGUUUCUGGUGCGCUCUCUUAAUCAAUUAUUUUUAUCCAUGGCAUUGAAAUUGCCAGAUCUUGUUUAGUUUAUUUAUGCUGCAAAUAGUAAUUACAAAAGAAAACACAAUAAUAAAGGAACAAUAUGAUUACAAAAUUCCCAUUCAGCGCACAGAAAUUAUUGACAAUCCCUUAAAGAGAAAAGAGUCCAAGCAUUCAUAACACUACGUGUUGGGUUGGAACCCUAAAACCACUCUAGCAUUAAGAUGACCAGCAUCAUUCAGUUCUGCAUAAAAAGCUAUUGGAUUAACAAAUUAAAUCUGGAGGAGACUUAAAGCACAAAAUCCCCAAAGAAAGACACGAGAGUUCAGGUGCUCUAGUGAUACUGCUAUCAAUCUCAACCAACACUACAAAUUUACUCUCCCAAAUGAAAUAAGAAGCUAACACACUAAAGGGAAAAAGAAUUUAAAGCAUGAUGCUCAAGAUAAAAUCGAAGUUUCGAAUGCUAAUUUAUUUAUAGAGUACAAAUAACUAAAAAAAAAUAUUAAGCUAAAAUACCUUCAUAAGGAGAUUGUGUUGGGCCAAGAAUCAUGACAUUGAAAUAUCGCAUAUUAUCCUCCGAUGGGGAAGCACUAAUUCCUGGAGCUGCAGGCGGUAUCAAUAAUCACAAAAUUAACAAACUAAAUCCCAUAAAUAAAUUUCACAUUUCUUUUUCCAAAAAUUACAAUUUGAAGAAAACAAAAUUAACAUAAAAACACCAUUACAUAGCAAUAAUAUUAAAAAGAAAAGGAGUCAACUUCCCACCUGGUUCGCUGAGGAGACGUUGAGUUUCCUGUUAGAUCACAAUUAUAAAUAAAAUCACCAAAGUUAUCAGAAGUCAAAAUUACGAAAAGAAAAGGAAAAUCUCUUAAAAAUACAGUAAUAAUUAAGUAAUUGGAAAUUAGGGAAAUCAGAUUCCGUUGCGGAACAGAGAGAAAGCGUUGGAUCGGGAGGAUUGAGAAGUGAGAUCGAGGACGAACCUUGAUGAUUCUACGAGGGAGAUUACUGCUGGCCAUUUUGUUCUCGAGGUCGAUUGCAAACCACGCUACUUUUCUUAAGGGUUUUUUAGAGCGAGAGAGAAGAGCUUUCCUUUCCCUUUUUUGCUUAUUCUCUCACGGAACACGAUACGUUGAAACUAUUUUAAGGCCUUGUUUGGUAGAUGGCUUGCUUCUUGGGAGAGGGGGCUUUUUAUAACAAGCCUUUUUCUUUUGAAAAUGUGUUUUACAAGUAUUUUUGUAAAAUGUUUUUUCUUUAGAGUUUACGGUAUAGUUGGGAUAUGACGGUUCAAAAUAUUUUAUAUUUUAAAAUAUAUUAAAUUAUAUUUUUAAUUUUUAAAAAUUAUUUUUAAUAUUAAUACAUCAAAACAACUUAAAAACAUAAAAAAUAAAUUUAUUUUAAAUAAAAUUAAAAAUUAAAAAUUAAAAAAAAUAUAAUCAAAUAAAUUCUUAAUCAAUAAAAAAUCAUUAAAACUCACGUCAAAACUAAGAGAUUGAUUAAAAAAAAAACUUGUACUCAUCAACUCGUAGUGAGUUUUUAAAUACAUUUAUUAAAAAUUUAGACUUUAUUUGUGUUAGUUAAUUUUCUUCAAUUUUUAAUGACCUCAUCAUACUCUACCUACAUUAAUGGGCUCUAUAACGAUAUAGAUUGUUGUAGUUCUUGAGAAUAUUGGAAUUAUAAGUGCUUUACUAGUCAUUGCUCACUAUCUCACAACAAAUAAUAUUUUAGUCAACAUUCAACCUAUAUAGUCCCAAGCUUUCAAUUAUUCAGUCAUUCAAUAGUCAUAAUAUUAGUUUAAUAACAGUUAGUGUAUCUAUCGAUUCAUCUUCGACCUUAAAAAUCACUCUCACGAAACCUUCCAAGGAAAUGAAUUUUUUCUCGUUUGUUUAAUAUUAUGAUAGUGGUUACUUUUAAAAUAUAUUUUUAUUUAAAAAUAUAUUAAAAUAAUAUUAUUUUUAUUUUUUAAAAUUUUAUUUUUAAUAUAAUCACAUUAAAAAGAUUUGAAAACAAUAAAAAACCAAUAAUUUGAAGCAAAAAAAUUUUAAAAAAAAUUCAUUUUUUUUUCAAAAAUAUUUUUGAAACGCAAAAAUAAACGGGCUUAAAGAUUUGAAGCCUAUGUGUAUGGGUUUGACUCAAGCCCAACCUAUCUUGAUUCUUUAGGUCAAAAAACAGCCUAACAGACUUUUUUUUUUAUUAUACAAGUUGGACCCAACCCAGCCAUACGAGUUGGAUUUAAGUCCAACCGAUACAACUUGGUCACUAAUCCAAUCUAGUGACCUUGUUAUGUCAUUUGCAGAACAUGAAUCAUUUCAUAUGUUACAUAUUAUUCAAUAACAUCAAUUAAAAGGUAGGAAAUCAAAGGAUUACCUGUCUGGAUUGGGUGUUGCUAGCGGGUGGUGCUACCUUCAUAGUGUGGUGGUCAAUAAGGGAGCUAUUGGUGGUCAACUAUAGGGUUGUUUGGGUUGCUACACUAGAGGAGGAAAAACAAUCGUGGAAGUUGUAAGAAGGGGUGUUGUUUGAUGGUUUAAGUAAAAAAUAAAAGGGGUUGGUUCUUUGUGUAGGUUCUUACCCUUUCUUUCUUCUUUCUACUAUUUUCUCUCCAUACUCGACCAUCCUUCUUUUUUUUUUUUUUGAUCAAAGCUUUUAAAUUUGUCUUUAAUGGCAAAAAAUUUACCCUUUGAUGUUUCACACUCAUGACUCAUUUUAUUUUCACUUAGCCUCAUAUCCUCACCAUUAUUUUAUAACACAGCAUGUUCUGCUUUCUUCAACUUUAAUUGAUCUUCAUACAAUUGUCUAGGUGACAAUGGUGCAAACAUGUAUGUUUUCCUAUCUAUUUUUAAAAUUAUAAUGCUUGGCUUUCCUAUCAAAUUGACAAGGUCUCUCUAACAAUAAGUAUGCAAUAUGCAUAUGAACAACAUCACACGAAACCUCGUCCCUACAUCUCCUUAACUUCUCCACACUUAUUUAACCAUUAAAGCUUAUACAGUGUAACAUGCUUAAUAGUAAUCAAGUUCAACUUUCUAACUAAAGUUAUGCUAGCAAUAUUAAUAUAACUACUAUUAUCAAUAAUCAUACUAUAUACCUUAUUUUUGAUGUGACAUCUAUUAUGAAAGAUAUUCUUUCUUUGGUACUUAACAUCUCUUUCACUAACUUGAAUAUUCAAAGAUCUCAUUACAACAAUGAAUUCACCAUUCACAACAUAUUCAACAUCACUAGCAUCUUCAAGUCUUGAUAUAUUUUUAUAUUUAGAUUCAUCACUAAUUGAUUCUACUUCUCCAUCAUUUCUUAAAAUCAUAAUCCUUUUAUUUGUACACUCUAAUGCGUAAUGCCUAAGUUCUUAACACCUAAAACACUUAAUCUCUCUAUUAUCCUUCAACUAAACAUUAUUUUUCCCUUUUCCAUUAUCACCAUAACUUGUUUUUUAACAUAUAAGGGUUUGACAACUUUAGGUGUUAUUAUUGACUUUAUUUAUGCAUUACCCUCUUCCUUGAAAUUUGAUUUCCAACAUUGAAAGGAUCUCAAAUAACCACUUGGUCUUACAUUAUCUUUUUUUUUUCCAAUUAUUUUUCUACUUUUAUAGCCAUGUGUACCAUUUCUUCCAUUUCUAAAUAAUGUUGCAAUUCAACCACAUUGGCAAUAUCAUUAUUUAAACCAUUUAAAAAUCUAGCCAUUGUGGCUUUCUUUUCUUCAGAAACAUUAACUCUAAUCAUAGUUAUUUCAUCUCUUUAAAAUACUCAUCAAUACUUUUAGAACCCUGAGAUAAAGAUUGCAAUUUAUUAUAAACUUUUUUAUAGUAAUGAUUAGGGACAACCCUUUCCUUAUGAUUACUUCUAUCUCCUCCCAUGUGUCAACGAGUCGUUAUCCAUUACACCUCUUACCUAUAAUAAGUUGAUCCCACCAAAUAAUAACAUAAUCAGUGAAUCCAACUACAACAAGUUUUUAACCUUUUUCCUCUGAAUAUCAAUGACAAUAUAAGUUUUAUAUUCUUUUCCCAAUCCAAAUAAGCAUAUAGAUCAUUCUUUUCCUGAAAUACUGGAAAUUUAAUUUUAUGAUACUCAAAUUACGAUCUAAACCAUUGUGAUCAUCAAAAUCCUUUUCUAGGAUGAAAACUACCAACAAACUUUGUCUUUCGUCGUGUCUCAUAUAAGAGAUUUUUAUAUGUACAAAAUUUUCUUCCAUAAUUAACUACAUCCUCCUCCUUAUCAUUAUGAUCAUUAGAGUUUUUAGCCACAGUUUCAUCUAGAAAAGAAAGUCCUUAUCUAGUAGACCUUUUAACCUCAUUUCCUUUACGACUAGGAAUAUUAUGUCAUGUCUACUAAUCAUCUUAGUACUAAUUUAUCCAACUUUUCCAUUAAAGCCUCCAUCAUUACCUCUAAUCUAUUUUGUCUUUCUACAAGAUUCUUCAUACUUGAUUGUGUCACACUUUUUGAUGACAUUGUGAACACCUGCAAUAAAGCUUAGUGGUAAUUUUUUUUUUCUCACAUACUCCCUCACAUGUUUACAUUUGAUUUAAUAUCACCCACUCGUGUUUUACACAAUUCAAUCGGGCUUUUCACUCGAAUAAUCUUACUAUUCCCUUUCCCUCAUUAUUCACCUACUUAGGUUCUUAAAGGUAACUUAUCAAAUAAUCAAUCAAAAUAACAUAAUGAUUUUAUAAUGAUAAAGAAUCAAGAAAUAUAUAAAACUAAUCAAAACAAAACUUGAGUAUAAAUUUAUGAAUAUCAAUAAAAAUUCGAACAAAUAUAAUGAAGAAAAGAAGACACAAAAUAAAAUCAAUGAGGUUUAUGUUAAAGAUUCAAAGAAAACUAACCACUUCAAGAAGUAAAGAUUCAACUUCAAGAAUUUCAAGAAUUCAAUUCAGCAAUACAAAGAUUUGGUAUGUACCUAUUCGUUAAAAUCAAGAAAAUAUUUAAGAAAAUCUUGGACAACCUUAAAAUUUAAGGGUUUGUAUUUGGUCGUGCUCUAACUUGUCAAUUCAAUCAAUUCUUGCAAUCUUCCUUUAAUCUUUUUUUACUUUAGGCUGUAAUCAAGAAAGAUAAAAGAUGAAGAUCAAGACAACAAUUUUUCUUUGAUGUGUUUGGAAAAAAAUCAAGAAACUAAGUAAGAUGAUUUUUUUAAUACAGGGUUUAACGCAGACGCAAACUUUGAAAUAAUAAAAGAAGAAUAAAUUGUUUUUUUAAAUAAAAAAAAGAAACAAGACCCCAGUCGAAACUAAAAAAAAAUAAAAAUCAAGAAACAACACAAACUAAAUAUUAAAGGGAUAUAACCCGAUAAUAACAUAAGUUUUGAUACCAAUUGAUGUUGACAUAUUCCAAGAUACACAAAAAUUAUAUUUGAAUGAUUUGCAAACUAACCCAACAAGAACUUGUCUUAUAGAACCAAAAUUAUACGUAAUGAUCCCUCCCAUUAUACACCUAUAAAGAAAUGUGAACGAGUGGUAUUAAAUCAUAACGAAAUUGAUCAAUCAUUUAAAGAGUUUGUAAGUUAAGUUAAGAACAUAGUAUGAAAAUCACUCAACCACAUAAAAGAUAGCAAGAAUGUCAAUUUCUUUAUAAAAAAUAAUAUAUUUUUAAAAAAUCUCUACAAAAAGUAUUUAUACUAGAAAGAAUCUCAAGUCUAAUAGGAUAUCCCUAAUGAAUAUGAAUGGACCUAAUACAUAAUAAUAAUUAAAUGAACUCAAAUUUAAAUAAAGGCCCUAAUAUCUAAAAAAAAACCUAAUAAUAACUAAAAGACAAAUAAAACAAUAGCCUAACUAAUUUAAAUAUGACUAAAGUCGUUUUCGUAAUUUAUUGACAGAAUCGAAGCCCAAUUUUGAAUGCAUUGUUCUUUCUCGUCUUAAUUUAUUAGAGGGGUUUCCAUAUAUAAAUGGAAAGCUAUGUUUGUCUAUUUUUCAAUGUAUCUAGAAUUACAUUAAAAUUAUUGAUGUAGCUUCAGUCAUGACAAAAAAAGUAGUUAAAGGUUAAAACUGACAUAUUUGAAUCUUUUUAUUUCAAUCUUUUUGUAAUGACUGAAUGUCCACCUACAAGCCCUUCUUAAACAUGAACUAAGUUAAUCAAGACUUGUACUUCAUUAUUUAAUAUUUCCUUGAAGUCUAUCUUAUCUCAUGUGUUUGAAAAAAUCUAUUGAAAGCCUUUUUGAACCUGUUAACUCUAAUUCUUGUCAAUGGACAAACUGGAACCUCUAAUAGAUCUCUUGAUGUUAUUUGGAUUGCAUCAUCAACCUACUAGUACAGUCCAGUCCAUUCUUAGUCAUGAAAAAAAAAAGGAUUUCCAUUCAAAUAUAUACAUAAAGUUUUUCUCAAACUUCAUCAACUACCAAACAAGUGUUGUUCUAAUUAUUAUUAUUUUUUCUUAUUAUUUCUAUUUUGAGAGGAUAAUGAAAUGCGACCUUGCCAGACAAGCUUUAUAAAUUCUUAUCUCAUGAUUUAAAAUAGAUUAAUGGGUUAUUUGGGAGUAUGGUAACGGUUGCGAUUCAAAGUGUUUUUUGCUUGUAAAUGCAUUAAAAUAUUUUUUUUUAUAAAAAAUUUAAUUUUAAUAUUAGCAUUUCAAAAUGAUCUGAAAAAAUAUAUAAAAAAAAUAAUUUGAAAUAAAAAAAAUUAAAAAUUAAAAAUACAUGAGUUAACUGCAUUCCUAAACUCCAAGAAUGAAUAUUAGGCAAUCUAAAAGGAACAAAACGAUUCAUGAAUCAUGACGCUCUCUGAUUCCAGUUUCUCAGUUGACUUGGAGUUUGAAGGAGUAAGAAACACAUUGCUAAUGGAGGUAGUUAAACUUGCUCCAGUUGAUGCCUUUCUAUUUGUUGUGUCGGUUAAUUUAUGUGCGAAAGCGCGUGGGUCCAUUAUAGAAGUCAGACGGUGCUCUUCUUCUCUUCGUUGUGCGCACCGUAUUGGGAGGAAUUUUCAGUUUUUGAAUUUGGGAGGGGGGGUGGUGUGUUUUGCGUUGGUUCAACGCUACUCGCUCUUUUCUGUUAGGUGGCCCAGGCCCACAAGCCCAUGCUUCGAAGUUGAAAACUAUCCCUGCGUUUAUUUGUUGAGAAUUAUCCAGUUUUUGUGAAAUUCUUUUAGGAAAUAGAUAAUUAUAGAAAAAAUAUUUAUAAAUUGAAAAUAUCUUGUUUUCUACAUUUUUCAACUAAAUUGAAACAAAAACAAUGAAACGUUUUUUUACAGAGUCCUGUACCAUGUUUUUCCAAUUUCACCAUGCAAACCUAGAAAACCAAGCCCUAGUUAAGGUUGAUUUUAUCAAUAUCCAACCAAUUUGACUUACCUUGUAAUAAUCCAAUGAGGUAAAAAAAAAAACACGUUUUAUAUCUUUUACUUGAAAAAAUAUAUAAAAAAUUAUAUCCAUGGAUUAACUCAAUAUAAUUCACAUCCAAGUACUCAAUCAAGUUAUGUCUUAUGUAAGAUUUAACAACUAUAUAUGUUCUCUAUUAUAAAAAAAGAAAAAAGAUAAAGAUUUUGUUUGAUUCACCUAGUUUAUUAUAUAUAUAUAAUAUAUAUAUAUAUAAUAAAAUGAUUGUCUUUAUAUCUUGUUUGGUUAAUAGUCGAUAAAAUAGAAUAAAAUAAAAUAAAAUAUCUAUUUUAUUUUUAAUAUAUAUGAUUAUCAAACUUAUAUAUUUUAAAAAAUAACUAGAUAGUAUUUUUUUUUUACUAUAAUUUAUAUUGAAUUUUGAAAUUAAUAAUGAUAUAAUAACCUUAGUUAUAAAACAUGAAGUGGCUCGGUGUGUUGACUUGGAACCUUACUGAUCCAAAGGCCUAAACUAGUUUGGGUUUAAGAGAAACCCAUAUCGAUUGCGACUCGAUAGAUCGUAGGCAAAACUUGGGUAAAAAAAUCAUUGAUUUUUUUUGAAAAAAAAAUUAUUUAUUUAUAUAAACAAUGUCAUUUUAUUUUAAGAAAUUAUUGGGGAUAACUUAUCUGAACCCAUGACCAUGACCUUGACCUUACCCUUGAUCGAUUCAUGAUAUGAGUUUUAAAACUAUAAUAAUAACUAUUUUUAUUUUAAUAUACUUUAGUUGGAUAACUUUGAAAUUAAAAAUUUUUUACAUUGAUAUUUUAAGAAUAAAAAUAAAAAUAAAAAAUAUUAUUUUUAGAGAUAUGUUCCUCAAUAACUCAUGUAUUGGAAAUAGAUAUAAAUUUUUUUUUAUAUCUAUAUUGUUAUUUCUGUUUCUUCGGAAUAAAUAUGUUUCUAUUCUUUUUAUCUAAUCAUCUUUGUUAAAGAAUUUUUAGUAUCGAAAUGAUUCAUGAAGUAUCAAUUUUGUGUCAAGAUCUGGCUAAAAUUGAAGACACUUGUGAGUCGUGUGAAAACUUAACAGCAGGGGUUUGGUUAGAACAACCAUCAAUAAAUGGGGAAUUUAAUAUAUCUAUAUAUAGGCACCCAAUCAUGACAAACAAUACACAGAUUUAUAUAUAGUGGCCAUGAUAUUGCUGUGCCAAUUUUCUCAUAUUAAAACUAAUUAAUCCUCAUUAUUCGAUUAAUCUAAACUACCAUCUAGCUAUCUGUACACAAGAUAAGAAAAAAAAAAGCGUACAGAUCUAAAUAAACUCUACCCAACCCUGGCUUGACGUUUCAGUUUUUCUUCUUAUUGUUUCAAAAUGUUGAUGUAAAACAGCUUUGUGAUAGGAUAUAUGGCCAUUUGCCAUUGCCUUUUCCAGCAAAGAGCAGAGAAAGAACGUGUCUGGAGCUUCUUAAAUCUUAAAUUAUAUAAGUUCUUCUAUCAAAAAACGAAGAAAAAAUAAAAACUUGUACACGCUGUUGGCAGACUGGGUCAAUCAAAUGGUUAAAAUUACAAGUCCAAACCUGGACAGUGUGCAUGGUAAACGAAAUUCCUCGGUUCAGGAAUGUCCCAGCAAACAGGUCGAACAUGGCAUGGACCCGUCUGUCUGAGACUUUUAACAAUGGCGAGGAGGGUGAGGUGUUCCUGGCAGCUGCCUACAAUAUUGUUAUGAGCUUGUGACUGCAUUUUCAACAAACCCAUAUAUUUUACCAGUUUAUCUUGCCUGCCAUGGAGUGAAUUCUGAAAAAAAAAAAGUUCAACGAAUUCAAAACAUGACAAAAAUUUAUGAACUUACAUAGCUUGACACGCUCAAUUAUUUUACAUGGUAUUGUUACUAGUUCUGGUUUCAAUUUUGAAUGACCACUGAGAAUGAUCUUGAGGGACGUCAACUAAAUUUCUUCAGUGUAUGAACUUGCAUAUCCAAUUUGGUUUUUUCUUUAGCUCGCAAAUUGUUUCGUUCUCGUGUAUGAUCAUGUACGUACCAUUUUUGAGCCACAGGUGUUUGAAUUCUAGAUGAGAUAGUAAAAAAAAAAAGAAAAAAAAUUCCGUUGUAUCAAAUAAUUGCUAUAGAUCCAUUGAAACACUGGGUUACAAUUGUUCGAUAGCUACACAAUAGGAAAAAAUGGCAUUACAUGCCAAGUUUUAUUAUUCAGGUGAGGCAAAAAAAGAAAUAUAAUGAUGAAGAUUUAAUCAAUCAAUUUUACGCCUCAACAGGAAGGAAACCCAUUUCUUUGAGUACUUCUGCACAUUCUGGUUCAGCCACCUUCUUCAUGUACCCAAGAGCAUUGGCAUAUCGGAGAUUAUCCACCACUCCAACGUUCUUGGUGAGGAGGAUCCUAGCAGAAUCAACGCUCUUGAAUGGUUCAUUGCAAUCGGCUCUGGAGCUCUCCACCAACCUAACCUCACAGAUAUCUUCCUCGUGAUCUCCCGCCACGGGUAGGCGGUAUGUGCCACUGCUGUCAGUCGUGCCCUCCACGGUGUAUGUCAAUGUGCCAUUCUCACGGUUGUUGCAUACCAGUUUCACCUUGGCACCUGCACCAUGCACACACACACACACACAAGAAGAAGAGCUAAAAUUUUGAAUUCAGAAUUUAAAAACGAAAUUGCAGAUUACUUGUUAGUGCUUGUUAACAAGACCAAUACAUAUGUAUACUUAUGGCCUUCUUGAUAUAGUAAUUAACAUUGGUGCAUAAAAGCUGAGCAUUCGAUGCCAUAAUAUACGAUAAUCAAACUAUUAACCACAUCGUUUACCUGGAAUGGCGUCGCUGAUCUUGGUCUGAAACUCAACCCGGCAAGUGUCACAGUAAACCUUGCCUUCGACAUCUAAGUAAUCUGCAGCAUAGGCGGAGAUGAGAACGGAGGAGAAGCAGAGAGCUGUAGCAACGAAGGCAGCAACGGUGAAACACUGUGCCAUUUUGUUCUAUGAUUAUUAUUAGGGUUCCGAUGAAAUAUGCAUGGAUUAACAUUCCUUUUAUAGGGAAAAAGAGAGGUGAAGCUACUUGUUUUUGUGUGGUUGUUAUUCAGGUUUACAACGGAAAAUACGGUUCCAUCACAAAUGUUUUCAAGCUUUGCCUGUUUUUUUUCCACUAGAAUAGGUAAAAGGGUUGUUAUUAUUAUUUUUUUAAUUUAUGCAUUGACAGAAGAAUUUCCAUCUCUUUCCCAUAAUUAGUUAGAAAUUAAUUUUAUUAAGUAUUGUUUUUUUAUUCAAAAAUACAUUUAAAUAAUUUUUUUAUAAAUUUUAUAUAUAUAUAUAUAAGAAAAAGAAAAAAACAAUUUUUUCCAAGAUUCCGGUGAAGACUGAGCUCCAAGGUGGAGGAAUUUGCCGUUUCCUUGAAAUAGGAGGAGUUCGGGACAUUUUUUGGGCAUCAACAGAAGCAAUCAAUUUUAUUAGGGCCCAAUAACAGCUUUAAAGAUCAGACAAAACAAGCCCACUAGGGAUAUGCUUUCAACCUCAGUCCAUAAAACCUUCUUUGCUGUGCCCGUGCCUUCUUCUAUCUAUAUUUCAAUUUCUGCCUUGCCAACCGUUUAUCGGGUUUUGAUUUGGAUCAAUUAUUAUUAUUAUACAUUAAAGAACUCUAAAACGCAUGGGAUAUUUACUGUAGCAAGGUUUUUUUGCUUUUUUUGUAGGAGCACUUUUUUUUCUUGCUUUUGUUUCUUCUUUAUUUUUUUUACAUGUUUUUUUUCUUCUUUUUUUUUUUACCUAAAAUUGACUUUUUUUUUAAUUUUUUUUCAAAAUUAACUUUGCAAAAUUUUUUUAAAUAUUGAGCUGGUUGAUAAUUUAACUAUGUAUCUUUUUUCUUUAAAACAUUAUGAAUUGCUAUAAUAUACCCAUACAUUGGUUUUUUUUUUGUGAUUUAUUUAUUCUUUUUUUUUUAAAAUGGUCUUUGUAGAUUUUAUUUUUUUUAUAUUGAGUAGUUGAGAAUUUAGCUUUGUAGUUUUUUAUUUUUUUAAAAAAAACAAUAUGAAUUGCUACAAUGUUCCCCUACAUAGUUUUUAUUUUGCUGCAAUGUUUCCCCACAUAUUGUUUUUAAAAAUUAUCUUUAUUGAAUUUAUUUUUUCAAUAUUGAGCUGGCUGAUAAUCUAGCUUUAGGUUUCCCCACAUGUUUUUUUUAUUUUUUUAUUUCUUUUUCUUUUUUUCCACAAUUGUCAUUUUUUACAUAUUUUUUUUUCAGAAUUAUUUUUGUUGAUUUUAUUUUUUUUGCUAUUGAGCUGGUUGAAAUUUUAGUUUUUUUUAUUUUUUCUUUAAAAUAUUGUAGCUUUCCCCGCGUGUUUUUUUUCUCGUUUUUGUUUCCUGUUUUUUUUUCAUUUCUUUUACCCAAAAUUGACUUUUAAAAAAAUAAUAAUCUUUGUCUGUUUUUUUUUAUAUAUCGAGCUGGUUGAGAACUUGGCUUUUUAGCUUUUUUAAAAAAAAACAAAAACACUAUGGAUUGCUACAGUGUUUCCCUUACAUGGUUUUUGUUUGGCUGCAGUGUUUCCCCCAUAUGUUUUUUUUUUAAAAUUAUCUUUGUCAAAUUUAUUUUUUCAAUAUUAAAUUGAUUGAGAAUUUAGCUUUAGCUUUAGCUUUCCCCACGUUUUUUUUUUACUAUUGGGUUGAUUGAUAAUUUAGUUUUUUAAUUUUUUUUCUUUAAAACACUAGAUUGUUGUAGUAUUUCUCUACAUGGUUUUUUAUUAAAUAAUUUUUUUUCAGAAUUAUCUUUGUCGAUUUUAUUUUUUUCAUAUUAAGCUGAUUGAGAAUUUAGCUUUGUAGUUAUUUAAAACACUGUAGAUUGCUACAGUGUUUUCCCACAUGAUUUUUGCCUUGCUACAAUGUUUCCCCACAUAUUUUUUUAUCGAUGUUUUUUCUUCCAAAUAUGUUUUUGUCAAAUUUAUUUUUUUCAUACUGAACCGGUUAACAAUUUAGCUUUUUUCCUUAAAACAUCGUUGAUUGCUACAAUGUUUUCUCAUAUGCUUUUUUUUUUAUGUUUUUUUUUUAAAUUGUCUUUGUCAUUUUUAUUGUUUUUGAUAUUGAGCUGGUUAAAAAUUAUAACUGUAGAUUUUUUCAUGAAACACUAUAGAUUGUUAUAGUGUUUUCCUGGAUGUUUUUUUUUCUUUUGUUUUUUUUUUAUAUUUGUCAAAAUUAUCUUUAUUGAAUUUUUUUUUAAUAUUGAGCUGGUUGAGAAUUAUAGUUGUAUAUUUCCUCAUAAAACACUAUAGAUUGCUACAGUGUUUUCUUAAAUGAUUUUAAAAUUUAGCUGGUUGAAAAUUUAGCUUUAACUUUCCCCACAUGUUUUUUUUUAUUAUUUGCUUUUUGCUUUUUUUUCUUCCAAAAUUUUCAUCUUCUUUUUUUCAUUUUUUUGUUUUUUUUUUCAUUUUUUUUUUGUCGAUUUUUUUUUUAAUAUUGAGCUGGUUAAGAAUAUAGCUUUGUAGUUUUUUCCUUUAAAAUAUUGUGGAUGGUAACAGUUUUUUUUUAUAUGAUUUUUUUUCACAAAUCCACAAUAAUGCACAAACAUGCUACAAGCCCACGGCAUCGCGUGAGCAUGUCAUGCCUUUUACUAAUAUAUUUACUUAUUAAUAUAUUAUAUUAUUAUAAUUAUUAUAUUAUAAUUAUAAAUAUAAAUAUUAUUAUAUUGUGUUAUAUUAUAUUGUAUUAUAUAACUAUUUUUUUCUUUUUUUUCUCUUUUUAAUUUUUUUUUAAUGAAUUCUUUUUGUUUGAUUUAGUUUGUUAAUGUUAAAAAAAUUUUAUUUAGUUAUCAGAUUUUCAUGAUAUGGAUCUCGGGUUUGAUGGGUUGGCCUGAUUUGACAAGUUAUUUUUUUCAUUUAUUUUAGUUUGUUAAAGUUAAUUUUCUUUCUAUUUAAUUAUCAGACUUUCAUACUUUCAUUACACGUGUCCUGUGCUUGACGGGUUAACUUGGUUUGAUGGGUUAACCCAGUUAAUUCUAAGUAAAUCCGUCAUUUGUUUUUCUAUUUAGUUAUCAAACUUUCAUGAUGUGAAUCCCCGGUUUUACGGGAUAACCUGGUUUAAAGAGUUAACCCAAUUAAUUCAAUUUUUUUUUCUUUUUCUUCAUUAGUUUUUUCCUUUAUGUUGAUUUUUUUUCUUUGUUUUUUUUAAUUAAUCUAUUUAAUUAUCACACUUUUAUGACACGACCUUAUAGCUAGACCCACAUCCAAUAUUCUUGGGUCCGGUGUUGCAGUCAGGCUCACUUAAACUUGGGUCAUGCAAGUUUAUAUUAUAAAUAUUACUCUUAGCUAGACCCACAUCCAAUAUUCUUAGGUCCGGCGUUGCAGCUAAACUCAAGAUUUUUGGAUAUAGCUUUGCAGAAAAACCCAAGAUUUUUAAAUUUUUAUUUGUUUUAAUAUUUUUUAUGUAAAAAAAAUGACCCAAGGCAUCGCGCGUGGGUCAAGUAUCUAGUAUAACUAUAGGGGCGUCGAGAAAUCAUUGUUUCCCACGUUCAAUUUUUUAAAAAAAUUUACUUUUAUUUUUUUUCAACUUUCCUCUGUUUUCCUUUUUUCAUUUAUUUUUUUUCUAAAAUUGUUGAUUUUACUUUUUAAAUAUUGAGCCAAUUAAAAAUUUUACUUUGUAACUUUUUUUUCUUUAAAAUACUGUGGAUUUCUGCGGUGUUUUCCCACAUAGUUUUUAUAUUUUUUUUAAAAAAUUAUAUUUAUCGAUUUGCUUUUUAAUAUUGAGCUAAUUGAAAAUUUAAUUUUGUAAUUUUUUUUCUUUAAAACAUUGUUGAUUGCUACAAUGUUUCUCCGCAUGGUUUUUUUUUAUGAUUUUCUUCGAAAUUAUAUUUUUUUAUUUUAUUUUUUAAUAUUGAGCUGGUUAAAAAUUACAGUUAUAAUAUAUGAGGAAAGCAAAGUAACUUUCCUCGCAAAUUACUGUAGAUUGCUAUAGUAUUUUUUCCCAUAUGGUUUUUUUUUCUGUUUUAUUAUGUUGUUUCCUAAAAUUUUCUUUGUUAAUUUUAUUUUUUAAAAUAUUAAGCUAGUUAAGAAUUGCAAUUACAAGUAAAUACAAGUUUUUCCUCACAAAAUACUAUGGAUUGAUACAGUUUUUCCUCACAUGGUUUUUUCCAGUUUCUUUUGUGUUUUCAUUUUUUGUAAUAUUUUUUCUCCAAAAUUAUCUUCGUUGAUUUUUUUUUAAUAUUGAGUUGGUUAGAAUUUAGCUUUGUAAUAAAGCUUAAUCAUAUAGGGAAAGCACUAUAGCUUUCCUCACAAAACAUUAUGGAUUGCUACAGUGUCUCUCCAUUUGGUUUUUUUUUUCUUAUAAAUUUUUUAAAAUUAUCUUUGUCAAUUUUAUUUUUUUAAUAUUGAACUGUUUGAGAAUUACAAUUCCAAGUAAUUACAAAUAAGGCUAAAUCAUGUAGGGGAAGCAUUGUAACUUUCAUCACAAAACACUGUGAAUUGCUACAGUGUUUCCAACAUGAUUUUUUCCCCUUUUUAUGUGUUUUUUUUGUUAUUUUUUUCUUCUAAAAUUCUCAUAGUAUAAAUAAAAGCUUAAAGAAGAACCAUGAGGGAUCCAUCCAUUGGUAUUUGGUGUAUCCUAAGGAUUUAUAACUCCCUUAAAUAAAAAUAGAAUCACUCAUUCAAAGUUAUCAAGGUAGUCAAACCAAACAUCUUAAUGCCACCUCUAAGACAUGUUCCUCUUAAGAACCCUACAUACAUAUCACUUAGAUCACCUGAGGAUGUAUAAUAAAAACGUAAGUUUAUUUUUUAAAUAAAAAUAAUAUAUCUCUGACAAACAUUUUCUAACUACAAACCUCUAGUGGGGCUUUCAAACACUUCUCAAUGAAUAGAUUGACUCGGUCUCCUUAUUGCAAUAACACCACUCUCCUUGAAGGGGAUUGAUGUGGUCUUCCUAGGGUAAUAGCCCCACAAUCAUCAAUGGGUUGGUAUGAGAUCUCUUUAUUGCAAUAGCAUCAUUUUUCAAGUGAUGCCAAAGGGCCUUUCACUCAUUCGUUAAGGGUUAAACAUGGAUCCCCUAUUCUCCAGGGUAGUCUCGGACUGAUACAUUCUCCAAGUGAUGUCAAAGAACCUCUCAUAAAAUAUUUAGGGGUUGAUAUUAGCUGUUAUAUUCUCCAGUGUUGUCUCAAACUAGCACAUUCUUCAAGUGAUGCCUAAAGGCCUCUCACCAACUCAUCAAGAUAUAAUCUUGGAUCCCCCAUUCUCUAGUGCAGUCUUGGACCGACACUUUCUCCAAAUAAUGCCAAAAGGCUUUUCAGUAAUUCGCCAGGAAUUGAUCUUAAAUCUCCCAUCUCUCCAAUAUAAUCUCGGAUUGGCACUACUUUUUAGUGAAAAGCUCCAAUGUCUAAUGUCAUCUUAAUGAGGUUACAUACCUCUAACACAUCAUUGAUCACUCUUUAGUUGGGGGUUUGCAAGCCCUUAUGCCAUCACCAAAGAGGUUACAGACCUCCCACUCUUCGGUGAGACUUUUCUUUAAUUGAGGGUUUUCAUAUCUUAUACCAUCAUAGGAAGGUCACACAUCUUUCACUAUCUAGUAUGAACACUCUUCAAAAGACAGACUUGGUUUCUCUGGUGCAUUAGAACCACCUUCCAUGGAUUCAUCCCCUUCGCAUCUUAGAAAUUCUUUUGAGUAUGGGCGUUGACAUGGGCUCACUCCUCUCUGCCCUUUAGAAAUUUUUCUAAAUAUAGGCAUUGACAUGGGUUACCCUCCUCAGGUUCCCCUUGACCUUUUAAAAUAUUUUAUAAGUAUAGACUCACCCUCCAUGGAUUUUCACCAGCCACUUAGAUAUUUUUCUAAGUAUGAGUUUCUUCUUUAUAAGUUUCCCAUAACCUCUUAUAAAAACUUUCUAAGUAUGAAGUCAUUUAUAUCUUACCUCACUCUCCUAGAAAUAUUUCUAAGUAUGAGUUCCUUGAUGGUUCCCCUCUAUAUACUUAGAAAUUUCUUAUAACAUGAAGCAUGCUUCUAUACACAGGCUCUCUGGUAUAUUACUUUGGGUUUCCACCCCUUUUAUUAUAUGAAGAAAGUACAAUGAACUUGUUAUGGUAACCAGGUGUUUUUAUAAGUCUUUGCAGAGUAAUACCACAAAGACUUGGAGGGCUAUUGAUGGAUCCAAAUUUAAUAGGCCUAAAUAAUCCCCCAAAAAGCCCAUAAAAACCUUAAAAGGUUAAGAAACAUCCUCAUAAGCUCGAGGUACCAUGCAUAAGCCUAACUUCUACCAAGGUGUAUGGUCUCGGGCUACCAUGUUGGGCAUAAGCUCGAGCUCAAGCAUGGAAGCCCAAGCCCACCAUUAGGGCGCAUGCCUACUGCUGAGCAUACACCCAGCAUGUUGGACAUAUGGAUCCAAAUUUAACAUGACAAAAAAGCCUUAAAAAGUUCCAAAAACAUCCUCAUGAGAUCGAGCUACUACACCUAAGCCCAACUUUUACCAAUGAGCAUAGGCUUGGGCAUG